rnacentral:lncRNA from 1 species
UGAUUGUAAGAGACUAGAGGCCUUACCCAAGGGAUUGCACAAUCUGACCUCUCUUCAAGAAUUAAAAAUAGGAGGUGAGCUUCCAAGCCUUGAAGAAGAUGGCCUUCCCACCAACCUUCAUUCACUUUGGAUUGAUGGUAAUAAGAAGAUUUGGAAGUCAAUGAUUGAGCGGGGCCGGGGAUUUCACAGAUUCUCCUCUCUGCGACAUCUUACAAUUAGCGGUUGCGAUGACGACAUGGUGUCAUUCCCACCGGAGGUCAAAAGAUUAGGGACCGCGCUUCCCCUUCCUGCCUCUCUAACAGCUCUGUGGAUUUACAAUUUUCCAAAUCUAGAACGUCUAUCUUCUUCAAUUGUUGAUCUUCAAAACCUCACUUCAUUGCAUCUCUGGGAUUGUCCCCAAGCUCAAAUACUUUCCGGAGAAGGGCCUGCCUUCCUCACUUUUGCAAUUGUGGAUCUGGGGAUGUCCGUUGAUAGCAGAGAAGUGCAGAAAGGAUGGAGGACAAUAUUGGGACUUGUUAACCCAUAUACCUUCUGUUAGUAUAGCUAAUAUAUGGGAUUUUGAUGACUCGACCGCGGACGACUGAAAUAUUUUAUUAUUAGUUUUUUUUCUUUAAAUUGGGCGUGUAUUAUGUGUUGGUGAUUAAUAGGUUUUCGAAAUAAAAAAAAACAAUGGGCUCGCAUUAUUUAGCAAAGGAGGAGGACUCUAUUAAUUAAUUUCUUAUGCCUAUCUCAUUCUCAGCUGUUGAAACUUCAGUUUCUUAUAUUUGUUCUUCCGCCGUAUGGUUACAUAUGUAAAAUAUUUUAUUAUUAGAAUUUUUUUUUCUUUAAAAUCAGGUGUGUUUGUGUAUGUAAUUUUAAAAUUCAAAUCUCAGUUGAAAACUGUUUUAAAUUAAUAAAAAGUAAAAUGUUAGGUAGAGUAAGGUGGCGUUUGUUUUUUUGUCUGAAAUCUGAAUAGACCUGAAUUAGUCUGAAUUCUGAAUAGGUCUGAAUGUCUGAAUCUGAAUAAUAUGUUUGUUUUUUCGUCUGAAUCUCAGAAAAUAAGUAUUAAGUUAUUUUUUUUUUCAACUUAAAAAGCUAAAAAUAUGUACGUUUACAUUUGUAUCCUUAUUAAAUUUGAAUGUCAAAUAAAUAAUAUAUUAAAUAUCACAAUAUUUUAACAUUUAUAAGUAAAACUAUAUUCAAGUGAAUACAUAAUUAUUUUAAAAUUUUAAUAUAUAAAAUACCAUUAAUUUCAAAUUUUAUCGUAUAUAAUAUAAGAAAGAAAAAAUAUGGAUAUUUUUAUGUGGGGUAAAUAUCUAUGGGUGAGUUUUGGGAUAGACAUGAAAAAUAAAUUAUAAAAUAGGGAUAUUUUUGACAUUAGCAAGUAAUUGACUUAAUUCAGAUUUCUCCAUUAAGUAAAAAGCCAAAAAAAUUAGCUUAUUUUAUUAAGUCAAAAUUAUUUAAAAAGUCUCAUUAAGUUAUAAAAACAAACACCUCUAAUUAACUUAAUUAAUUAAGUUAAGUCACUUUAAGUUAUUAAGUUAAAAAACAAACGCCACCUAAGACGCUCGCUUUAUUUUAGCAGCGGGGGACAUAUUUGUAUUAAUUAAUUAAUUAAUUAAUGGAUUAAUUUCUUAUGCGUAUCUCAUUCUUUAGCUGUUGAAAUAAACUUCAGUUUCUUUUAUUUAGCUGUACGGUUAUAUAUGUGUAAUAUUUCUCUUCUUCGGCAAAAGUUGUUAAUGUUCUUAUUAGUAAUUAAUUAGUACGUUAAUGUUCUUCUUUUGUUGUGUUUGUAUAACAACAAUACUACCCAAUAUCAAUUGAUCAAGUAAAUUAAAUUUAGUUAAUUAAUAGUAAACCGACCAUAAUUUAUCAAAAACAUUUUAUUAUAUAAUCUUCGUACAUGUACGUCGUCAUCAAAUCCCAUAACAACCAAAAGAAAACAAGAACAUGCCACACAAUAAAGCCCAAUAAAAUAUCAAAAACGAAAAAGCAAACGAAGCCAAGCAUUUGCCCCAAAAAAAAAUCAAAAACAAAAAACAAACGAAGCUACGUACAUUUCGAUUUUUGUGGCCUUAACUUAAUAUCUUCACCAGAACUCAUCAGCAAUGACGUUAUAAUGUUCUUUUAAUGCCUAUUGUAAAGUGGUUUUUGAGUGCUAAUUAAACACACGAGGGCUUGACCAUAUUACAAAAUUAAUUAUAAUCUUCAAUUGCUGUUAGUAUGAAUUUAUAAAUACAAUUUCAUCAGUUACUGAAUAUUUGAAUUCACCAACUGCAAUGGAUCUUCAUAUUAACACAUCAAUAUGACAGAAAAGAUAAUGUCUUCAUGAAUUGGAGUGGGAUAAAUUUUUUCCCUCUUAAAAUGCAUAAUAAAGGCUAAAGAAAAAAACUUUUUUUUUCUUUUUUAAUUUUCAUUAACAAUAAAACCAGGCGUGUUAUUAGCUAUAUUAAUGAAUUGAACAGCAGAUAUAUAUAUAUAUAUAUAUAUAUAUAGUUACAAAAGCACUUUAUUACAUAAUAUAUAGCAUUUUAUUACAUAAUCUUCGUACAUAUAAACCAUCAUCAAAUUCGAUAACAACAAAAACAGAAAAUUGAAGGAGAAAGCGAAUAGAAUUUUAAAAGCAAAAUAAGCAAAACGUUAGCCUCAAAAAAUUUAAAAACAAAAAGCGAACUAAGCAAAGCAUCGUCACUAGAAGAAUUAGUUUUAAGCUUUAGUGGGCUUAAUUAAUUUUAAGCUUCAGCUGCCUUAAUAUAUUCACCAAAAGCAUUACCAGCUGCGUCAUCAGCAUUAAUAAUACGAGUUUAAUAAGCCAAAGCUGCCUCUUCCCUCAACAAUAAUGUUAAAAUGUUUUUUUAAUGGUGUUGCAAAGUGGUUUUUGGUUGCUAAUUAUAAGCAGAGGCUGGACUGUAUCACACAAUUAUUUAUACUCCCUAAUUUAAUGCACUUUAAGCAACUUCUUGAAUUAAUCGUUUCUGUACCUUUGCUAUUAGUAUUUAUAAAUACAAUUUAACAGUUAUUGAACAUUUGGAUUCGUCAAAAUUGCUGCAAUUACAAUGAAUCUUCGUGUUAACACAUUAAUAUCACAGAAGAGGACGAAUUACGAGUGGGAUAAUUUUUUUUCCCCUCAAAACGCAUACUAUAUGCCAAAGAAAAAGACUUUUUUUAAAAAAAAAGAUAUUUUUAUGAACAAUAAACGAAUCGUAUUAAUUCUUAGAUGCUGUAGGACUAGGAUUUAUAAAAAAUACUUUAUUGUUGUCAGUACAUACAAAUCAUCCUCAAAAACCCAUCAAAAUACAUUAAACAGAGAAUCUAAAGAGAAACAUCUCACAACAAAACCAAUAAAAGAUCAUAAACAAAUAGCACAUCAAGCAAAGCUAUCAUUUCUUUCUUUAAUUAAUUACAUUUGAGCCUUAGUGGCCUUAAUAUCUUCAUCGAAAGAAUUACCAGACUCUUCAUCAAUGUUAAUAAUCUUAGGCUGCCUCUUCUUCUCUUCAGCAAGCUUUGGCACUGUGAUCCUUAGAACACCAUUUUCCAAAUGAGCCUUAGCAUGUUCCAAGUCAACACUCAUUGGCAUCCUAAACUGCCUCCAAAACUUGCCAAAUGUCCUCUCAGCUCUGUGCCAUUUCUCUCCAACUCCCUCCUUAUAAUAAUAAUUACUCUUCCUCUCCCCACUCACUCUCAGUGUACUCGGUUCUCUUCAACUUCAAUCUUCAUAUUAUCUUUCUUCAUCCCUGGAAUGUCGAGCGUGAUCACGUGGGCUGUUGGUGUCUCCAUCAAGUCUGCUCUCGCCAGGGCUAGAGUUUGAUGAUGAUCAGCUACUUUUACGAUUGUUAAAGGGGUUUGUUCAAGAACCCUGAAAGGCUCUUCCGUCAUUGGGAACGUCAUGUCAAAGAAAGGUGAUUGUGUGUACAGCAUCAGAGCGUUUGCUUGUGAUGCCAUGUUCAUCAAUGUUGCUGCCAUAACAAGAAACAACAUUGUCAUUGCAAGAAUUCUUGGUUUUUCCAUCUGGAUAGCUAGCUAGCUUUUUGAGAGUGUUUGUUUGAAGCUAAGUGUUUGUUGAUUUUCUGGUGAAAUGAAAGGAGGUGAAUUAGAAAAAUAUAUACACUUAGACUGGAUUAUAGCUCGAUAUCUGGAUAGUUCUUUAGAAGUCUUUGCGAAAGAAACUUAGAGAAAAUUCUAGCACAGCGUAGAGACUAGAAGAAACGUUUUGCAGAUUGUUCUGGAGAUUGAAAUUCUUUUGGUUUGGGAAUCUUAGUUGGAAGCUUUGCUAGAAUUAGAAUAUGCCACAGGUUACUUAAAAUAGGCACGUGUUAUUUAAAAUUGUUUUGUAUUAAUAUUGAACCAAUUACUCGUAACUUAUUAUAAAACACAAUUUCAUGAUUAUUGUAUAAAUCUACAGUGGAAUUGUUCAAAUGAAAGCACAAUUGGGAAAAUAAUGUCUCAAUUCUCAUGGGAGACAACACUAAUCAGUGUUGUCAUAUACUAUAAUCUCAAAACGUCACAAUUGUUGCUAACCAGUAAAAACCAGUUCAAUUUGAUUUUCGAUUUAUUCACAACUGAGGCGUGAUGGGUACCAUCAUCAGGCAAUAGAAAUAAAUCAUGGCAAAUGAUAAUACCAUUUUUUAGUUUACUACGUGUACGAUGCUUUUGAAUUUAGCUAUGCAAUCCAAAGCUCGUUCAAAUUCGCUUUCUUGCAGUGCAAUCGUGAAGCGACAAUAGCCAGGAAUUCCGGUCCACGAGCCACUGCUGAUGCACAAACCAGUUGCCUUGACUAUGGCUUCCCUGAUAUUUGAGUCAUCAAGCUUGAUUUGUUCUGUAGCAGUUUUCUCACCACUGCCAGAUGAAUGCCGGCUGAUCUUUACAGUUUUGUUGAGAUAGGCAGAGGGCUUCGCCACCAUUGAAACACCACCGCAGGAUUGAACCACUUCCCACCCACAAUUCUCAAGUACCUGUUGCAGAAAGAUCACCAUGGAGAAAAUGGUAGGCCAUAUAUUUGGAAUUGAGUAAUAUAAUUCAAAGAUUAUGUACUACAUGUAAUUGGUUAAUUCAAAUUUUCUUGUAAGAGGGCAGAUAGAAGUACCUCUUUCAAGCGCUUUGAUCUACUUUCCAAGUUUCUUAUAUGUUCUGCAACAGCAUUCAUCAAGUCUCUUGCUUUUCGCUCUCUCAGACCAAGCAACGGCUUUAUAGCGUAUCUGACUGUGCUAUGAGGCUUGCUUAAUCCCGAAAAGCUACUAAAUGCAUCAACCAACUGAGGAUGAGGUUAUACUGUAUAAGUACGUACAAAACUCUAUGUUUACACAAAAAGACUGGACGAAUAACAAGCAUGUGUUGCAUAACUCACAACAACAACACAUUCCACAGUCAAAUUAAAUGAGCAGAUAAAUAACAUGAGAAUCAAGAUUUCUUCAAACCAAAUAAAUCGACAAAUCCAAAAAUGAAUUUAACUACUUGAGGGGACAGGAUGCAAAAGGAAUAAGGGACACCAUUAGACAGAAUUUCACAUUACAGUAUUUGUCCAAUAGACAUAAGAAUGACAAUAAAAACAAUACAAAUUAUCACAAAUUGCAUGAAGUCGAAGUUGUCUGAAGAAAUUCUAAUCAGGAUAAAAGAAGAUAAGCAAUUGGUCCCUAGAGCUCUACGUAUUGAGAACAAAAAAUAACAAGAUUGUUUCAUACGUUAUUCAUCACAAACAAGUAAAUGACCAAUAGAUUCCCUCCUAAACAUGAUCACGUGGGCUGUUGGUGUCUCCAUCAAGUAAAUGACCAAUUGUUUCAUAUGAAUGCACCAAGCUCACAUGCAAAGAAAUUGAGAUAAUGCAUCAAGAGAAACAGAACCCAGGAGUUCACGUGCAAAGAAAUUGAAAAAAUGCAUCAAGGAAAACAGAACCUGGGACAGACGAUACAAAAGUUACUUGUCCAGAGAAGUACAAAAAUAGAUGAGUAGUUAAGGUUUUCUCACAUCAGCAUUUAGCGGAAUAUGGUGGUACUUUUUCAUGAAGUCAGCAAUCAGGUUCCUGAAUCUUUUGCUUCCAGCUGGUGGCUCAUAGGGGAAAAAAGAACACUCUUUUAGAACACUGGCAAGAUAAGCCAGGAAUGGAAUCUUCUCAUCAGCAAUUGAAUCAUCUUCAAAAGAUAAAUCCAAAGAACUGUUGAUCUCAUGGAAGCCAUUUUUCAGAAACUUAAAAAUUUUCUUAACCUGUCCAUAAAUAUAAGUUGAUAUCAUUUUAGCUCACUUCCCUGGUCAGAGCAAUUACCCACUUUAUCAAUAAAACCCAAAUGAAAUGUAAACCUGGUUUGGUUGACGGAGUUGACAACUAUAAACUGCUAAAGCAUGAGAGAUACGUCCACCAGCCUUUCCGUAGGCCCAUGCUGUUCGAGCACAAAUAGGUAAGUCACCAGAAAGUCCCAUGAAGAACUCAAAACGAUGACUGUUCUUCUCAAUUUCAACUAAAGCUGAAAUAUCUGUAUCAGAAGCCUGCAAAAACACAUUCAAGAGGUGGAUAUUUGGGAUGGAUGAUGAAUUUCCACAAAUAAAAGUUCACUUGCCUGAAGAAUUUUAGUCUGCCAAAGCUUGUCGACACGGAAACCACGGCGUUCAAACAAACGUUUACAAACGCCCUGUCAUGGACAACCACCCAUAUUGAAGAUCAUAAUCCCGGAAGGUUUGAUGACACCAAUUCCUUCCUCAACUGCUCUAGCAAUUAGACCUAAGCCAAACUGAUCCUCUACAAAACCCUGCAUACAGGGAAAAUAAAUAAAUAAAUAAAGAAGAAGUAAAAGGUGAUACAGCUGUGUAUUGACCUUUUAUGUUUUAUCUCUCAUUUACACAGCUUAGCCUUCAUAAUAUAUACAAAUAUGUUAAGAACAAGAUAUUGAAAACACAAUUGAAGCAGUCAAUCUUUCAGGGCACUAAAAGGUUUCGCAAACUCCGUGCUAUAGAUUUUCCCAACGUCAAAGGCUUUUAAAUUUAAGUCAACAUGAACCUUGAGAAUAAAAGUGAUAAAGACCGCAGUCAUGAACAGAUUUCAAAUGCAACAACUUGAUACAAUAUAUUCAUUAUUAGUCAAUCUACUAGUACUCUAUUCAAAAAGCAAUCUGUCAAAAUGAAUAAACUUUCUCAGUCAUCCACAAGACAUAACAGAUAGUUGUUGAGUGCACCUAGAAACAGGAACUAUGGGAAUCAAUGUUAUUGUGAAGAGGUUAAACACUAAGAAAAAACUAAAAUCAGGGGAAAAAAAAAAUCUUUCAGAUCAAGUUUCCCUAUCUCCUCUCAGCAUCUGUCAAACUCAUAUUAUCCUUUUCCCACGGUCUUCACUGGUUUGCUUUAUUUCCCAAUGAACAACUAAAGACAUCAACCUUACCUAAGUUAUGCAAGAUUCAAACCAAAAUUAUAACACGUAUACUUAUAAAUAUGUGAAAGUAGAGGAAGCCUGUCAACUUAAUUGCUAACUUCCCCACAAUUUGCAAUUGCGUAUUACAAUUAAAUUAUUUAGAAUAUCUUCUAACCUGCAGCGCACAAUAGUUACUCAAUGAAUACAGAAAUUCCUCGCUUGCAUUUUCAGUGAUUAUUUUGGACAUUGCAUCGGGAUUGGGGUUAAGAAUCUGCAUGGAGAAAACAGAACAUGUUAAACUAGGAAUUAAAGGUAAUCCAUGUGGGCACACUAAAAUUCGAACAUGAUGUUGGAAAAACAAACUUCACCAAAAUUUAAUCCCCGAGAAAUAUCAUGAGUUGCAGAUAGUAAUAAUACCUGAGGUAUGCAUCCCACUAUUCGUUCAAGUUUAACGUCAUGAUCUCUGCAAUAAGCAAGAAGAUCAGAUUCAUGAAACUCCACCCUGUCCAGUAAAGUUUUCUUCUCCGCAUCAUAGAUGGGCUGACCUAUUUCAUCUAAUGCAUUCAAGUACAAAUUUAUCCAAGAGAUCUUUAUUGCUCUGGGAUUAAUAUCAAGGCCAUAGACCUGCAAAAGGAUAUUCAGACAGCAUAAAAGAACUGCUACAAGGUUCCAUUUUCAGCAUUCUCCAAUAAAGACUUUUGGACAAAGGACAGAGUUGAUAAUUCAGAUGUUCAUUGAUAUGUAAUUUUUCUGAAUCGGAGGGUACUAAAACACCAUAAUCUGGUGCCAACGCUGUUACUUAUAAAUAACAAGUGGCCUUGCAAAACAAGGAGAUAGAAAACGAUGAGGAGAGAAAUCAUGAUGGAGCUCCUGAAGGCACUGGUAAGGAAGUAAACAAAAGCUCCCACAUGGCAAAGGACGACGAACCAACAAACCUUCGAAGGCAACCACUUCUCAGCUAUGGCAAUGGUUAUCCAUCCAUUUCCACAACCAAGCUCAGCAACAGUCUUGUCCUUCAAAAUAGAGUCAGGAUGUCUAUUCAGUCCUUCAUAGAAAGUAAACGACCAGUCUUCUGGGAUAAAAAUGCUGGGGAUGACCAUCAUUGUCAAAUUUUUUCUCCCUUGGUAGCCUAUACUUAGAAACAAUAGUGUCAGAGCAGAAAAUCCAGCAACCAUAAUCGGGCAUGAAUCUAAAGGAAAAAAGUGAACGAUGACCUAUGGAUGUUUAUGUUGGGAAGAUGAUAAAUGAAACUUUCGUACAAUAACAAAGAUAAUAAUGUGUAUGCAGACAAGCUAAUAAGCUAGAAAGGAUAAAACUGAAAUUUGGUGCUUUUAAAGUGGCAGAAGCAGCUUCAUGAGUGGCAUAUGAGGGAUCAUGAAUUCCAAUAGGGAAAAUUUACAUGGUGAAACCAUGGCGGCCAAGUUACAUAAGAUGUACAAAAACCUCCUAGUGGCCUUACAAAAUUUCACUGAAGAAAGAUGAAAGUUGAGUUGGCUUAUUGAUUGCAUAAUUUGUGCACGAGGUGAAUAAAAUGGCUAAGGAAUUAGCAUCAACUAUUAAAGUACUCCAAAGUACAGAGCAAGAUUACUGUUUCAUACAGUUAAUAUGAGGAACUGUGACAUUGAAAGAGAAGUUCAUCCAUUGAACUUUGCUCAUGCACUGACGACAAAUUUUCAGGAAACAAAUCCAUUAAAAUCUAGGACUUAUUAUGAAAUGAUGUACAAACUUAUUGAAAUAAAUUAACAGCUGUUAUUAUUUCAGUGUUACCUAAAAAGCAAAUUCUAUCUACUACAUAGUAUAUUUUUAGGAACAUACAUUCCACUCCCAAGCCAGCUUCAGAUAUUAAUUCCCUUUCUAGUUUGUUAGCACUAAACUUCUGUAUUAUUCGAGUUAGAGCAAAUAAUUACACCAAAAGUAAAUGUUUAAAUGAAACAAAUCCUGAUCUGUUUGAUUGUCAAGAAACAGUAGGAACAGAAGGGAAAGAAACAAAAGAGAACAAAGUGAAAACAAAAGCUCACUGGCCUCACACAAAAAGACAAAAAAAACCUACAACUAAGACUUCGUUUUUGUUUUCUUGGGAACUGAAUCCUGAAAACGAUUGGCACUCCAUCCAAGUUUUCUCAAGACACUCAUUGGUUGCUCAGAAACAGCCAACUAAGGUGGACCCAAUGAAAGUCUAUUGUAUGGUUAAAUGAAAAUAAUCGUGAUAAAAUAAACACCCUAAGUUAAGAAAGUGAAUGAAUAAAAAAAUGCACAUAAUUAAUAGCACUCAUAAUCAUAAAUUUUCUCAAGUAAUCAAAUCAUAUUCUUCUUAAAAAAGGAAAAAAUAAGUUCUGCAGAUUCUUCAAGUUUCCAGUUGAACUACCCAAAACAAAAAAAGAGCAUUUGUUUUUAUCUGGGGUUUCUUUCAGAAACAUAAAUCACGUCGUAAAAAACGCUUUAUUAGAAGCACUAUUUCUCCAAAUUGUCCUCUACUAGAUAACUGCCAAACUGAGCUACUCAAAAAUCCUUUAAAACAUACGAAAAGCACAAUUGCUUCUCUACAAUGCACUUCUUAUGUCACAUAAGCACUAAACUACUUUCCCAAAAAUCACUUAAUUUCAAAAGCACUUUUUCCUCCGAGCUAUCUUCCACAAAACCACUCCCCAAACUAAAAAACAAACAAUCACUUUUAGUCCCUAAUUCAAAGAAAGUCAAACCACUAGCUCAAAAAAAAAAAAAAGGUCAACCGAAUUAAACAAGAAAAAAUGAACAAGAGUAAUGGACCUUCGUAUUGGUCCAAGACGACAUCUUGGAUCCGGAAAUGGUACUUGUUUAGACAUUCGUCCGAGUCAUCGACCCGUUUCUGAAGAUCCGAAAGGAAGACCUGAGCCUGAGUCCGACUACUCGGAUCCUCCAGCUUCUCCAACACCGACCGAAACGCACCGUACGCCUCGUCACCCGACGCCUCGCAUUUCCUCAAGAACUCCUCCACCGCCUCCGCCGUCGCCGUCGCUGCCGUCAUUCCGUACGUUCACUCAAUUUACGGGUUCCUAGUUUUAGAGAGAGAAUGCUAGCGUGAGCUUAGAAAAUUGAAAGAAGGAAGUAGAAGUCUGUUUUCUCGUUCCCGGUACUUGAGCGUGUGCUUGUGUACACAGAUGUAUAUACAUACAGCUAUUAUUUUAUUUAUUUAAUAUUUAUUUUUAAAAUAUUUUGAUGCGGAGCAAGAGAAAAGGUCUUAUGUUUUACACGUGGUGCGUGGUGAGUGGAUACUUUUAGUCUACGUGGAAUAUCUUUUUCAAGCACUUUUACUGGUAUUUCUUUAAAGUCUUUAUCAAAGAACGUAGUAUAAGAUUACAAGAAGCAACUUUUCAUUUACUAAGACAUGAUUCGAUCUUAUGGCUACAUAUAAGAGUAUGUACUACAUCUACACAUAUACACUUGUAUAAAAGGCAUGAUUAUGUGAUAUUUGGUGAAUAAUAUUCAAAUAAUAUGUUAAUAGUAUGACACCAUGCCAUAUGAUGGUGUCACUUUCAUAAACAUCCCUCACACUCAAGGGAAAAAAAUUCAUCCUUUUAGCAUUUAAUUUAACACCCUUUCAAUAAUGAUAUAGACAUUUAUGAUUGAUACCAAAAUUAACCCUAAAACUAAACCUUUUAUUUGAUACAUGUGAUUACAAACUGAAAAAGCAUAAAGUAUAUAUGUCUAAAACACUAACUAAAAGAUGCAACAUAUUCUAAUUCCUGCCUCGAAACAUCUUCAAUAACAAAUAAUGCAUUGAAUAUGCUUGUCCGUACAUCAAUAGCAAAUUAAAAAUCAAAUUGGUAAUAACUCGCAACUAACAAGAGUAUAAUUUGAUGAAUCAUAUUUAUGUUUUCCUUACAAUUUCAAUCAGAAUCUUCUUCUGCAAGUGUUGAAGAUGACUGUGCAAGACAAUUGGGAAACUUGAAAGGGAGUAUAGUCAAUAGCUGAUCAUCAUCGGCUAAUCCUUGGCAAGCUUGACCAAAAGCGUAUCCCAAUGCAAUACCAACUGGAAUUGCUACAGCAUUCCCAACUUGUAUGUACCUGAAAAAUGAAUAGUAAUAUUGAAUUGGAUUGCAAAUUGGUUUCUAAAAGCAGCAUAUCAAACAAGGUUUUUACUUACUAGUUGUCCAUUAAAGACAAAAGCAAGUCUUUGCAGAUGUUAUGCUUCCAUAGUUUGCCCAUUACAACAUAUUACAAGCAACCAUCAUCAUAUCUUAUAAAAUUUAACAAAAAAUCUUGACCCCCCUUAUCUUAAUUUGACCUCUAUGUCUAAAGAAUGUUCUGUCCAUCCCGAUUGUUAGCUUCAUUCUUGUAGCAGGCAUUGAAGAAGGGAGGCUCAAAUUCCGCUGGCUGUAGCAUUACUAUCACAGCCAAAUGAUUAAUUCCAAGUGCAAAUGCAAAAAAUUAAUUAAGAGGUAAGACAACAGCUAAUAAAUGAGCAUCAGUACUGUAACAUCAUUGUAGCCGAAGAUUUUAGUAAAAUCAUUACUUUCGAAUAAUAUUCACACAUGAUCAUCACGUUUCAAAAAUAUCGACUACUGAAAAAUUAAAGGUAGUUAAUUAAUGAGUUUAAUUACAAUCCUAUUUAAACAAUUAUAUUAGCUAUUAUAUAUAUGUAGAAUUUGAUAUUUGACUCAUUAUAUCUCAUCAGUCCCCACUAAUCACUUUUAUGUUAGUACAUAUUUUAUUAUUAUAUGAAAUGAUUUAAAAGGGUAAAUAACUUUUAAGUGCACUCAUAUGACAAUUUCUAUUAACAUCUAAUUUAGCUAAUCUAAUUUCUUAAACUCUAUUUUUUUUAACUUUUUAAAUUAUUAUUUCUUCUCAAAUAUUAUACUCUUCUUUUGUAAUCGUGAAAGAAAUUACUUUACGGUACUCAAUAUUCAAUAAAGGAUGGUGCCUUUUUCUUUUUAAUGAUUAUGACAACGAUGAAUAAUUUUUUUUUUUUAAAAGAGAGAUUAUAGUGAUUAUGAGAGUUUUUUUCUCUUUUUAAAAUAGAUUUUAUAAAUUUUAUAUAGUGAGUGCUUGGAAAAAAGAUAGAAAUUAUAAUAAAGGUAAAUCCAUAAUUAUGUGUGAUAUGUUGAGAGAUAAAGAUUUAUUUAAAAUAUUUAAUGGGGUUAACAAAAAAAUAGGAGAUUGUGAGUUAUAAUAAAAGGGCCAAAUAUCACUACUCAUGUAUAUUUGGAAGGAGUAGCCGGAAACGAGAUUUACAAAUUAAUUUAAUGAUAAUAGCUGAGAGAGAAAAUAUACUACAUUAAUAGACCGAGAGAUUUCAUGUUUACCUAUCUAAUUAUUAAUUGAUCACUAAAUUCAUUCCUUUUGACAUUUAAUGACUUUAUAAACGUCAUUAAAAAGACAUACUAUUAUAUUUCCGUACCGAACUCGUUCCUUCAAAAUAUACCAACACUUUGCUAUAAAUAUAUAAUUAUUUUUUUGGAUAUCAUGAGAUCUUUAAUAGGGCCGGAAUUUGUGCUACAUAAUAAUUUUCUUUAUAUAUUUAUAUAUAAGUUAAUACAUAUAUAUUAUGUGUAUAUUUAUUUUAAAAAAUUAAAAUGUAAUUAAUAGAUAUAUUUAAUUAAAUUAUACAUUUCAUAUCAAAUGUACCUAUUAUAUAUAUGGGUUAAUUUCUAAUUACCCUUAGGGAAUUGACAAUCUUCAAAUUUCCCUCUCUUACUAUUGAAAACAUCAAUCUACCCCAAAACUCGUUAUUUUUAACUAUUGACCGCCGUUAACUCAUGAAAGUAUGAAAGUAUCCCCACUCUAACAUAAUAUCCUUGUAACGACUUUGUAAAGGCAACAAAAAUAAUUGAUAUAUGUUAAGUAAUUGGAAAUGAAAAAAAUUAACAAUUAAAAUAUUAAUAUGUAAAUAGUAAAUAAAUGAUUAAAAAAUUAAAAUAUUGAAUUGACUUCAUAGGCCUGAAAAAGUAAUUAGUUUCCCUGAAUUAGACAUAUUCAUUGGGGAAAUUACACACACAUAUAUAUAUAUAUAUUAAUCAAGCGUAAUAAUUCUAUGUACUCUAGAAUCUCUCUUUCUUUAGUGAUUGCAAUAAGCGUGAAUCAUGCUUUAUUGCAAUAAAGUAAAAAUGGCUUAUGAUCAAUUGCUUUGUUCGUCUUCUUUUUGACAAUUAUAUAUUUUGUGGACCGCAUCAGGCCAUAUGUUCACAUUUGCAAUAAAGUAAAAAUUGUUAGACACGUUUUCACAACUUGUAUAAUAUGGCCAUCUAAAUUAUUUUAAUUAUUAGUUUUCUAAUUUAAAUUGAUAUUUAUCUUUAUUUAGUUUAAUUUCAAAACGUUGGUUUUGGUUUAAAAUUUGAAUAAAGAUAAAACACCUCUCCCUAAUAUCUUUCAUACACGUUAUGGGUGGUUUUCUAAAAUCAAGGGGAUAACGGCUCAUAACUUCCUCUUUUAUUUAAACAUGUCAUCUUGAUGGGAGAUGACUUACGGUCAAGUUUUUUCAAAAAAAAUAUUGAGGGUCCCUGGUCUAAUAACAGAGCCUGUGUAUACCAUCUACUCUCAGGAAUUAAGUGUUGGAUAGACUAGAAAAUUCUGAGUACAAAGCAUCACUUGUUUUCGUUGGUUUUGUUUACAUUCCAGUAGAAAAGUUGUGUACAAUUGAAUCUGAUAACUAUGGCAGGAGGUAAGUUUUCUAACUUCCGCAUGAUGGAUAUAGUCUUUUAAAAAUGGCUUAUGUCUAUACCAUGCAUUAUUGCUUCGCUUUUGUUCGCAAGUCAAAAAUGGUAUAUAAUUUCUUUGUUUGUCUUCUUUUGCACUUGUGGACUAGAUCAGACCAUAUGUUUCACAUUCGUCGAUCUGCUGUCUGUACCAUGCACAAUUGCUUUGCUUUUGUUUGGCGAGUUAAUAAUAAUGUUUAAUGACUUUGUCCGUCUUCUUUUGCAGUUACUGGUAGCAUUGUCGACCAGAUCAGACCAUAUGUUUCAGAUAGGGGUGGGUACCAUUUAGUUUGGUUCGGUUAAGUUCUAGAACCGAACCAAACUGAAACCAAAUGGUUCAUGAAUUUAUGAAGUAAAUGUGAACUAAAUUAUAGAACCGAACCGAACCAAAUUAAUUUGGUUCGGUUUGGUUUGAUUUUAUCUUAUAUAUUCAUUAUUCAAUAAAAAAAAUAAUAUAAUAAUACACUAUUAAUCCAACAAUAAUCUUAAGUCUAUAAAUUAGCAAACAAUAAACAACAUAAUAAAAUCUAACAAUAAUAAAUUAAAAUGAUAAAAGUCAAUAAUAAAAUAAAGUGUAUGCUAUGACAUAUAUAAUAUCAUGUAUUAACUAACAAAUAGAAAUUAAAAAAAUAAAUUCUGAACUAUUUUUUAAUUUUAAUUUUAAUUUUUUCUUGAACCAUUUGGUUUGGUAAUUUGGUUCGGUUUUGAACCAUGUGUAAUUUGACAUAGAAGCUUAAAAAGGAAAAUCAUUCUUUUUAUUAAUAUUAUAUCCGUGUUAUGUUGAAAAUUGAUUAAAAAAAAAAAAGAGUUGAAAAGUCAAUUUGGAAGAUAUCAUUUGAAUUCAAUUUGGAGAUAGUCGAGAAGUUUGAUAAGCAAUUGGAAGUGGUCAAAACUAUUGAAAUGGUGGCUAUUGAAUGUUGAAAAAUUGGCUUGAUUUUAGGCAAAAUUUUGCCUAUAAAAGGGAAGCUCUCAUUUGAAAACCAGGUAUCCAAAUCCCAGAGAAGCGAUCCAAAUUUUGGUGAGAAUUGAGAGAUAAAAAUAUUCUUAAGUAUGUUAUAUUGAAGGAGCAUUUGGCUCCUCAAUAUGGGUAUUACGGGUUUGCUUUGUUAAGAGAUAUUUCUCAGAAUUAUGUAUUUGGGGCUUGGGUGAGAGAAAUUUAUUUCUGAGAGUGGUUGUAAUAAUUUUCCACAUAGUAAAUAUUUUUCUCUGGUUGUUUCUCGACAAUGGCCGUGGUUUUUUUCCGGAUUUGGAGUUUUCUACGUAAAUCUUGUGUUGUGUGGUUGAUGUAUUCUCCAUUUAAUUUUUUAUAUUAAUUUGUUGCUUGAUAAAUUGCUUAGAGUGAUCUUAAGAGGAAGCUCAAUUUCCUAACAUGUUAAGCGGACAGGCUAGAGGAUCUGUUUUCUCAUAUUAAAUUUGGAUGCAACCAUUCUGUCAGCUUGUAUCACAGAUUCACAAAAGUCCUCAACAAAGAACAGAAACAGAUAUUGUGAAAAAAAAAACACAGCAGGGUUAAUAUAAGCGGACUGGAUGUUGUUUGUUAAGUCAAAUCAUGAGCAAAUGCUAUUUCUCGAAAUACUACCGGCGAAGAUACAGUAUUUAAUAACAUAUUUGGCCGAAAAAAAUUGUAGGAUGAGAAAUCCGCUUAUCAUAAAUCAAACAAUGACAAAUCAAUGAAUUUCAUUAUUGCUCAUCCUAGAGGAGAGAAAGAAGAGGACAAAGAUGAUGCAAGUUCAUAAGAUGAAAACUUUUGAUUUGAAAAUACACAUGUACCAAUCAAUCCAUGAACAAAGAGGUAAGAAUGUAACAAGAUCACGAAACAAAAAUCGGUUCCACAUGAAACAUAAUUCUCGUAGAAAAAUAUUAAGUUUGGCAGCCUUUUUAGCAUCACUUCUCUCUCACUUCUAUUUGAAACUAUGAAAAGGUGUUCAAGAACAAGUGUUUGUCAUUCGUCUUAUGCCCAACAAGACUUUCUAUCUUCAGUAUUUAAUACAGCUUAAUUGCCGAUAUGCCUGAUAUUCCUCCAUUCAUGAAGUUGAGCAAUUAGUCCCACCCGAACAACUCAAAUGGAAUGAAGCAGCAAUCACAUUGCAGAAGGAAAAAGUCGGACUGCCUCACACAUUCAGCUCAACAAAAGGUGUAAUCUCGAGGAAACCCCUAAAUUAACCAACGUUAGUGAAUCCUCUUCGGUGAUCUGCUGUUUCUUUACUCUCCAUUUACUAACCUUGGAAAAUCAGAAACGCUAAACAGAAAUGAAAACGAUCGCUAUUUACAUUCAUAUCCCUUGCAUUUUAUAUCCAACACAGCAAUGUUCGCAUCCUUUGUAAAGAUCUCCAUUGCAGCAAUUUAUGUGUCCUUUGCAGGAAUUUUUAGUAAUGCAGCAUUGAUAAAAUCCAGCGGAGCCUGGAGAUCUAACUUUCUUAAUUUCCGGCUGUUAAUAAGUAAAACAAUUUCUAACAGGAUUUAGAUUUACAAAUUAACUUCAUUAUUUUAGCUGAGGGAGAAAAUGGAAUAUGCUAUGUAGCCUCUUGUAUUAAUAAUCAAAAGAAUUUGAUUGAUAAAAGAGAUUUGAUGUGUGUUUACAAAUAAAAGAUGUCCUUUUGAUUCUUUUUCUUUUUAUUGGUUGCAGUCACAAACCCUAAAGUUACCUAAUUAGAUUAAGAAAUUUGCUUAAUGAACGACGAUUUUACAGAAAUAUACACAGAGUAUGCCCGGUUUUUAAGUUUUGCAUAUUUAAAAAGGGGAAAAAAGGAGGAAAAUUUUGGAUUUCAUUUAAAAAAGAGAUAUUAUAAUUAAUUAAUAAGAGUAGGAUUUGGAUUCUCUUCUAGUUUUCCCUCUUCUAAUUUUUCUUGAGCUUUCAAUAAUGUAGUUAUAAAGUUAAUUUCUAGGGCAAAAAAAAUUGAAAGCUUAAGAUUUCAUUGUAUAUUGUAAUCUAAUUAUUAGCAAUUAAAUUCAUUAAGUUUGACUUUUAAUAACUUUGUAAAAGCACACAAUUUUAUUUCUAUACCCAAUUCUUUCCUUCAACAUCAAUCCUUUCCUUUUUUUCAAUCCCCGAGUUCCGAUCAAGCAGUAAAAAGAUGAAGAGAAAUUGUUUCCUUCUUAAAAAUGACGUCUUUAUAAAUUUGUCAAGCAGAAAAAAAAAUAAAAAGCUUAACUAGGACAUUAGUUUAUUUUUAUAAAAUUUAAAUAUUUUGAGAAUAUAAAUCAAGUAAAACAACUUAUAUACCGUUAAUUUAAUAAUAAAUUGUAAAUUAUGGAGAAACCACCGGGGUAAAAAUCAAAAUGACAGAAAAUUUCCCAUUAUAUCUUGUACAUGUAUAAUUUCUCCAUGUAUAAAUAACCGGCUUUAUUGGAGCCAAGUCAUCAAAAGCUCCCUAGUGCUCUAUGUGCUCUCUUACUUAGAUGCAGCUCCGUUGGUCAAAUGUUUGCUCGAUGUAUAUUUGGUACAUGAACAACACUUGCAUGAACUUCAAAGUUCCCGGUUCAAGUCUCAACUGCUACUUUAACUGAGAUAACUUCUCAAACAAUGGGCUAAGGUUGCGAGACAUUAUAUCACACAAAGUGAAUGAAAGGAAGCAAUAGAUUUCAUAUUCGUGAAGAACUGAAGAUAGAGGUUGGAUAUUAAAAGAAUGGUGGUAUGAAUUAACUGAUAUUACUUCCAAGUUUCAACCAAUAUCCUCCCAUACGCCACAUUAAUUGUAUCUGUGUCUCUGUGUAAUUAUUUAUUUAAGGAAAAAAAGGCUAACAUAUAUAAUUGUAAUUACAAUAUUUGGGAUGAUGUUGUCGUAACAAUCAAUUAAGGCGGGCACGAGGGAGCAGAUAAAUCAAUGAAUGUUACUUACAAAGGCAUUGGUUGGAAAUCUAAUGAAGGUGUACGUUCAGUUGUUUGAUUUAUAUUGUGGCCGGUUUCCCUUCAAGAGGCUGGUAAUUAAGAGUAGGUCCAGCUCGAUAUAAAAUGCCAUUAAUAGUUAAUUGAUUAAUUAAUUGCUUCUCCGGGCUUUUAAUACGUACGCACAUGGAAAAGAAACAAACUCUGGAAGGGUAUGGUAUAAUUGAAACGAGUGAAUAUGAAUGAUAUCAUGAAGAUGGUGGAACCUAGCUAAUUUAACAACAAAUUAAUCAAUACGAAUUAAAUUAGAAAUCUUAAUUAAUUUAUUAAUACAAAUGCAUUGACGCAGCAGUACAAACAUAAGGCUUAAUAACUAAUAAUAUAUAGAGAGAUAGAAUCGAGAAAGGAAGGGAAAGAGAGAUUAUAGCUACUUAUAAAUUAAAUACAACAUGCAUGCAGAAUUAACCCACACCAUGCGUAGUUGAAGACAAAGAUGAAGAUUGGAGAUUAAAGAUGUAUCAUAAGCUAGCUAGCACAAUCGAUUGGCUGGGGGAUACGUGCUGCCAGGGGCAGGCGUGCAAUGUUCACCCUUUUUGGAAUUCUGGGAAUUAGGGGUACAAGAGCGAUAGUUUACGCCUCUUCCGCAACCGAAUGGUAGACUGGAGGGAUUCAAUACGUUUGUUGCAGCAGCAGCUAACUUUAAUUCCGGAUCAUCAUGAAAAAACAACACAUCAGGAUCAAUAUGGAAAUUAUUAAUGUUGGUGCCGUUGCCUGCAGCACAAGAUUGAUUUGCGGUGAAGAAGAGUAUCAUCAUAGCUAUGAUCGAUGCCGAGACACCGCCUCCCAAUCCCAUCACAUUAUUAUUUCCCAUGCUUUUUCCUGUGUACAAGUCUUACUGACUACUUUUUUGAGCUUGUUUGGGAGAUGCCAGCAGCUUCUUGUAUUAUAUGUAAUGUCUUGUCAAAAUCCAACUUUUUUGGUUCGAAUAGUUGACAACUUGGCUUUGGACUGGCUACUUGAUUACAUAUAUAUUGUCACGGAUUUCAUUUACUUUAAUUAUAUAUAGUGUAGGACACGUAAUGCUAUAAUUGAGCAAGUCUCACAUGUUUUUGGAUUAUUCUCGCAAAUUUAAUUUGGCAUCAUUCACCUACCAAUCUCCAAGACCAAUUCAAAAAAUAUUGUUCUUUUCCACUAGUUAAAAUAAAGUUUUUUUUUAAUACUGUAUAUUUCUUAAUUAAGGGCAUGAUUACAGACCAGGAAUUAUCAUAAUAAAAAUAUUGAAACAUUAUUAAAUAAUUAUUUAGUGUUAGUAGAAAGAAUCGAUCUAGUCGAGUGGUUUGUUCAAUAUAAUUGUACAUUUUCACUCGACAUGUACUCUUUUGGCAACAAAAACAUACAUGCACGCGUGCGCGCACACACACAUAUAUAAAAUAAGAAUAUCCUCACUUUAGUAAAAUAAGAAUUUCACUAAAAUAUAAAAAAAAAUGUUAAUACAUUGAAAACUAUAUCUUUUUUAUUUGUUAAUAUAUUGAAAUUAUAUGUAUAUAUAUAUUUUUUGGCAUUCUCACUUUGUUCGCUAUAUAUAUGUAUAAUAUAAGGAGCAAUAUUUCAACUUGAAAUUUUGACUUAAGUUUUUUACAUAAAUUUUGAGUCAUUAAUCUCAUGCAAUUGAAUAGUGGAUGAAUUGGCAUCAUUAAAUGCUAAUUUGACUUUUGAUAUCUACAAUUAGAUUGCACUAAAUCAUUAACUCAAAAUUUGUAUAAAAAAUUUAAGUUAAAAUAAAGUAUAUGAGUCAUUCUCUAGUAAGGGAUAACCUAAAGGCAAGCAAAACACACACUCUAAUAGUGUAUUGUGUAUAUAUAUAUAUAUAAUGAUUUAGGGUCAAGCUAGAAGAUAAGAAAAACACACACUCUGAUAUUAUAUAUUUUGUCUUAUAGUAUAUUAAAAUGUGUUUUUUUGUUUGUAAAUUAUCCGUUAAUUUGUAUUAAAUUAAAGAAAUUUUCUACCAAAAGAUCUCUUAAUUUAUUAAGUAAGGGAUAACAUAUUUUCAGCAGUACUUUUAUCGAGUCUCUAUACAUAUAUAGUAAUUUUUUGAUAUAAGAAUAAUUCAAUUAUUAAAGUAAGGGAUAACAUAUUUUCAACAUUAGUCUUAUCGAGAUUAUCGAGUUUCUUCUGUAAUUUGGAGGGCUCCUUAACUUCUAACAUUCACUACAAGAAUAAUGNNNNNNNNNNNNNNNNNNNNNNNNNNNNNNNNNNNNNNNNNNNNNNNNNNNNNNNNNNNNNNNNNNNNNNNNNNNNNNNNNNNNNNNNNNNNNNNNNNNNNNNNNNNNNNNNNNNNNNNNNNNNNNNNNNNNNNNNNNNNNNNNNNNNNNNNNNNNNNNNNNNNNNNNNNNNNNNNNNNNNNNNNNNNNNNNNNNNNNNNNNNNNNNNNNNNNNNNNNNNNNNNNNNNNNNNNNNNNNNNNNNNNNNNNNNNNNNNNNNNNNNNNNNNNNNNNNNNNNNNNNNNNNNNNNNNNNNNNNNNNNNNNNNNNNNNNNNNNNNNNNNNNNNNNNNNNNNNNNNNNNAAAAAAAAAAAAAAAAAAAAAAAAACACAACACAUCACACACGCUGCACGGGUGCACGCACACAUCACAAACAGCUGCAUCACACUUAACCAAGACACAAUCACACAACUCACUCACGCAGUCAACUAGUCAAGCACAGCUCUCAAUUCUCAAACUCAAAAACCCUAAGCCACUAAGCCAGCCACUGCCACCUAGCCCACCGCCGAGUCAGCCAGCAGCAUCGUGACUGUCGACGCACGCUAGCCAAUCAGCUGCGUCUCGCCGUCGCGCCUCUCCAUCGCGUCUCGCCGUCGCAAACUCCAAAGGUCUCGCUGUCGCAUCUGACUGUCGCGUUUCUUCCGCCAUCGUGACCCGCCAUCUUGACCAACCGCGACGCCGCUAGGUGAGUGAGUAGCCUCGAUUGGUUCUGUAAUUAGCCAUAAAACCAGUAGCCUCGAUCGGUUCUGUAACUCUGUUGAACUUUUUAAGUUGUAAUUAUAAAUAGUAAUUAUAAUCCAAUUCACUGCUUUUUAAGUUGUAAACUUGUAAUUACAUGAAUUUUUGUCAUUAGAUGCAUUCCGCUAGAUUGAAUUUUUAUUUUAUUUUGUGGUGAUGGAAAGAAUUUGUUAUAGAUCAGUAACUAUAUAUUAAUUAACGAUUAAAAAGAGUGGUCCAGUGGAUGCUAUACGUUGUAAAUUGAUUUCUUUGUACUCACGAAUUUGGAAAUGCAAUCUGGAAAUGCAAGUUGCAGCUGCAUUUGGAAAAUAGUUUUGGUAGGGUCGGGCUUAGCCCGACCCGAUGUUGGCCCGAUUCGGGUCGGGCCCGACCCGAUCCUACCAAAAAAUAGGUAGGGCUUUUUUAGGGUCGGGCUUUAGUUUUUUAUUGAUCGGGUCGGGUCGGGUUUGGCCAAGCCCGAGCCCGACCCGAAGUUUUGCCAUCCCUAGCAUCAACUGCCCUUGGAAAUGAGAUUGGAUAACAUAAAUGAUUACUAUUCUAACAGUAAUUUGCCCUCGAAAAUGCAAGAAACACAUUGGAAAUAUGCUUCUUUUUUAUUUAGUGACCCAUUUAAUUUAUUUAAUAUUAUUAUUUCUUACGCUUUUUGUUUUUAGUUUUUUUAAGUAUUUGUAAUGCCAAUACAACACAAUCAAUUUAGCAAUAUUUCAACUUGAAAUUUUGACUUACGUUUUUUACAUAAAUUUUGAGUCAUUAAUCUCAUGCAAUUAAAUAGUGGAUGAAUUGGCAUCAUUAAAUGCUAAUUUGACUUUUGAUAUCUACAAUUAGAUUGCACUAAAUCAUUAACUCAAAAUUUGUAUAAAAAAUUUAAGUUAAAAUAAAGUAUAUGAGUCAUUCUCUAGUAAGGGAUAACCUAAAGGCAAGCAAAACACACACUCUAAUAGUGUAUUAUAUAUUUAUAUAUAUAAAAUGAUUUAGGGUCAAGCUAGAAGGUAAGAAAAACACACGCUCUGAUAUUAUAUAUUUUAUCCUAUAGUAUAUUAAAAUAUGUGUUUUUUUUUUUGUAAAUUAUCCGUUAAUUUGUAUUAAAUUAAAGAAAUUUUCUAACAAAAGAUCUCUUAAUUUAUUAAAGUAAGGGAUAUCAUAUUUUCAGCAUUACUUUUAUGGAGUCUCUAUACAUAUAGAGUAACGUUUUGAUAUAAGAAUAAUUCAAUUAUUAAAGUAAGGGAUAACAUAUUUUCAACAUUAGUCUUAUCGAGAUUAUCGAGUUUCUUCUGUAAUUUGGAGGGCUCCUUAACUUCUAACAUUCACUACAAGAAUAAUGAUUAUUUCCUCGGGCAAAUACCCUCGGAAAUAUACAAACGCCCUCGGAAAAACUCAUUUCCAAUAAAGUCAUGCCGUCAACUGUCAUCGUAUUAAGUCGCAUCGAAAAAGCACAAUUUUCUAUGGGUCGUCGCAAAAAAAAUUAUUUUCAAUAGCAACGACAUCAUAAAUGACACCAAAUGCCCUCAGAAAUAAUCCCUAUAAAACCAAAAAUUACAUAUUUCCAAUUGCAUUUGCCCUUGAAAAUGGCAUCAACUGCCCUUGGAAAUGAGAUUGGAUAACAUAAAUGAUUACUAUUCUAACAGUAAUUUGCCCUCGAAAAUGCAAGAAACACAUUGGAAAUAUGCUUCUUUUUUAUUUAGUGGCCCAUUUAAUUUAUUUAAUAUUAUUAUUUCUUACGCUUUUUGUUUUUAGUUUUUUUAAGUAUUUGUAAUGCCAAUACAACACAAUCAAUUUCAAUAGUAUUUUUUGAAAAAAAAAUCCCAAAUGUAUAUGCAGUAUGAUCUCAUAGCUUGAAUUAUUUCAAUCAUCCUCCAACACGUCUUCUUCAGUCUCUGAGAAUUGCGUUCGCUUCUACCUCAUCUUCUCAAUUCCCAUCAUCAUCUUCAUUCGACCAAAUAAUAUCCAUCCUAUAUAAAUCAAGAAAUAUUAAUCUGCUCCAUCCCCACAUCAUCAUUAGUAGACCAAAUAAUAUCCUAGAUGAAUGAAGAAAUAUUAAUCAGUAAAUUAUCAAAUCAGUAACUAGUAUAAUAAUAUGCUAUAUUCGAACAAUCACUUUGUAUAAAGCUAAGCAUAAGUAUUAUAACCAAAAUAUGGUUAAGAAGCCUAACAAAAUAUGAUACUGGAGCAAUGGAUAAUAAUCAUUAGAGCAAUAUUUUGUAACAAUAAGCAAGUAUGCUAAUAUUUGGAGUCAACAGCAAGAGUUGGAUUCUAAAUUUAGCAAGUAUUUACUAACCUAUAAAUUUGGACAUUAGUCCGUAUACAAGUUUAGAGAGGUCGAAAAAUGCAACACUGCCAUUAAAAGAUCUAUGUGCUUGCGAUAAUCUAGUCUAUCGGUUACAAAACCCUGUUAUGGUUAGUUUCUAUAGAUUAGAAAGUGAAAAGCAAAUUGAAAAAAAAGGCUUGAAAGUAAAUGAAAAUUAACAAUUGAGUUUCCAAGAAAGAGCUUCACUAUUCUUUUCAACUCCUUCACUUCCUUAUCCAAAAACUAUAAUACAAUGAAGAAUGCCAAACAAUGAGCAUGAAAUAAUUGCUACUUGAAGUAUCAACCAUCGCCAAUUAUAAAUUGUUCACAAACCUUGAAAGAGAGUAAAACUACUAUGAAGAGCUUGGAUUCAUCAUCAGAAACAGCAACAAAAGCAAGCCCUUCAGCUAGCUCAACUGAAAACUCAUCAACUGUCAAAUUAUAUGUGCGUACAAAUUAACCUAAAAAUAUAUAUAUAUAUAUAUAGUUUAAACAUAGUAGUAUUAUUUUCCUAAUGAGCCAAUACUCAGCAUGCAUGGCUUUGAAUGUAGACUCAAAUAAUAUGCGGUAAAUAGAAUCCAAACAGAAAAUAAAAGAAAAAUCGUUCCAGAUUUAAGUAGUUAUAUGUUAGUUACCUUAGUUUCGACCUCGUUGUGCACUCUCAGAUAAGGAACAUUGUUAUUAAAUUCUCUAGCAGUUGCAGCAUGUGCUACUUUACUCUUUAAUUUAAUAGCAGAGUCCACAGUCCCCAUCUAUCAACUAAGAAAUUCAAUAAGGAAAACAAAAAUUGGACAAAGCUUCAAAGUCCAUAGUCCUUGUAUACCCGCAAGGAAAGUUUUUCAAAGGUUUUAACUUAUUACAUAUAGAUGUUACCAUGAAAGCAAAUAAACAGUGGCGGCACAUGCUCUGUAAAUUAAAUUCAGUAACUAACAAAAUAUAAAAUAAAAAUACAGUAACUAGUUGUCGCUAGGCCUGCUCUCUGAUUCAAUAUUUUUUUCUUUUGGUUGUUAUUCUCUUAUUCUUCCCUACCGGAUUUGAUUCCUAAUUAGCAUUUGAAAAUCAAGCAUGUGCUGCUGCUUCUGAUUUUUUGAGUUAUUUUAAUUAGACUUAUGCUAUAUCUUAUCCUUCUUGCUUUCAUUACGCCAUACUAUUAAUUAAUAACUUGUGCUGACAAGCACGCAUGCAUUGAUAAUUAAUUCACAUGAUUCUUGAUCAACUAAAUGGAAGAAUCAAUAUUCUUUCUGAAAAAAGAAAAUUACAAAAAUGCAAAAAUGAUGCUGCGAAGUUGUAAUUAUACACUAGAAUUAUAGUCUCCAUGAAUCUGAUAGUUUACUAUCCACUGACUAAGCCCCAGCAAUAUUUAAAUAGCAUUCAUUUUUUCUAUCAGGCAUUUCAACAAAUAGCUUGAAGAAUCCAUUGAAAUCAGAAAUAGACUCAAAAAGAGUAGAUUGAUGCAUUUGAAAUCAGAUAAAGGAGGGGUCAUUCUAUAAUGCCGUAACUAAAUUUACGGCAUUGAUGCCGUAAUGGACGUGUACCGUUAGAUUUGCAUAAAAAAUCUUUACCAUUAAUUCUAAAUAAAUAGGUAACCUGUUACCUAAGUAGCAGGUAAUUACUCUUUUUUGUUCAAGUUUCAGGUUACAUUUACCAAUUUUAUGUGUGAUUUACAAGUUUUAUGAAACUUUUACAAGUUAAUGUUGAUUUACAAGUUUUAUGCAACAUUUACAAGUUUUUGUUUUAUUUACAAGUUCUUCUUACAAUUUACAACUCGAACAUUAAUUUACCAUUUUUUCCAUUAAUUUAUUAGUUUUAUGUGUGGUUUACAUAUUUUAUGUUUUAUUUCACACUUAAUGUGAAUUUACUAGUUCUAUGUCAUUUUUCUAAGUUUUUGUUUUGUUUACAAGUUCUUCCUGCAAAUUACAAUUCCAAUAAUAAUUUACCAUUUUUUUCGUUAAUUUACGAGUUUUAUGUGUGGUUUACAUAUUUUAUGUUUUAUUUCACACUUAAUGUGAAUUUACUAGUUCUAUGUCAUUUUUAUAAGUUUUUAUUUUUUUUACAAGUUCUUCGUGCAAAUUACAAUUCCAACAUUAAUUUACCAUUUUUUUCAUUAAUUUACUAGUUUUAUGUGUGGUUUACAUAUUUUUUGUUUUAUUUCACACUUAAUGUCAAUUUACUAGUUCUAUGUCAUUUUCUAAGUUUUUGUUUUGUUUACAAGUUCUUCAUACAAAUUACAACUCCAACAUUAAUUUACUGCAUUUUCUAUCAAUUUACUAGUUUUUUUCUAUUUUUUUAUUUUUUUUAAUUUUGUACACCAAUUUACCACUGUAACGCUAAUUUACCCGUUUUACCUUCAAUGUAUGAGCCAUACGUGUGGUUUAGAAAUUUUUUGUCUUAUUUCACAUUUAUUUGGAAUUUAGGUUAUUUAGUUUAAGUCAAUUGCCUCAACUUAAAUCCAACGUGAAAAUGGUUAAAGAGUUGGAUUAUUGGCAUUUUAUGAUUUAGAUAGAAUGAUAUAAGGGUGGGCAUGAGUUGAGUUUGAUAGGGUUAGUGAAAUUCUAACCUGGUCUACUUUUUAAUGAGCUGAGAUAAAAUUCAUCCAACUUAACUAAAUAAAAUUGUUUAACCCAAUUCUACCCAAACCUUAUAUCAUCUGGUUAAGUUGAUUAGGUUGAAGGUCAAAUCAAAAUUUUAAAUUGAACAAUGAAAAUGAUAUGAAACUUAUUAAAAUCAAAUAUAAAUCUUUUAUAACAUGAAAUUUUCAUUCACUAUAUCAAAAUUUUAAAUUGUAGGUUGAAGGUCAAAUCAAAAUUUUAAAUUGAACAAUGAAAAUGAUAUGAAACUUAUUAAAAUCAAAUAUAAAUCUUUUAUAACAUGAAAUUUUCAUUCACUAUCUAGUGUACGUAAAGAAAGUUAAUAAAUUAACUAUCUUUAAAUUAAGAAAAUUUCCACAAAAAGCAUAUAGACUUUAUUUCUCCUGCAUCUCCUUUUCCAAUUCCAAAUUAAGACUUUUUAGAUAAUUAGCUAGCAUCAUAUACAAAAAUAAAAUGAAAGUGAUAUAUAAUUAUGUGCCGUUAAGUAUUCACUAAAAAAAUAAAAAAAAUUAAAACCAACUUACUUUUAUAUUAAUCUUAUAAAAUAAUAAAUUCACUUAUAAGAGAUUGUGAUUUUGGUUUUGGAAUUGUAGUCUAGAGCAGCAGAUGCAAGAAUGAAAUAGCCUCUUGUAUUAAAAGAUUAAAAAGAAAAAAAAAUUAGAUUCAUCCCUCAAUUUAUCUAUGUCAUCAAUACCAAGAUCCACAUCAAUGUCGACUCCACCAUCUUUUAUUCCCAUAAAAAAAAAUGACAAUCAGUUAUUGCUUGUAACACGUCCCAAAUUUAAUGGAAAUUAAUUAUCGCACCUACACUCACCACUUUUUUUCCUUGUUCCCGUAAUGUUUUUGCUUCUUGCUUGCUGCAAUCAAUUAUAAAUAUUUUGAAAAAAAUAUAUAUAAUCAGUGCACGUUAACAUUAUUGUGAUUGGCUUUACUAAAUAUUCAUAAAUUUACCAACAGUCAAAAAUAUAAUAUUUAAUGUAAGAAGACUUACAAAUACUCAAUGAAAGGCCGAUUUCUUCUUAAAAUUUCAUUUUCUUGGCUCACAUUAUCAUUCUCGUUACCCUCAUCUACAAUUUCAGCCAUUUUCGAGUUUACAAAAAUCUGUACAUGAAGAUUUAGGCACAAAAAGAAAUGUCAAAUAUCACAAGUUUUGGAUCCUAUAAACCAACAGAACAUUUAACCCAAAAACAGCAAUAAAUUUAUCCAAAAACAGUAAAAAAUUUAACCUAAAAACAACAGUAAAUUUAUCCAAAAACAGCAGACAAUUUAACUGAAAAACAGCAGCCAAUUUAUCCAGAAACAGCAGAAACUUUAACAUAAUAACAGUAGCAAAUGAAGCCCAAAACACCAGAACAAUUAACCAAAAACGGCAGCCAAUCAUCCCAAAUACAGCAGUAAAUUUAUCCAAAAACAGCAGUAUAUUUACCCAGAAAUAGCAAAAUAUUUAACCUAAAAAUAGCACCAAAUGAAGCCCAAAACACCAAAAAUACUUCCCUGGAAACAGUAGAAAAUAUAACCCAAAAACAGCAGUAAAUUUAUCUAAAAACAACAGAAAAAUAAACUGAAAUACAGUAGCCAAUUUACCCAGAAACAGCAAAAAAUUUAAGCUAAAAAUCCAAUUUACCCAAAAACAGCAGAAAAUUUAAGCUAAAAAUAGCAGCAAAUGAAGCCCAAAACACCAUAAAAAUUUAACCAAAAACAGCAGCAAAUCAUCCCAAAUACAGCAAAAAAUUUAUCCAAAAACAGCAAAAAAUUUAACAAAAAAACAACAAUAUAUUUACCCAGAAACAACAAAAUAUUUAGCCUAGAACCAGCAGCAAAUGAAGCCCAAAACACCAGAAAAAAUUAACUGGAAAUUGCAAAAAUAUAACCCAAAAACAGCAGUAAAUUUAUCUAAAAACAGCAGAAAAAUAAACUGAAAAACAGCAGCCAAUUUACCCAGAAAUAGCAGAAAAUUUAACCUAAAAACAGCAGCAAAUCAUCCCAAAUACAGCAAAAAAUUUAUCCAAAAACAGCAAAAAAUUUAACAAAAAAACAACAAUAUAUUUACCCAGAAACAACAAAAUAUUUAGCCUAGAACCAGCAGCAAAUGAAGCCCAAAACACCAGAAAAAAUUAACUGGAAAUUGCAAAAAUAUAACCCAAAAACAGCAGUAAAUUUAUCUAAAAACAGCAGAAAAAUAAACUGAAAAACAGCAGCCAAUUUACCCAGAAAUAGCAGAAAAUUUAACCUAAAAACAGCAGCAAAUCAUCCCAAAUACAGCAAAAAAUUUAUCCAAAAACAGCAAAAAAUUUAACAAAAAAACAACAAUAUAUUUACCCAGAAACAACAAAAUAUUUAGCCUAGAACCAGCAGCAAAUGAAGCCCAAAACACCAGAAAAAAUUAACUGGAAAUUGCAAAAAUAUAACCCAAAAACAGCAGUAAAUUUAUCUAAAAACAGCAGAAAAAUAAACUGAAAAACAGCAGCCAAUUUACCCAGAAAUAGCAGAAAAUUUAACCUAAAAACAGCAGCAAAUCAUCCCAAAUACAGCAAAAAAUUUAUCCAAAAACAGCAAAAAAUUUAACAAAAAAACAACAAUAUAUUUACCCAGAAACAACAAAAUAUUUAGCCUAGAACCAGCAGCAAAUGAAGCCCAAAACACCAGAAAAAAUUAACUGGAAAUUGCAAAAAUAUAACCCAAAAACAGCAGUAAAUUUAUCUAAAAACAGCAGAAAAAUAAACUGAAAAACAGCAGCCAAUUUACCCAGAAAUAGCAGAAAAUUUAACCUAAAAACAGCAGCACCUGACCUCUGGUUACCGCACUUUCAUUUGUGUGUAAAGUCUCCCAAAUUCUUUAGUCAUGGCGUAAUAGAUUCUCUUAUAUAAAUAAUGAAUAAUGUUGUUAACAGAAGCCCCUGAACUUAGAAUUACUUCCAGUUCUUUAUAUUCUUAGUUCUAAUAAGGCAAGAGUGAGUUUUGGUAUAUCUAAUGGGAUAUAGAAAGGUAUUUACCCCCAUUUUAUCUAGCAACUUCAAAACCUGGUAAGUCUCUCGCAAAACCUGAAUUUAGAUGGAUGGACUUCAAAUUAAUCCUAAUAAAUUUUUUAAAAAAUGGAAAGAAAAAUUGAGUAACUGCGGCAAAAUUAUGCAAAGAAAUUAAACUGGCUGAGAAGAUGGAGCAACUUAAAUGUGCUUGAUGUAGCAAAUUAAAUGAUUGGACUAAGAUACUUGAUUCCCCAAAAGUCAGUGUCUUCAAAGUGUUGAAACUUGAAAGGAAAACACAACCCUUCACUCAAAACAAAGACCUGGAAUGACUAAGAUAGAAUUUCAUACACAUGAAAGAAAUUACGAGGGCUAAUUUGCUUUUCUAAUAAUCUCUUUCUUAAUGAUGGCAUUUUGACUUGUGUGGGAAUGAAGUGGGAACAAUGAUGAUGAUGGGGACAAUAAUGGGAAGAGGACAUGAUUAUUGAUGUUGGCUUAAUUCUGCGGGCAUUGAGAGUUAAAAGAAGAGAGAGAGAGAUGAUGAAAAAAUAGAAAAUUCAUUCUAUAGUUUCUGUGCUCCUCUCUCUCUCUCUCACAUCAUGCCAGAGGACGAAAACAGAGUAAAGAUGCAAAAUUGUGCACAGAAGGAAUAUUAUAUCAGAUAAUAUAAAAUUGAAUGAGAGAUCUGGAACUAAAUUGCUUAGCAUAACAUGAAACCUUCGACUCUUCAAAGUUGGAAGCCAAGGAUUAACUUACCUUGCACAAGUGAUGAUGAACAAACCAGGACAGAGACAGCAACAACAGAGACGCAGCAGUUGGAAGGCAGAAAAUUGGCUCAAGGAUGGCUACAAUCUACCAGCGCACUCGAACAGAAGUUUACGCAGGGGUGGGUGUGGCUUUCUCUUUUGCAAUUCAUUGAUUAGGGAUUGAAUUUUGCCUUUAUAUUAUAUUAUUCUUUUAAUAGGCAAACCCCCUUUCUUUAAUUUUAAACCGGUUAAAUUUUACUUUUAAAAUAAUAUUUAACCGACUUGUAACCGGUUAUAUGUAAUUUAAUCAAUUUCUUUUAUUGAAUUAUAAUUAUUUAGAAUCGUUGAUUUAAUCUAACAGUCCACGUCUAUUACGGCAUCAAUGCCAUAAAUUUAAUUAUGGCAUCAUAGAAUUUUCCCACAAUAUAUAUAUGUAUGUGCAUGUUGUGUGUGACCGUGCUGCUUAGUGGGGAUGGCCAUAAAAUGGACGUAAAGGUGGAAGGCCAUGAUUCCCCAUGAGUACAGCAAAAUUAAAUAAGGAAUUCCAAUACCGUCAAUUCUGCGUUUUAAUUUUAAGUUGAAGUAUAAUAAAACAAGAGGCUCAUGUGAUUUAAUUUUGUAUAUUUAAUUAAGUGAAAAUGAAACUUGCAUUGCAGCCAGACAUAGUUUAACCGGCUAUUAAUGCACUUUGUUCCUGUAUUUUUCCAAGUUUGAAUAUUAAUAAAAUUCAAAGUUGAUAUUCAAUGGAUAAGGUUUCUCAUCCCUAAAAUUUUAUUUAAAGAAAAAAAAACAAUCUCAGAGAAAAGAAUACAAACUGCAGGACCAUUGCAAAGAUCCUGGAGUAAGAGAAAAUUUUGUAAUUAGCACAACAUGUAACUUCAAUGACUAAAAGGAAGAAAAUAAAAUAAAAUAAAAUAAAAGAAAGCACAACAUGUGCCAUCAAUGAAAUUAGCUUUUAUUCUUUGUCAAAGUGGAAUCUAUUUGGUAAUUAGACACGUGCUUAUAUAUAGUAGAUAACAUUCUAUAAUGGUAGUAAUAGCAGACUCUGCGUAUUUUCGAAAAAAAAAAUGCGACAUUCUUUUUUGGAAUAUUUGUCAUGUUUUCCUCUGUUUAUCUGCUCUGCCAACUCGUAGGGUCUUCAUUGUUUUUCUAUUUUCCCAGCCUUUUUAAAAUCUCAAGCUUGUCAAAUAUUUUAGCAAUUACUUUGUAAAAAUUAGAAGUUCAUGUCCUUCACUUGCAUUGCUUUCAAUUACUUGAGCCUUCACAAACUAAACCAAAAGAAUUUUUUUACUUUAGCAAAUCUCUUUCAAAAAAUUCCUAUUUUUCUAUAAGACUCUCUUAAUAUAUGAAUUAAUAAUUACAUAAUUCAAAACUAAAUUUAUAUUAUGUAUUUUUGGCCUUUAUAAAAUAUGCUUUUAUUGUUGUUCUAGUAAUUGAUUUUGACUUAUUUCAAAGUACGUAUAAAAUAUCCAAGCUACUUAGUGGCCAAUAGUCCAUAAAAUAAACAUAAAAAUGGAUGGUCGUCUAAUUCCUCAUGACCUACAGCAAAAUUAAAUAAGGAACUCCAUUACCAUCAAUUCUACGUUUUAAUUUCAAGUUGGAAACUAGAGAAACUGGAGGCUCAGUUGAUUUAAUGCUGUAUAUAAUUAAUAAAGUAAAAGUAGAACCAGCAUGGUAGCUAGACACAGUUUAACUGGUGUUAUGAAGGCACUUUGUUUCUGCAGUUUUCUAAGUUUGAAUAAGAAUAAAAUUCAAAGUUGGUAUUCAAUGGGUAAGGUUUCUCAUCGCUGAAAUUUUGUUUAAAGAAAAAACCAGUCCCACAUAAACGAAUACAAAUAGCAGGACCAUUCAAAAGAUCCUAAAGCAAGAGGAAAUUUUGUAAUCAGCUUGGAGUAGUUUGCAAGGCAACUCCAAUAACAAAAAGAAAAUAAAAUAAAAGAAAGCACAACAGGCAGUAUCAAUGAAAUUAGCUUUUGUUCUUUGUUAAAGUGGAAUUUAUUUGAUAAUUAGACUCGCGCUUAUAUAAUAGCUAACAUGCUAUAGUAGUAAUAGGAGACUGUGCUUCAUUUUUGUCUUAAAAAAAUCGCAACAUUCGUUUUUGAAAUAAAAAAUAAAAAAUAUAUGUAUAAUGGUAAAUAUUUGCUCUAUUUUACUCUAUUUAUUUGCUCCACAAACCUGUAGGGUCUUCAUUAUUUGUCUAUUGUCCCAACAUUUUUAGCAUUUUUGCGAUUACUUUGUCAAAAGCGGAAGUUUGUAUUUCCUUCAAUUGCGUUGCUUUCAAUUACUUGAGCCUUCACAAACCAAAGCAAGCUAAAGUUGUUCCCUAAGCAAAUCUCUUUUUAAAAAAAUUCUAUUUUUCUAUUGGACUCUUUUACUAUACAAAUUCAUAAUUUUGUAAUUUGAAACUAAAUUUAUAUUAUAUGAAUUAAAACUUUUGUAGAAUAUGUUCUUUUUAUUGUUCUUGUCAUUGAUUUUGACAUAUCUGAUAUCUCAUCUCUAAUAUUGUUUGUAUACAUAAUCAAAUCAUUUUUCUACAUUCUCUAGAGUCUUAGAUCAGAAUUAAUUCAACUUCUAUUUAAUAUGUAGUUACAAAAUGGUUAGUGAAAUGAUAAAAUAAACUCAAAGCAUUGCAUAUAUAUCUCUUUUAAUUGCAAACUAUUUUCUUGUAAACAAUGUUAAAUUUUUAUAGCAUCAUUUUAUUGCCAAAUAUUUUUCAGUAACUAAAUUUUUCAUUAUUACAUGAUCAAUAUUUGUCUCUAUCAAUUCUCAUUACACGCCACAUCGAUAUCAUUCCUUAUUAUUCUUUCUUUCUAUGUUAAACUAACUCAAAUCAAUUAUAUCUUCUAUAUGAAAUUUUAUAAAAUUAUGAAAUCAAUGCUUUUAAUCUCAUAUCAUCACGGUGAUGGUACCAUCCGCGCCAGUAGCAUUAAAGUCAUGUAGACAUAUUUUCGCUGUUGCCGUGGCCAUUGCACAAAGAAUUAAAUUGAUCAGUUAUUUCCUUUGUUCUGUUUAUUUGAUCUGCUUAACUUGUAGUGUGAGCGUCUUUGUUAUUUGUCUAUUUUCCCAAUAUUUCAUAAACCUCAAACUUGUCAAAUAUUUUGAUGCUUAUUUUAUAAAAUUAUGAGCUGAUAUUUCCUCCAUUGAUAUUUGCUCCAAGCCAUGUCCUGUUAGUCAGACACAUGCCCAUUUUUUGCAUCGACUGAAAUUACUUAUUUAUUUAUUUUAUCUUCUUUCUAUAUCUUCUCUGAAAACCUUAUCGAAAUCACUCUUAGCUUAUUUCACUUAAAUUAAUUUCUUGAUAAUAUCUGAAAAAAUAAUCUUUCGCUUUAGCCGUGCCUGUGGAGUUGGUCGGACGUGAAUCCUGCUGAUUCACUAUAUGAAGAGUUGGAAGUUACUUGAUAUUCAUGGUAUGAAGAUUUGGCAGUCAUUGAGGAUUGCAGCAUGCAGGUGUUGAUAGAAUGUAUAUAAUUUUCCUGCAGCUGUUGACGGUAUAAUUAAAAUUUUCAGUGAUACUUGAAUGCAGCAUACGCAAGAAAACAGAGGAAAGAAGCUGGCUCUUACUAAUUGGCACAUUUUACUUAAUGAUGUGUGAUAAAUUUGGGACUCUAAUAAAUGUUUUGAAGAUAUAAAAAAAGGAAAGGGCUGGCAGGCAACAGACGUCUGUGCACAUGUGAACUUAUGGAUUCCCAAAAACGACUCACUAUCAACAUUGCCAUGUAAUUUAAUUUUGUGUUGUGUGCGUAUACAAAAAUUAAUCAAACUCUUUUCGACAUUCUCUAGUACCUUUGGUCAGAAAUAAUUUAUUUUUUCAAUUUGUAAAUAUCAAAUGAUUAGUGAAGUGAUCAAACACACUUAAAGCAUUGCAGUAUCUUUUAAAAGAUAACAAUGGAACGUAAGAAACUGACUGACUGGAACUUACAGAUGAAAUCAAUAUGUUGAUAACUUAAUAAUUUUUGUUGUAGAAAUAAAAAUAAAUUAAAUCAUUUUAUUCAUGAAAAAUCAUUUUUCCAUAUUUUAAGAUUGGGAUUUCACUCCGUUUCCUAACAUAUACAAAAGCAAGAUAAACACGUUCCAAAGAAUUGAUACAACAAAACCCAAAAGACUAGUAAACGACAUAAAUUUACAAAAAAAAAAAACACACAAAAAUCCUUUUUUUUUUCAAGAAAAUUAUGCGCUCAUCAAAGACAGUAUGCAAGUCAUUUUCCUAACUUCAUUUUUUUUUAACUCAAAUUUGCCUAUUAUAUUUUAUGCUUUACAGAGUGUGGUGAUGCCUUAAAAUUAAAAAAAAAAAAAGAGUUUGGUGAUGUAAGACAAUUAUUUAAUUAGGGUUUUAUUCCAUUUUUAAAAAAAUUUUGUCAACUAAAUUUUGAUUAAGGUAGUAUUUGAUAUGUUAUAGAGCAUUUCUAUUCCUUUUAGACAAUUAUUUAAAUAUAAUUAACAUACCUUCAUUCAUUCUCAUUCAAGUACAAAAAACACUCCAAUAUACUAUGAAUCUUCUGACAUAUGUAUUUCUUUUUGAUAACAUUAUUCAAUGAGCAAACACAAGUAAAGUUGUUCAAGUUAUGCUGGGGACCCUUUUCGGUAUUUAUGAUGGACUAUUAGUUAUUUAUCCUUAUAAAUUUAUAAAUAACAAUAAUAUCAUUAUUCAAUCAUUUAGAAGCAACUGAGUAUUUAUGAUUGGUUUAUCUCUCAAUAAGAACUAGACGCAUGUAUAUAUGUGAACUCUAAUUAAAUCUUGAUACUUGCAUUAAUGUAUAUAAGCCAUAUCUGAAAAACUGAGUUUUAAUUUCUACCUCCAUCUUUUAAAUGUUAGAUAAAUGUAAUUAAAUAGGAAGCGGCACAUAACGAUGGAUUCUUUUUGCUGGACACUAUUUUUCCCCCAAGUUAUCCAAUGAUGCUUAGUCCACCGAUGUCCUAUUUGUCAAGCAGACAAGAACAAGCAUAAACUCAAAACGGGGGAUUUCCAUGCGUCUGUAUCACUUAUUGGAUAUUUGGGCUCAUCAACUUUUAGAAACAGUUACAAUGAGGUAUGAAGCUCUUUCGGCACAAUAUCACGAAAUUUUGAUAUUAGCCCUUAAAAGAGCUUGGGCAAGGUCAAAGAAGUAACUGAAGGACUUCCUACAUGAUAUAAAUUACACCGGUUCUUCAUAAUUAUUAACGCCUGUCUUCUUCAAUUGCUGAUCAUCAAAACCUCAGCAAAUUGAAACUCUGUAAUUGUCUGAAGCUCAAAUACUUUCCAGAAAAGGCCCUGCCUCCCUCUCUUUUGUGAUUAGAGAUCUCGGGUUGUCCCUUGGUAGAAGAAAGGUACUCAAAAGGAUGGAGGACAAUUACAGAGGAGCUAAGACGGUAUUAAUUAGUUUCUUGUUGGGGUGGGUGUAACGUGCGACGGCCUCUAUGUAAUUCUUGAUGUUAUUAUUAUUGAUGUUGUAUCUUGGUGUUGUCUUGAUGGCUUGGCGGUCUUUGGGUGGCUGAGUUGCUUGCUUCCAAUGGCAGAGCAAAGAUGUAAUCUUCAAAUUGCCAAACAAGUCUUCAAUUAUCUUCCGAAAGAUGUGCUCCUUUGUUGACAUAGUGCUCUAAUUGUACGCAAGUAUGUGGGUAGAGUUUAGUUGAUAAUCUACUUUAACCUGUUGAACAGAACAGAUUUUCUGAAAUGAAUUUCGAAACUGAAAAUCUACAUGAGUUUUGUGUUCUAUCAUGCGUUGUAUGUAUACUGUUCAUUGUUUGAGCUUAUGAACUAAGACAUCAGAACAUAGAUUUUUUUCUAGCUAGUGUUUUUCACUUUAGAUUUGAUUUUUCACUGAAUACAAAAUUUGAACUUUGUUAUUAUUCAAAGUAAAGAUAAAUGUGCAAAUUACAACAGGUGCCAUUUUUACUUGAUUAAAUAUGUAUAAAUCACCCGAACCUUCUGUUUUCACUAUUUUCCAACUUCAAAUUAAAAUGCAUAAUUGAUGGUAUCAGAGUUCCUUCUUAAAUUUUUGUUGUAGGUCAUGGGGAAUUAAUUAGACGGCUAUCCAAUUUUAUGCCUUUUUUAUGGCCGUUCACUUAGUAGCUUGGUCAUAUAUAGACGUAUUGGGAUGUCGUAGGCCUUAAAGAAAAAAAUCAAUCUCACAUUUAAAGGAGUAGAAUCACAUGAUUUUAUGAUACGUUUACUAAUUCGGAAUGGACUAAAAUUGAAAUGUGAAAUAAAAAAAUUAAAAUAAAUUAUUUACUUCAACUAUAAGAAUCAAAAUUAAAAUAAAUUGUAUUAUCAUUAAUGUAUUUACUUUACCUUAAAAUUACAAUGAAUUAUUUAAAUUAUUAAAAUACCCUUAAAUUCAUUAUUACCACUAUAUUUAUUAUCUAUUAUAUGAUUAUGGUUAUUAAGAAAGUUAUUGUUAAUAAUAAUAAUAACAAUAAUAAUUAUUUUCCUCUUGUUUUUAUUAUUAUUUUCUCUCCUGUUUUUCUUUCUUUUUUUUUUAUCCUCUUCUCCUUUCUCUCUCUCUCUCUCUGUUUUACAAAUUCUUCGUUACUUCAUCAUCAAUCAUGUCAAUUUCAUCUUCUCCAUCAACAUCAUCAUCAUCAUCACCACAAUUAUCUUCUUCUUCCUUCUGUCAAUUUCAUUAUCAACAUCACAAUUCAGUUUCAUCUUCAUCAUCUCACCGCAAUUACAUCAUCUACAUCAUCAUCAUCGAUAAUAUUAAUCAUCAACAAUGGUAAUAAUCAUCAUCAUCAUCAAUCAUCAUCAUUAUUGUCAUAAAACAUCAUCGUUAUCAUUAUUGAUUGGUUCUUCGAUGACAACAAAGAGGCCGACCAUGACUGCGGCGACAAGCUACUGAACUGACAUGACAGAACUGACGAAUCCGAACAGUGAUGAGCAAUGGAGAUGGGCUACAAUCGGCAAUGAAUCCGACUGGUGACGAGCUGCUUAACUGGCUAGUGAGUGAGAGGAAACUUUAUUUUGAUAACAGUAAUUCCUUAACUGCUCCAGCAAUUAGACCGAAGCCAAACUGAUCGUCCACGAAACCCUCCAGACAGGGAAAUGGGGAGGGAAAAAAAGAAAAAAAGAAGUAUAACAAGUAUGCUUUAUAUGACCUUAAUAUGUUCAAAUGUAACAACUUGAUACAAUAAGUUCAUUAUUGGUCAAUCUACUUGCACUCUAUUUCAAAAAGCAAUUUGUCAAAAGCAAUAAAUUUUCUCAGUUAUCCACAAGGCAUAAUAGAUGGUUGUUGUUAAGUUCACCUAGCAACAUGAACUAUGGGAAUCAAUGGCAUUGUGAAGAGGUCACACGAGGAAAAAAAUAAAUGGCAUUGUUAAGUUCCCUUCUAGUACUUCAACAGUCUUAGCCUAUUCUUCUGAUAUGACAAAAGCAACUUCUGAAUAUGAAUAAACCUAGAAAGAAGAAUUCGGCUUUCGUAAAUAAGAAGUUCUUAAAACAAAAAGCUAACAGAUAACCAAUCAGAAUGAAUCUUGAAACCCAUCUUAUGGCUUAAACCAGACAAAUAGAAAUCUCCUCUUGCAAUAACAUAAUUGAGUCAAGUAGCCGCAAUAAUGAAAAACAAUCACCUGAUUUUUAGCAAGGCCACGUAUAACCACCGAAUCUGAAGGAAGAACAUUUCCGGCAAGAUAUUUUAGGACCCCAUUCGGAACCUGGGAGGCUGGAGAGCUCAAAGUCACUGGAUAUGUCCAAGAAAAGACGAGAUCCAACUUUUCCUGUUAGUCGUAUUAAUUAAUUAGUAUAAAUUAGUUGAAUGUUGAGUGAGUUUCUGUGAUUGCUGUGAUGUAAUAUGAUACUAUUCAAUCGAGCCACUCUGCUUUUCAGUGAUAGACACAAAUGAGAUUAGUGCACAUGCGUUAGAUAGAUAUAAUUAAAAUACCAAGAUUAUAUUCCCAUCAUAAUUAACAACUAAUUUUCAGUUCCUUGUAUCAAUUUCUAUUUCAAUAUAUCUAAUGGCAAUCUCAUGAGCUCAAUGUUAUUUUUACCGUAUUUUGCACCUUUGUGAUAUUUAAUUAAAACAACACCAACAUAAAAGAAAAUUUGACAAAAGUACUGCCAAGAUUAUCAUCAUCUGAAUUUUGGAUACCAAACAUCAUUUGUAAAUCAACAAUCCAAAACCAACUACAAAUACCCCUUAGAUAGAAAUUCAUAUUACAGUUUGUCCAACAACUAGAAACACCAUAAAAGCAGAGUACAUAGCUUGUCACAUAAAAACAGAUUAUAUCUUCUCCUCAGCAGCUGAAUCUUCCUAAGAGCUCAAUGAUAACACAAUACACAAUUUGAUGCAUAGUUGCAUGAUCGGGAAGUCUAACUUUGUACUUGCAAGAUGAUCUUUUCAUCAGACUUGGUCAAAGAUCGUUUUGUAAUUAAUUUCAUAAGCUGAAUGUAUAUAAAUGCUCGAGUGUUCUUCAUUAAAAUAGCCUGAUUGAACAUAAUUAAUAUAAUGGAAAUCAAAUUAUAAUGAUUGGAUUUUCUAGAUUAGCAUUAUUUCAUCUUUGUAUAAUCUAACUUGAGACAAUCAAUAUUUAUACCGAUUUCAUCCAUUUGAUCGUUACUUUGAUGUUUGCUUUUAAAAAUUCUCUUCACCUACCGAUUUCAUUUAACAAAAAUUUUACACACAAGACAACUUUACAGAGAAUUAUAUAAAACCAAAUGAAAUAUCAAGGCUGUUCACGAAUUGCCUUCGUGUGGUUCAAUAGCCAAGCAAGUCUUCAAUUAUUUGUUAUAAGAACUGCCACUCUGAACUAAGGGGCGGUGAGCUGAGGAUUAUUGCUAAAAUAUGAGUUCUCUGUUCUAUCAUGCAUCUUGUAUACUAUCAAUUGUUCCAGCUUAUAAACUAAGACAUCGAAACAAAGAUUCUGUUCUAGCUACUGUUUUUCACUUUAGAUUUGGGAUUGAUGUUCAGCUUUAUCUUUUAGCGCCUGUGACAUCCCAAUACACACACACACACACGCACACACAUAUUGUAUAUGACCAAGCUACUUAGUGGGGAUGGCCAUAAAAUAGACGUCAAAAUGGAUGGCCAUCUGAUUCCCCAUAACUGCAGCAAAAUUAAAUAUGAAACUCCAAUACUGUCAAUUCUUCGUUUUAAUUUUAAGUUGAAGUAUAAUGAAACUGUUAGGAAAUUGAGCUUCCUCCCAAGAUCACUCUAAGCAAUUUGUCAAGCAACAAAUUAACAGAAAAAAUUAAAUGGAGAAUACACCAAUCACACAACAGUAGAUUUACGUGGAAAACUCCAAAUCUGGAGAAAAACCACGGCCGUUGUCAAAAGCCAACCAGAGAAAAAAUAUUCACUAUGUGGAAAAUUAUUACAACCACACUCUGAGAAAUAAUUUUCUCUCACCCAAUCCCCAAAUACAUAAUCCUGAGAAAUAUCCUUUAACAAAGCAAACCUGUAACACCUAUAUUGAGGAGUCAAAUACUCCUACAAUAUAACUACAUGCUUAAGAACAUUUCUCUCUCUCAAUUUCUCACCAAAACUUGGAUCGCUUCUCUGGGAUUUGGGAUGCCAAGCUCUCAAAUGAGAGCUUCCUUUUAUAGGCAAAAUUUUGCCUAAAAUCAAUCUAUUUUUUCAACAUUCAAUAGCCACCAUUCAACAUUCAAAAUAGUUUUGGCCACUUCCAAUUACUUUUCAAAGUUCUCGGCCACCUCCCAUUUGAAUUCAAAUGAUGUCUUUGAAUUUGACUUUUCAACUUUUUUUUAAUCAAUUUUCAACAGAAACGAGAGGCUCGUGUGAUUUAAUUUUGUAUAUUUAAUUAAGUGAAACUUGCAUUGUAGCUAGACAUAGUGUAACCGGCUAUGAAUGCACUUUGUUCCUGCAGUACUUUCUAAGUUUGAAUAUUAAUAAAAUUCAAAGUUGAUGUUCAAUGGAUAAGAUUUCUCAUCCCUGAAAUUUUAUUUAAAGAAAAAAACCAAUCUCACCGAAAGGAAUACAAAUUGCUGGACCAUUGCAAAGAUCCUAGUGUAAGAGUAAGUUUUGUAUUUAGCUUGGAGCAGUUUGCAAAGUAACUUCAAUAACUAAAAGGAGAAAAAUAAAAUAAAAGAAAGCACAACAUAUGCCAUCAAUGAAAUUAGCUUUUAUUCUUUGUUAUAGUGGAAUUCAUUUGGUAAUUAGACACGUGCUUAUAAAUGGUAGCUAAAGUUCUAUGGUAGUAAUAGCAAACUGUGCUUCUUUUUGGGAAAAAAUAUCGCAACAUUCUUUUUUGGAAAAAAAUAAAAAAAAAUAUAUGUAUAACAGUAAAUAUUUGCUUUGUUUUCCUCUGUUUAUUUGCUCUGCCAGCUUGUAGGAUCUUCAUUAUUUGUCUAUUUUUCCAGCUUUUUUAACAUCUCAAACUUGUCAAAUAUUUUAGUGAUUACUUUGUCAAAAUCAAAAGCUUGUAUUUCCUUCAAUUGCGUUGCUUUCAAUUAGUUGAGUCUUCACAAAUUAAACCAAACUAAAGUUGUUCCUUAAGCAAAUCUCCUUUAAAAAAAUUCUUAUUUUUCUAUAAGACUCUCUUGCUAUACAAAUUAAUAAUUAUCUAAUUCGAAACUAAAUUUAUAUUAUGCAUUUGUGGUUUUAUAAAAUAUGCUCUUAUUGUUGUUUUUGUGAUUGAUUUUGACUUAUUUCAUUUCUAAUUUUUUUUAAGACAAAAAUCAAAUCUCUUUUCGAUAUUCUCUAGAGUCUUUGGUCAAAAUUAAUUGAACUUCUAAUUAACAUGUAGUUACAAAAUGGUUAGCGAAGUGAUAAAAUAAACUCGAUGCAUUGGAUAUAUAUCUAUUAAUUUUAAUUGUCAAUUUAUUUUCAAUAAAUACAUAUUUCAUUAUGACACGAUCAAUAUUUGUUGUCUAUCUUUACUCAUCACAUGCCACAUCGACAUCAUUCCCCAUUACUCUUUCCGUAUAUGUUAAGCUAACUCAAAUCAAUUAUAUCUUUUCUAUGAAUUACAUAAAAUUAUGAAAUCAAUGUUUUUAAUAUCAUACCAUCAAAAUUGAUUGAUAAGGAAAUGUUAGUGUAAUGCUGCACGGUGAUAGUACCAUGCCAGUCGGAUAAUGUUGUCAUGUAGACAUAUUUUCGCUGUCUGUGGCCAUUGCACAAAGUAAUAAAUUGAUCACUUAUUUCCUCUGUUCUGUUUAUUUGAUCUGCUUAACUUGUAGUGGCUUUAUUAUUUCUCUUAUCCCAAUAUUUCAUAAACCUCAAACUUGUCCAUUGAUCCUUGCUCCAAGCCAUGUCUUGUUAGUCAGACUACGAAGCUCGCUCAUUUUUUGCAUCGACUGAUCAAAUUACUUAUUUUUCUUUUUGAUCUAUGUUCUAUAUCUUCUUUGGAAAUGUUAUUGAAAUCACCCUUAGCCAAUUAUCAAAUCAAAUGAAAAGUUCUGUCAGCACUUGCAACAUAUGCAAGUGCUGACAGAAUAUGUAUAAUUUUCAUGUGUUGAUGGUGUAAAAUUUUGAGUGAUACUUAAAAGUUGCAACACAUUCAAGAAAUCAGAAAAAAGAAGCUAGUUCUUCCUAAUCGGCACAUUUUACUUAAUGAUGUGCCACAAAUGUGGGACUCUAAUAAUGUUUGGGAGAUAUAAAAGAGCUUGGGUAACAAUGUAGGAAGCUCUACUCUUCAGUGAUGGUACAAUGUUUCGUGAUUGUCAAAUAUUUUCUCUUUUAAUUAAUCAUAAAGAACUAGUAGUCGUAUUAAUUAAUUAGUAUAAGCUAGCUAGCUGAAUGUUCAAUGUUAUUGCACUUUUGAGCUACAUAUGGCCUGGUAUGCUCGCGCAAUGAAAUUAGAGUAGUGCUAGAGAGAGAGAAGCAUGAGAGAAAGACGAGAGAAUUUUGCUCUCUCUCUCUCUACCCACUCACUCUCUCUCUACCCAUUUCUUCAUUGUUUCUCUCAUCUUUCUCUUGUGCUUCUCUACACCAAGCAUUUUCCAUGAAAUUAAGUUUUGAGUUUAUGUGAUAUGAUACUAUUCAAUCAAGUAACUCUACUCUUCAGUGAUAGACACAAAUGAAAGUGCACAUGCAUUAGCUAGAUGAUAAGUAAUAGACCAAGUAUAUAUUCCCAUCAUAGUUAACAACGAACAAUCUUACGUGAUCCAGUGUCAAUUGGUUUUCAGUUUCUUUUAUUGAUUUCUUUUUCAAUAUAUAUAACGGCAACUUCAUGAGCUGAACGUUAAUUUCACUGUAUUGGGCACCUUUAUGAUAUUCUAUUAAACCAUGGAAAUGGGGGUUCGAGAUUUUGAACGAUUUAUUUAAUUGUAAAUUGUUCGGAUUAUGUAUGUUUCAGUCAAAAAUAGGAGAGUUCCUUGAAUUGGUUUGACUUCCCCUUUUGUAUUAUAGUAAAAAACAGAGGUUGUUCUGCCUUUCUAAUUAAUGUUAGUUUCAAUUUCAGAAUGUGAUGCACUGAAAUCCAGUUCGAUCUCUCAAGGACUUUGGGCUGAUGGAUUGUUUGAAAUUAUUCAGGUUGUUUUAGUCAAACUCAAAACAGAGGAAUUCCAUGCAUAUGUGUCAUCACCAUUAAUAUUUAUAUUUCUUUACACAAUUUAUCAGUUAUUGGAUAUUUGGAGUCCUCAACUUUUAAAAACUGCUAUAGCAAUGUAGGAAGCUCUGUUUUGGAUAUUUGGCACAAUAUCACGAAAUUUUGAGAUUCAGAUGAUUUUGCCUAAAGUGCUUCCUACAUCAUAUAAAUUACACCGGUUCUUCAUAAUUAUUAACACAUUAAUAUGAAUAGUUAGAAAGUAAUAAAGAGAUGGGUUUUUUUUUUUUUUUGAAGUAAACAUAAUUGAUUGAAGAAUAUUAUUAAAUGGGUGGGAUUAUUCGUAGUCUAAAAUUUACUCCCCAUUAUUAUGUGCCCUAGCUAAUGAGUUUUAAGAAAUCAAUUUUUACUUUAAACACUUUUGUAAAUAUCAAAAUACUCCUCAACAACAUUCCUUAUAUUAUCUUUAUUUUUCUUAGUACCCCCAUAAAAAUAUUGAUCACACCAAGAUUAAUUACCUUUGCUCUCCUUAUUUUUCAUAGCCAAGCAAGUCUUCAAGUCAAAGCAUUUGCUUGUGAUGCCAUGACCAAGAAUGCCGCUGCCAUAACAAGAAAUGGCAUUGCAGGAAUGUUGAAUGCCACAUGUUGCUUCUAAUCUGCAAUCAAUUUGAAAACUGUUGCAGUUCUGUAAUUUUCCCUUGUUAAAAUGUGUAAACAGACCAAAUUGAAGCAAAGUGCAUUACGGUAAAUACUAUUACGAGAGGCAUCUCAGUAAGAUGUUUGCUAAAAAACAAAAAUAAUCUUUUAAAGAGACAUUUAAUCAAACAAUUAAUGCGCAUUCAAAUAGCAGAACACUCUAAAAUCAUUUCAACAGGAUGUAAAUCUCAAAUCACUAUUAUUAUUACGAGACUCAAUUAAUUUCAAUUGAAAAUAUUACACAUUCAAUUAUCACCUGAAAUCAAAGUUGUUCUUGGCGGAAUUAAGGAGAAAGCACUGUUCUCAAUAUGAUCAAUGGGAGGAGCAACGCUAUAAUCUGCUUGAAGAAAAGAAUGAAAAAGAUAUCCUAAGUUAAAUAAACAAAAAUUGAACACAUAAAAUAAAUUGAUUCUUUCAAAAUUGAGAAUGAAAAUGAAAAUUACUCGUGCGUUCCUUGUUUGUUGAACAGGAAAUUGAGACUUGGAAUCAAUUAAAUCAACCUAGAUUGAUUAAAAAUACAAUUAAUUCAAGUAUAACCCUAAAUUAUCAAACUAGAAAGAGAGAGGUAAAAAAAAAUUAUCAAAAUUAAAGGAAACAAUACCUGAAAUUCGAGAAGCAGGUAAAGCAAGCUAAAUUCUUCGUGCGUUCUUCUUUGAAAGAGAAUGGAGAUGAAAUUCGAAAUUGAGUGACUGAUGAAAAACUGAGAGGUGAUUAUUGAAAAGAAAGUAAUGGGAAUGAGUUUGACUUUUCUCAAAAGAAACUGAUCUGUUCUAAGAACGAAAACAGAAGCGGUAUAGCAAGUUUUUUGUUUUUUUUUCUUAAGUCAAUAAAAGGAAAAGGUAAAUGAUAAUGAUUCAAUAAAUAUGUUAUAUAUUUGUCACUUAUUUGAUAAAACGUCACAAUUAUUUGACGUUUAAAUAAAUUGUCAUUUAUAUUUCACAAUUAUUUGACGUUUAAAUAAUUGUGUUGUGCGUGUACACAAAAAUGAAUCAAAAUCUCUUCCACUAGUGUCUUUGGCCAGAAAUAUUUGACUUUUCUAAUUUGUAAUAUCUUUUAAAAGAUAAUUAAGGAAUGAAACUAAGAAACCGACUGUCAGUUGUAAAAUGAAACCAAUAACUUGAUGGGUUGAUAAAUUAAUAGUUUUUCCUGGUAGAAUUAAAAAAAAAUUAAUUUUUUUUAUUCAUAAAAAAUAUAUCGCAUUUCGUUUCCCCUAAAUUUUAAAAUUGAGAUUUCACUUUUAUUCCUGAUGUAUUUCUACCAAAAAUAUUGCAUAAAAAAUAAAUAAAACAAGAUAACCACCAAAAAAUUGAUACAACAAAGCCCGAAUUAAAGACUAUAGUAUAUGACAUGAGUUUACCCAAAAAAAAAAAAUUUAAAAAUUUGAGUUUAUUAAAGAAUUGAGUUGUCAAGGACAGUAUAUAAUUCAUUUUCCUCUGUCUGCUUAACUUCUGUCUUCAUUAUUUGUUUAUUUUCCCAAUCCUUUUUUUAAUUAAAAAAAACUCAAAUUUGUCUGUUAUACUUUAUAAGAUCUGGAGUUCGAUGAUGCAGGACAAAUUAUUUAGGGUUAAUUAUUUUAGGAAGUAUUAUUAGAGAGUAUUUCUAUUCCUAUUCAUUUAUUCAAGAAGGUUUCUAAUUCAGUUUUUUUUAAAUUUUAGAUAGAUGUGCUGCAUGUGCAUGUGUAUAUCUAUAUAUACAUGUACUAAAUAGGAAGCAGCACAUAUCGAAAAGAUGGCUUCUUUUUGCCGGGCACUGAUUUUGUCUUUACAGAUUGUGGUGUAACUCUUAUUGGUUUCUCUUUUUCACUUCUAUUAUUGGAAGAAAGUCAAUAAAAGCAAGUUGAUAAAAGGGAUCAAUAAAUUUUUUCUUUUGGUAAAGAUUGGAAAUCAAAAAAAGAAACAAGAAAAAGAAAUUGAAUCAUGAUCAAUAUUAUUGUGAUAUUGAAAUUUCAUAUUCGAACUGUUUAUGUAUUUCGAAGGAAAACCUCUGCGUUGCUUUAAGUUUGUCUUGUUGUGGGUCACAUGUCAUUCGAUAACCAACUAUCAAAUGAAUUAAUAAUUUAGUUUCAUACGGCAUUCUUUUUAUGAAAUGUUCACCCCAAUUAGAGUAAUAAUAAUAUACAGAAAUGCUUUUCAACAUCACCGAUUUUUUGUUUAAAAAAAAAAGAAGAAUUAUUUUAUAGACUGCAUGCUCCCAUGGGUCACAUGUCAUUCGAUAAUCAACUAUCAAAUGAAUUAAUAAUUUAUGUAUAAUAUGUCAUUUAUUAGUAAGUUUUUGUAUAUUAAAUUUUCAAGUAAAAAGGAAGACUUUCUCCAGAGUUUGACUUUUCUCAAAAGAAACUGAUCUGUUCUAAGAACGAAAACAGAAGCGGUAUAGCAAGUUUUUUGUUUUUUUUUCUUAAGUCAAUAAAAGGAAAAGGUAAAUGAUAAUGAUUCAAUAAAUAUGUUAUAUAUUUGUCACUUAUUUGAUAAAACGUCACAAUUAUUUGACGUUUAAAUAAAUUGUCAUUUAUAUUUCACAAUUAUUUGACGUUUAAAUAAUUGUGUUGUGCGUGUACACAAAAAUGAAUCAAAAUCUCUUCCACUAGUGUCUUUGGCCAGAAAUAUUUGACUUUUCUAAUUUGUAAUAUCUUUUAAAAGAUAAUUAAGGAAUGAAACUAAGAAACCGACUGUCAGUUGUAAAAUGAAACCAAUAACUUGAUGGGUUGAUAAAUUAAUAGUUUUUCCUGGUAGAAUUAAAAAAAAAUUAAUUUUUUUUAUUCAUAAAAAAUAUAUCGCAUUUCGUUUCCCCUAAAUUUUAAAAUUGAGAUUUCACUUUUAUUCCUGAUGUAUUUCUACCAAAAAUAUUGCAUAAAAAAUAAAUAAAACAAGAUAACCACCAAAAAAUUGAUACAACAAAGCCCGAAUUAAAGACUAUAGUAUAUGACAUGAGUUUACCCAAAAAAAAAAAAUUUAAAAAUUUGAGUUUAUUAAAGAAUUGAGUUGUCAAGGACAGUAUAUAAUUCAUUUUCCUCUGUCUGCUUAACUUCUGUCUUCAUUAUUUGUUUAUUUUCCCAAUCCUUUUUUUAAUUAAAAAAAACUCAAAUUUGUCUGUUAUACUUUAUAAGAUCUGGAGUUCGAUGAUGCAGGACAAAUUAUUUAGGGUUAAUUAUUUUAGGAAGUAUUAUUAGAGAGUAUUUCUAUUCCUAUUCAUUUAUUCAAGAAGGUUUCUAAUUCAGUUUUUUUUAAAUUUUAGAUAGAUGUGCUGCAUGUGCAUGUGUAUAUCUAUAUAUACAUGUACUAAAUAGGAAGCAGCACAUAUCGAAAAGAUGGCUUCUUUUUGCCGGGCACUGAUUUUGUCUUUACAGAUUGUGGUGUAACUCUUAUUGGUUUCUCUUUUUCACUUCUAUUAUUGGAAGAAAGUCAAUAAAAGCAAGUUGAUAAAAGGGAUCAAUAAAUUUUUUCUUUUGGUAAAGAUUGGAAAUCAAAAAAAGAAACAAGAAAAAGAAAUUGAAUCAUGAUCAAUAUUAUUGUGAUAUUGAAAUUUCAUAUUCGAACUGUUUAUGUAUUUCGAAGGAAAACCUCUGCGUUGCUUUAAGUUUGUCUUGUUGUGGGUCACAUGUCAUUCGAUAACCAACUAUCAAAUGAAUUAAUAAUUUAGUUUCAUACGGCAUUCUUUUUAUGAAAUGUUCACCCCAAUUAGAGUAAUAAUAAUAUACAGAAAUGCUUUUCAACAUCACCGAUUUUUUGUUUAAAAAAAAAAGAAGAAUUAUUUUAUAGACUGCAUGCUCCCAUGGGUCACAUGUCAUUCGAUAAUCAACUAUCAAAUGAAUUAAUAAUUUAUGUAUAAUAUGUCAUUUAUUAGUAAGUUUUUGUAUAUUAAAUUUUCAAGUAAAAAGGAAGACUUUCUCCAUUUAAUAAAAUCGAGUGCUCUCUUGUCGAUGAAAUAGCAAACGACAAUCUUAAACUUACAGCCUCUCAGUGUGGGAGAACCAUUGAUUCUCAAUCUAAAAUAUAGUUCUGAGUCACUCAAUCAUAAAUACUAGCCUAAUUAACAAAAAAACAGAAUAAUCUUUCUCACUUACUAUAUUUCGACGACAAAAAAUAAACUGUUUUUUAUUGAUUUUCUUUCUAAACACUCAUUCAAUCAUGGGUUCAUUGGCGAGUUGGCGACCCAAAUAAAAAAUUAUCUGAGUGUCUGUGAUAAAAAAAAAACAUUAGAAUUACACAACUUUGCACUUUUCUCGUUAUAUAACUGUUACUUGAUUCUGUAAAAUGUUUCGAAAUACUGCUUUUGAAAGUAAGUGAAUAUGAAAAUGUCCAAAACUUAGUCUUAUUUGCUGUACAAUUAUAAAGAACAAUAUUUUGAAAACGUUAGCGGAAUAAAUUUUAGCAUUAAUUACGGUUCUACUCUGAGUCCAAAAUGUUUAUGUUUUUCUUUUAUUAUUAUUUUUAAAAUUCAUUCAUUGAUUCUUGGUCCACCCCGUCCAGUUCGUCAAGGAGAAGACAACAAGCGUGUGAAGCUUGCUAAAUUAUUGAUGGUGGUGGGGGCUGGCUUUAUUUACACUUUGGUGGAAUAAAAGUGAAGCUUGCUAAAUUAUUGGUGGUUGGAAUGUUUUUUUCUCCCUUUUCAUCUUCACUUUAGAGUGAUUUCAUCUGUGUCUAUUUGUUAGAUAACAUAUUAGAUGAAUAAAGUAAAAUAUUUCUAAAAAGAAACGUUUUAGGAGUUAAAAUAUAUAUAUAUAUAUACAGAGAAACGUCUUGAUUUAACUUGGUUUAUGAGUUGAAGAUUUGUAAAGUGAAGGCUCUACGUAACAGACACUGGAUUAACUACUUGAUCGACGAAUAUCUAAUGGAAUUUUGUGGUGAUUGGUGAAUUGCUAAAUUAUUAAUGGGUGGCGGGCUCUGUUUUUCUUGUUUUUUUUUUUUAACCACGAGGUAUCCUGGGGAGGUCCCAACUGUGUGAGGCACUUUUAAACCCGUACCAUAACUUAGACUAGAAGUCCCCGCUCGAACUGGGGGACACAUGUUCUCCCAACAAAGGCGACUUCCCUGCGACUCGAACUGGGGAGCAAACCCAGUCAAGCCACUUAAGGGGACUCCAUUGCGGAAUCUGUUUUUCUUUUCUUAGCUGCAAAGAACAACAAGUGGGAAGACUUGCCACAUUUUAUGUCGUAUUUUGCUUGACUCUUGAGGAAAAAAAGAACAAGUAGGGGUAUCAACCUUUUUGUGACCCCUUAUAGUUUGUUAGAAUGUCUUGAAAUAACAAAAAUAAACACUUUCAACUUCUUUGUACGAUUUUGGUCAGAAAAUUCGCCUGUAUCAACUAAUAAUUUUAUUACUGUUAAUAACUUAAUAUAAAGCAGCUAACUCUUGAAAAAUCUUCCCAAGAUAAAACUAAUAGACAAAUAAAACAUAAUAGAUAUUAACUCAAGGUAAAUCAAUAUUAAAAACGUGAUCAUGUUUUUCCAAAAUAAUGAAUAUUUUCAUAAAUUAAUAAUUUAUUAAUUUACUGAUUAAUUGAUAUUUGUUAAAUUUUAAUAAAUUUUUUUAUGGUUCCCAAAACUAUUAAUUUAUUGAGAUUUUAUUAUAGUUGUUAUAUGGGACACAAUGCAAUUUAUAACAAUAUAUUGUUGCAAUGGGACUAACAAAAUUUCUAGCAAUUUUCUUUUCGUAGAUAAAAACCAUUUGAUUUCGAUGACAUUAACCAUGUAAAUGUUAAUAACACGUGAUUUAAAAAAAAAAAGGGAGUUUUUCUAAUUAUUAAUAAAAGGAGAAUUCAAAGAAGAAAAUUAAAAGGAAAACAGCCAUAGGGGUUCGUGUUGGGAAUGACCAUUCGCAGGUUUUGCUAUCCUGCCACGGUUUGCUUUCUUCUCUGAACGUUUAAUAUUUGAAUGAAUGUAUUCGCAAAUCGACAUACUGGUACGGUGGUGGAAACUUUAUUUCUUAGUUUGUCCAUACACAAUUAAAUUAGACUGAAAUUUAGAAAUAUGUGUAACAAUCCAAUUGCAGCCUACUGAUUUUGAGUUGGAAUUGUUUUAACUUGUUUUAAAAUUAUUUUAACUACAACAGUUAAUAAAGCUUUUUAAUAAAGGUUAAUGCAUGAGAAAGUACUUUAUUUAUUUUGGCUGACCCCUUCUCCUUCAUUGGCUAAGCCAUUAACCAUAUGAUGAAUAAUACUAAUAAAAUAAGUUUGAUCAAUACAAAAGUUCUAUUUUUUUGAAUUAACAAAUAUGCAACACAAUCAGAAGUGGCCAAUGCGGUGCACAACACCAAAUUAAGAAAGUACUGAGAUUAAUUAAUUAAUUUUCAUCAACAAAAUAUUAAGAUUGAUAUCUGUAAUCUAAUUUGCUUAAUUUUUCUUUUAAAAAAUUUCAAGUAAAAAAGAUUUUUAAAAUUAAUUUUCAAUGGUGGUUGUUUUUACUUUCAAUUCGUCAUGGCAGCCUUUGGAGAAACCAACCAAUAUUUGUCAAUUUGUGAGGUGAGAUACAAGCAUUUCAUGAUAUUCUACAAGCUUUUAACACGUCAAUAAUCGAAACAGAUGGAAAUUAAAUCAUAGGAAUUAAAAAUCUAAAAAAAUUAUUUUUUUCAUACAUUGAUUGAACUUCAUUCUCAAUUGAAAAUUAUGACAAAGUUAAAUAAAUUAAUCACCACAAUUAGUAAAUAUUAGUACCUCAAGUUAAUGAAUUGACAACUUAAUAACGCUACAUUUUCAUCGAAAUUAAUAAGUCUUACAUAAUUCAUCUUACAUAAUCCAAGUUAAUGAAUUGACAAAUGAUUACAUGUUUGCUUCGUAAUUAAUUAAUAAAGUGAAAACAAAAACAAAUAGACCCUCACACCAAUAAUUUUACAACCAACCAAACCCCACUAUCUCCUUUUAAAAAAGAGAAAAAAUAUAAUAAGAGAAUUACAACUUUGCGCUCUUUGUAUCAUUGUUAUUUGAUUCCGUAUAAUGUUUCAAAAUAAAAAGGAAAACAUUUUGUAUAGCUUUUGUAAAUAAGUGAAUUUAAAAAUAUCUGAAAAUUAGUCCCGUUUUCUGCACAAUUAAAAAAAGAAAAUGUAUAGUAUCCAUUUUGCUUUUUGAAAUUGUUUCGUUAUCCUAGAUUAAUUCGCCAAUGUCUAGUUCCUAAAACACGAGCAUGCGAAGCUUGCUAAUGUAAUUAUUGGUGGAGGGUACCGUCUUUUAUUUCAUUUAGUGUAAUAAUAGCGUUAUGUUAAUUAUGUUAUUAGCUUAUUAAAUAUAUACCUUUAACAAACGAGUCGAAUUUGUGUUAUUUAAAAUUUCAUUUUACCUUAUUUCGACGCGACAGGAAUAUGAAUAUAAUAUUACACUACAAAUUGACAUUGUUGAUUAUAAAAAAAUGCAGUGCACUUAUAGUAAUAAGAAGAGAGAUUAAAAUCUUUUAAUUUAGCUUGCCUUUAUAAGAAGAAUUGAUAAACUCUCUUCAAACUUUUGAAAUGAACCUGAAGAGACGGUAAGAGGAGAAUAACGUAGAUUUAUUCCAAGCUAAUUAUAUUCCUAACAUUUAAGAUUAACAAAAGGGUUCUUUGCUUUCGUAUUCUCUCUGAAGUAGUGUCUAAUUAAUCAUGUUAAGUAAAGGCAAGAUUCUUGGUUCGGCUUUUAUUUAAUUUAGUAUGUAAAGCAAAGGUAUGAUUAUGAGCUCCUUCGAUUUUAUAUUUGUACUGGGCUCUGUUUUUUCUUUUCACUUUUGCGGUGGGUUUUACUUAAUGAGAAAUGGAAAAUGGAAAUUCACUUCGAAAAAAGGACAUAAAACUUCUUAACAUUUUAAAUAGACCCACACUAAUAACUUUGCAAACAACCCAACCCCACCAUCUCUUUUGAAAAAGAAAAAAUAAAAUACAAUCAGUGGAUUACCACUUUUCUCUUUGUAUCACUGUUGUUUGAUCCCAUAUAAUAUUUCCGGAAACACGAUCAUGCGAAACUUGCAAAAUUAUUGGUGGUAGUACUGUCUUUUAUUUCAUUCAGUGUAAUAAUCGCGUUUUGUUAUUUAUGUUAGUAACCCACUAAAUAUAUACCUUUAAUAAAUGAGUCGAAUUUGUUUUAUCUAAAAUUUCGUUUUCCAACAUGAAUAUAACAUUAACAUAACAUUAUGAUACGACUUCACAUUGAGAUUAAAACAAAACAAAUGUAGUGCACUUACAGGAAUAAAAAGACAGAUUAAAAUCGUUUAUUCUAACUUGCUUUUAUAAGUAGAAGACUUCUACAGCAAAGAGGAUGCAUUCUAUUUUCCUCCAUAUUCAACGUUUUUUUUUUCAUUAUUCAACGUUUGAAGAAAAAGAAAGAAUUUUGGUAUUCUUGGCGUAGAAGAAUUGAUAGACUCUCCUCAAACAUUUGAGAUGAACCUUAAUUACGGUUCUGAAAAUUAUAAAGAACAAUAUUUUGAAAACGUUAGCUGAGUAAAUUUUAGCAUUAAUUACGGUUUUUCUCUUAUUAUUAUUUUUAAAAUUCUGUCAUUGAUUCUUGGUCCACCCAUGUCCAGUUCGUCAAGGAGAAGACAACAAGCGUGUGAAGCUUGCAAAAUUAUUGCUGGUGGUGUGGGGCUGGCUUUAUUUACACUUUGGUGGAAUAAAGUGAAGCUUGCUAAAUUACUGGUUGUUGGAAGGUCAUUUUUUUUUCCCUUUCAUCUUCACUUUAGAGUAAUUUCAAUUGUGUCUAUUUGUUAGAUAACAUAUUAGAUGAAUAAAGUAAAAUAUUUCUAAAAAGAAACGUUUUAGGAGUUUAAAAAAAAAAAUAGAGAGAGAGAAACGUUUUGAUUUAUCUUGGUUUAUGAGUUGAAGAUUUGUAAAGUGAAGGUUCUAAGUAAUUGACACUGGAUUAACUGCUUGACCUAUACGAAUAUCUAACGGAAGGAAUUUCGUAACAAGUGGUGGUAAUUGGUGAAUUGCUAAAUUAUUAAUGGGUGGUGGGCUGUGUUUUUCUUUUCUUAGCUGCAAGGAAAACAAGUGGGGAGACUUGCCACAUUUUACGUCGUAUUUUGCUUGACCCUUGACACUUAUUAAUUACUAAGCAUUUUCAUUUUGCUUACCAAGUGGUGGUGUGAUGGGUGAAUUGCCAAAUUAUUAGUCAUUGGUCAAUAAAGUAUAAACGCGUGAUUUCUAGCUGGGCCAGACCCUUCACAAUCACAAACUCAUUCUGCUUAAUUAUCCAUUUUCUCACCCGUUCAAUUUUCUCAUUCUGCUUUCCAUAACCCAUAAUUCUGCUCCUUUCUUCCUUUGCCCAAAAAAAAAGAAAAAAAAUGUCAAUCAUCGGAGAGGCAAUCCUUACGGCGUCCGUUGAUUUGCUGGUCAAUAAGUUAGCUUCAGAGGGGAUUCUGUUUUUUGCACGCCAAGAGAAGAUCCAAGACGAUCUAAUGAAGUGGGAGAAUAUGUUGGAGAUGAUCAAGGCGGUGCUUGAUGAUGCUGAGGAGAAGAAGACGACUAAUCGGUCUGUGAAGAAGUGGCUUGGCAAGCUUCAGAACUUGGCUUAUGAUGUUGAAGACUUGUUGGAUGAGUUUCAAACUGAGGCUUUCCGGAGGAUGUUGCUGCUUGGAAAUGGAGAACCAGCUGCUGCUCAUGAUCAACCCAGUAGCAGUCGUACAAGAACAAGUAAGUUUCGGAAGCUCAUUCCUGCUUGCUGCACCACUUUUACUCCACAAUCGAUUCAGUUCGAUUAUGGCUUGAUGUCCAAAAUCAAAGAGAUCAACAGCAGAUUUCAAGAAAUUGUGACACAGAAAAACUUGCUAGAUUUGAAAGAAAGUUCAGCUGGAGGGUCCAAAAAAGCCAGUCAAAGGCUAGAGACAACCUCUUUAGUGACUGAAGCCAAAGUAUAUGGCAGGGAAACAGAAAAGAAGGAUGUUGUUGAACUGCUGUUGAGGGAUGAUUUAAGCAACGAUGGUGGAUUCUCUGUUAUUCCUAUUAUAGGUAUGGGCGGGAUGGGCAAAACUACUCUUGCUCAGCUUGUCUACAAUGAUAAGCGAGUGCAGGAUCAUUUUGAUCUCAAGGCAUGGACUUGUGUCUCUGACGAUUUCGACGUUAAGAGGCUAACAAAAACAAUUCUAAGAUCCGUUACUAAGCAGACUAUUGAUGACAGUGAUUUAAAUUUGCUUCAAGAGGAGCUGAAGAAGAAGUUAUCUCAAAAGAAAUUUUUGCUUGUUUUAGACGACGUUUGGAAUGAGAAAUACAAUGAUUGGGUUGACAUGAGCCGUCCGUCCGUAAGAUUAUUGUCACAACUCGUAAUCAAGAUGUUGCAGCCAUCAUGGGAACUGCUCCAGCUUAUGAAAUUAAAAAGUUGUCAUUUGAUGAUUCUGUCCGUGUUCGCUCAACACUCUUUGGGGACAAGAGAUUUCAGUUCAAACAAGUCAUUGGAGGAAAUUGGCAAGAAGAUAGUGAUCAAAUGCAACGGCUUGCCCUUAGCUGCGAAAACACUUGGUGGACUUUUACGUGGUAAAUGUGACCGAAGUGAUUGGGAAGGUGUGCUCAGUUGCAACAUAUGGGAUUUACCAGAAGAGAGAUGUGACAUUAUACCGGCGCUUAGAGUGAGCUACUAUUAUCUCUCGGCACCUUUGAAACAGUGCUUUGCAUACUGCUCAUUGUUUCCAAAGGAUUAUGAAUUCGAAGAGGAGGAGAUAAUUUUAUUAUGGAGUGCUGUGGCUUUCUUGGAUCACAGAGAGAGCGGGAAUCCAAGUGAAGAUCUAGGUCAUUUCAUCCCCAAGCUGCCGGAUUCAGUUGGUGAUUUGAGGUAUUUAAGGUACCUUAACCUAUCUGGAACUGAGAUUAGAACUCUGCCUGAAUCAGUCAACAAGCUUUACAAUUUGCACACCCUUCUGUUGGAGGGCUGUUGGCGACUGAAGAAGUUGUGUGCAGCCAUGGGAAACCUCAUCAAAUUGCAUCAUCUCAAUAAUUCAAAUACAUCUUCGUUGGAGGAAAUGCCAGUCGGAAUUGGUAGGCUGACUUGUCUUCAGACGUUGUGUAAUUUUGUUGUGGGAAAAGACAGUGGUUCCCGGUUACGAGAGCUAAAGUCCUUGACGCAACUUGGGGGGACACUUUGCAUUUCAAAUUUGGAGAAUGUAAAACACAUUAUUGAUGCCGAGGACGCUCAAUUGGAUAGAAAGGAGAAUCUUAAAGAAUUAUGGCUUCGAUGGACUCGCAAUACUAAUGGUUCAUCUUCAAGGGAGGCAGAAGCUGAAGAGGGCGUGCUUGACAUGCUAAAACCCCAUAAAAAUCUGGAACAAUUUUGUAUCAGCGGCUAUGGAGGCACAAAUUUUUCAACUUGGUUAGGAAAUUCCUCAUUGUCAAAUUUAGUAACACUUAAAUUUGAAUAUUGUAGCAUGUGUACUGCCCUGCCGUCGGUCGGGCAACUACCCUCUCUAAAGCAUCUUGUAGUAUGUGGAAUGAGCAGCGUAAGGAGAUUUGAUCCAGAGUUCUAUGGGAAGGUUGCUUCAAUUCCUUUUCCAUGCUUGGAGACUCUUUGUUUUGAAGACAUGGAAGAAUGGGAAGACUGGAUUCCUCAUGGAUCCGGUCAAGGAGUUGAAGGGUUUCCUAAAUUGAGAGAGCUUCACAUUUUAAGAUGUUCUAAACUGCAAGGAACACUUCCAGAGCACCUUCCUGCAUUGGAGAAGCUUGUUAUUAAAGGAUGUGAAGAAUUGUCUAUUAUAGGUUUAUUAACAAGUGUGAGAUAGAAUCAAGUUAGCUUUUAAAUUACAAUAGCAAGUGUUUACCAAACACUUUAGUUUAAAAAUAAUAACUGCCCAACCACAAUACUAAACAUGGCCUUAUUUUAGAAUUAAAUCUCAUUUAGAAUUGGAUGAGGGACAGGUGUCACUUUGUACUUAUACUAAUUUCAACUUCUUAUUGCUUGACAAUUUUGUGGGAAUGGUUCCAUUGAAUCUAUUAUUUGCCAAAUUUCUGGAAAGAGGAUAAACUAGCACAUUAAUGUUUAAGAAAUCAUAGCGUCUUAGUGUGUGUAUGAGUUGGGUGCCAUGACCAGGGAAAAAGCUUACAAUAGGGGUGUUCGCGGAUCGGAUUUUACGGAUUGGACAUCAAUCCAUAUCCGAUCCAUGAUUUUGCGGAUUAUAAUUUUUCAAUCCAAUCCAAUCCACGGAUUGAUAAAAUUCAAUCCAAAUCCAAUCCAUACAUCUGCGAAUCGGAUAGGGAUUUGACUCAAUCCAUAUCCAAUCCAUACGUCUGCGGAUCGGAUGCGGGUUUGACUCAAUCCAUAUGCAAUCUACCAUUUUGCACAUUAGUUUUCGAAUUAAAAAUUUUUAGUUCUCUCCAACUAAUGAAAUAAAAAAAUCUAAUGUAAAAAUAAUUCUGCUACCAAUUAAAUUUAAAAUUGAAUAAAAUUUAAAUAAAUUAAUUGUUUAAAUAAAGCUAAAAUAAUACAUUUAAAGUUUCAAAAUAUAACACAUCGAGACUAAUUAUUCAAAUAAAGCUAGUAGCUUUAAGCUACAAUAAUACGUUCAAAGUUUCAAAAUAUAACACAGCAAGCUUAAUUGUUCAAAUAAAGUUACAAUAAUACGUUAAUAUAACACCGAAAUUAAUUGUUCAAAUAAAACCACAAUUAAUUGAAAUGGCGAAGUUUCGGAAACCAAACACAGUCUGAUCCUUCACCAGGGCUGUUGCACCUGUCGAAAAGUGGUGAUUACGGAGCCAUCCACGAUGGGAAGCAAGAGAAGUCCUGUCGAAAAGUGGUGAUUACGGAGCCAUCCACGAUGAGAACCAGGAGAAGCCGUACGGGUGGUGAUCUUGAAGGUUGUGAUAGUGAAAUUGUUCAGCUGGAACCAGUGAAUGUGAAGUGGCUCGAUGGACUUGGGAAAGAAGAUGGCUUGCUCUCGCCGGAAUCACUCGGCCGAUGUCCUUUAAAUCCGGCUGGAACCAGUGAAUGUGAAGUGGCUUGAUGGACUUGGGAAAGAAUAUGGCUUGCUCUCGCCGGAAUCACGCGGCCGAUGUCCUUUAAAUCCGUGUCGAGGGUGUAUCCAACCAGUAUUGAGUGUUGCUAGUGUGUGUGACGGCAGGGAAGCUUAGGGUUUUUUGUUUGAAAUUGUUGGUGACUUGGCGUCAUGUUACUUUGCUUUUGCUAGUGCGUGUGACUUUGCUUUUAUUUUGUUUUACAAUUUUUACAAGUUAUAUUUGAUUAUUUAAUUAUUUUUCAUUUUAUAUUAUUAUUGGGUAAUGGCUAAGAUAUGUUAUAGUGCUUAGUAACUAUGCAAUGUCACAUUUAUAAUUUUUUUAAUUAAAUUUAUAAUAAUUUUUUAAUUAUAUUUAUAUAUAUAUAUAUAUUUGCGGAUUCACGGAUUUCUGCGGAUUUACAGAAGUAAAUCCAUAUCCAAUCCAUCGACUACGGAUUUUUAAAUUUUCAAUCCAUAUCCAAUCUACCAAUCCACGGAUCGGAUUUGUGAUAAUAUAAGGACUUUGACAGUGGAAGAGGGCAUCCAGAGUAGCAGCAGCAGCAGCAGCAAUAGAAGGUACACCUCAUCUCUUCUUGAGAAGUUAGAAAUUAGGGAUUGUCCAUCACUGACAUGUAUAUUUUCAAAAAACGAGUUACCUGCCACGCUUGAGUCCCUUGAAGUUGGCAAUCUACCUCCGUCUCUUAAGUCCCUUUUUGUUUGGUAUUGUCCAAAGCUGGAGUCAAUAGCAGAAAGGUUGGACAACAACACAUCUCUUGAAACAAUCAAUAUUUCUGGGUGUGAAAAUCUGAAAAUUUUACCGAGUGGUUUACAUAAUCUCGGCCAGCUUCAAGAGAUCGAAAUAUGGGAAUGUGAAAAUCUGGUGUCCUUUCCCGAAGGGGGAUUGCCUUGUGCGAAACUGAGUAAGCUCAGGAUCUAUGGGUGUGAGAGACUGGAGGCCUUACCCAAGGGAUUGCACAAUCUGACCUCUCUUCAACAAUUAACAAUAGGAGGUGAGCUUCCAAGCCUUGAAGAAGAUGGCCUUCCCACCAACCUUCAUUCACUUCAUAUUUGGGGUAAUAUGGAGAUUUGGAAGUCAAUGAUUGAGCGGGGUCGGGGAUUUCACAAAUUCUCUUUUCUGCGACAUCUUACAAUCGAUGGAUGUGAUGACGACAUGGUGUCAUUUCCACUAGAGGACAAAAGAUUAGGGACCGCGCUUCCUCUUCUUGCCUCUCUAACAUCUCUGAGGAUUGUAGAUUUUCCAAAUCUGGAACGCCUAUCUUCUUCAAUUGUUGAUCUUCAAAACCUCACUCACUUGAAUCUCGUGGAUUGUCCCAAGCUCAAAUACUUUCCGGAGAAGGGCCUACCUUCCUCACUUUUGGUCUUUUGCAAUUAAGUAUCUAUCGCUGUCCGUUGAUGGAAGAGAAGUGCAGAAAGGAUGGAGGAUUGUUAACCCAUAUACCUUCUGUUCAAAUCGAUCUUAAAUGGGUUUUUGACGGCUGAACAGAGGACGACUGAAAUAUUUUAUUAUUCGUAAUUUUUAAAAAAAAAAAAAAUCGGGUGUGUUUGUGUAUAUAAUUUCAAAUCUCAGUUGAAAACAAUUCCUUUAAAUGAAUAUGGUUCUGCGUCGGUGAGUCUUUAUCAUGUAUAUAAUGGGCUUCCGAAUUUUUUAAUUAAACAAUAGAAUGUGUGCGAGUGCAUGUUAUAUAUAUGUAUUCUCUUCAUCGGACUUUGGCAAAUAUUGUUUUGAAAUUUUAGCUGUUGGAUAUAUAUAUAUAAUCUCGAGUACUCUUUCUGAUAUAAUUAAUAUAAAUAAAAAUCAAAUUAUUAAGACUGGACCCCCUAGAUUAUCAUUAUUUCGACUAUUUAUAAUUGAUGGGUGUCGAAGCCAACAAAAAUAAAUUCCUACUCUAAAUAAAUUGUGUAUAGUGAUUGAGCAGGGUCGUGUCCACAGAGAUCGGUAAUUAUUUAAAUCCUUUUGAAACGUAAAACGUAAAAUGGGGGAAUUGUUGACAAUAAUAAAAAUCAAAUUAAAAAUAACAAGAAUGCAAAUUAAAGUUGUAAUUCAAAUUAGAAAAAACUCUGGUUGAAGGAAUUAACUCAGCUUGAUUCGACUACUGAUCAUUGAUUAAAAUAUAGAUUAUUAUUACUCAUGAAUAGACCGGUUAUAGCUACUGAGACCCUCUAAUAGCCAAUCUCUCCUUAACUAGUCGAUAACCAAGGUACGACCGUUGGAUAUUUCCCUAAUCAAUAGACAACCCUAGAUACGAUCAUAGAAUUUAAUCAAUUGACAGCCUGAAAAACCAGAAAGACCCAAAUCCUAAUCAACACAUAUGAUGAUUCAUUUAAAUUAGAUUAUUUAUUCUCACAACACAACUCUCUGCUAUGUUAUUAGUCACAAGCAUUAAAUUCUUCAUACGAUGAAUCCUUUAAUUGACAAUAGAUUAAGUUGAUAAUAAAAUAGUGGCCAAUUACCUAAUUAACAAACAUAAUCAUAAAACUAAUUCAGAGAAUAAACAAAUACCCAAAAAGCAAUAAAACAAUUAAAGCACAAGAAAGAUCUCACAGUAGUGAUGAAUCAAAGCUUCAUUAUCCUUCAACCAGAAAAAUAAGUUUAGUUCUUCAUAGAGAGAAGAGAAAAAUUAGAUCUAGGGUUUCUUUCUUUNNNNNNNNNNNNNNNNNNNNNNNNNNNNNNNNNNNNNNNNNNNNNNNNNNNNNNNNNNNNNNNNNNNNNNNNNNNNNNNNNNNNNNNNNNNNNNNNNNNNNNNNNNNNNNNNNNNNNNNNNNNNNNNNNNNNNNNNNNNNNNNNNNNNNNNNNNNNNUCUCUACCUUGGCGAAACUUUAGUAAAUCUGAGCUGCUGUACCGUACAUCCGCCUUGGCCGUACAGCAGUUUCUCCAAGAGAACAAUCAUCCUUAAACAUCAUCUUAUAGCUAAAUUUUAUCAUCAAUCAAUAGAAUUGCACCUACAAAAGUAAAACACAAGUAAAUCACUAUUAUUAAGUGCAAAACAUUGAUAUUAAGGGAAGUAAACAAUGCAAAACUAGUGCAUAAAUUGCACUCUAACAAUAAUCUUGCUGGUGAAUUGUUAGUGGGGUGAUUAUUUUAAAUAUUUUAUAUUUCAAAGUCAUUUACAUUUUGUGUGUUGUAUAUUUGAAAUUACUUUGAUCAUGUAGAGGAGUAAUUUGAGUAAAUUAAAUUUGAUUAAUUAAUAGUAAACUGAGUAUGAUUUAUUAAAAUAUUUAUACUCUUUAAAUUAAUUCACUAUAGGCGAGUCCUUGAAUUAAUUGUUUAUAUGCCACCGGUAUUAAUAUUUAUAAAUAAAAUUUUUCAGUUAUUGAAUAUUUAGAUUCAUCAAAAUUGUUAUAAUUCAUAUAGAUCUUUCUAUUAACACAUCAAAAUGACAGAAGGAAUGUCUUCAUCAAUUGGAAUGUGAUUUUUUUUUCUUAAAAUGCAUAAUAUAUGCCAUAGAAAAAAGCUUUUUCUUUUUAAUUUUUCAUUAAAAAUAAACCAAGAGUAUUAAUUUCUUUUACAAAAUUAGGAACCGGAUUUAUAAAAAGCACCUUAUUGUUGUUAAUACAUACAACCAUCCUCAAAAACCCAUCAAAAUACAAUAAACAGAACAUCUAAAGAGAAGCAUCACACAACAAAACCAUGAGAAGAUCACAAAACAAAUGGCAUAUCAAGCAAAGCAAGCACUUCUUUCUUUAAUCAAUUACAUUUGAGCCUUGGUGGCCUUACUAUCUUCACCGGAAGAAUUACCAGACUCUUCAUCAAUGUUAAUAACCUUGGGCUGCCUCUUCUUCUCCUCAGCAAGCUUUGGCACUGUGAUCCUCAGAACACCAUUUUCCAAAUGAGCCUUAAGAUGAUCAUUUGGAAAGUAAUGAAUUAAUUUCUUAUUGAAACUUCGUUUUUCUUGACUUAUCCUUCUGCUGCGCCUGUACGGUUAUAUACAUAUAAUAUUUCUCUUCACCAGACUUUGCCUUCGGAUAUAUAAAUGCUCGAGUGUGUUUGUGUAGGUAAUUUUAAAAUUCAAAUCUCAGUUGAACAAUAUUUUAAAUUAAUAUGGUUCGAUGUCGGUGGUUAAUGGGUUUUGGAAACAAAAGGAAAAGCGGUGAGUAGAACAAUUGUUUAAUUUGAUUUAAUUGUUUCCGUGUCAUUGCUAUUAAUAUUUAUAAAUACAAUUUAUCAGUUAUUGAAUAUUUAAAUUCAUCAAAACUGUUAUAAUUGCAAUGAAUCUUCGCAUUAACACAUCAAUAUGAAAUAAGAGGAAAUAUCUUUAGAAAUUGGGGUAGGAUUUUUUUUUUAGGUUAAAAUCCAUAAUAAGUUCUAGAGAAAAAGAUUUUUUUUCUAAUUUUUAUUAAUAAAAACCAAGCUCAUUAUUUCUUUUAAGGAGAUUGCCAAUUUCCCCCCUACAGUAAUCAACAUAUACCAUUUCCCCCCCUGCUGUUUUUAUAAUGGCCAAAAACCCUCCUAAUAGCAUAAGUUUGCAAUAUUACCCUUAUUUUCAACUACUCUUUUAUUUAUAUUUAUUAUAAAUUAAAUAAAUAGCAUGACUAUAAACUAAAUAAAAAUUAAGCAUUAAAAACAAGAAAUAUAUGUUUUGAUAUGAGAAAAAAAUUAAUAAUAAAUUUUGUUUCUUGUACUUAUUUAUUUUGUGCAAAUUUUCUUAUAAUAAAUAUAUAAGAAAGUUAUUAUAAAAUGAUAAAAAAAUUAUUAUAAGAAAAUUUGAAUGACAAAUAAAAAUUUAUUAUAAGAUAAAUAAUCAAAUAUUUUGCCUAUACUUUUUACAUUUAAUUUUAAUACUUAAUUUUUACUUAAACAUAUAUUUCUUGUUUUUAAUACUUAAUUUUUUUAUUUAAUUUAUAAUAAAUGUAAAUAAAAGAGUAAUUAAAAAUAAGGGUAAUAUUGUAAACUUAUGCUGUCAGAGGGGUUUUUGGCCAUUAUAAAAACAAAAGGGGGUAAAUGACUGUAGGGGGAAAGUGGCAAUCCCCUUUCUUUUACUACUGACUGUAGGACCAGGAUUUAUAAAACGCGCUUUAUUGUUGUUAAUAUAAUAAACAAAACAUUCAAAGAGAAACAUCCCACAAGAAAACCAAGAAAAGAUCAGAAGCAAACUGCACAUUAAGCAAAGCAAAUACUUUUUUUAUUUGAUUAAUUACAAUUAAGCUUUGGUAGUCUCUUCGUCAGACUUUGGCAAAUAUUGUUUUAAAAAUUUAUAUGUUGGAUAUAUAAAUGUUCGAGUGGUCUUUAUUAAAAUAGCAUAAAUUAACAUAAUUAAUAUAAAUAAAAAUUAGAUUUGCUAAAUUAUCAUUAUUUCGUCAAUGUACAAUCUCUUUCUCUCUAUAUAUAUAGAGACACACACACAUAAAUACGAUGAAAUUGAAAUUAUUUUAAUCGUGUACAGGAGCAAUCUCAUUAAUUUGCUGGUAGAGCUUGGUCCGUUGGCGUUCUUUCUAUAAUUGUAUAGGUCCGCUUAUAAUAACAAUGAUGUUAACAAAUACCAAAGCAAAUUAAAUUUGAUUAAUUGAUAGUAAACCGACCAUGAUUUACUAAAAGCACUUUAUUACACGAUCUUUGUACGUGUACACCAUCAUCAAAAAAUAGAAAAUCAAAGGAGAGAAAACAAUAUCCCGCGAGAAAGCCAAUUAAAUAUAUAUAUAUAUAUAUAUAUAUAUAUAUAAAGCAAUCUAAGCAAAGCAUUAGCCACACAAAUAUAAAAAACAAAAAGCAAACUAAGCAAACUCAUUGCAUUUCUCUGAUUACGUUUUAGCUUUAGUGGCCUUAAAAUCUUUACCAGAAUAAUUACCAGCUGCCUUAUCAACGACAAUGUCAUAAUGUUCUUUUAGGGCAUGGCCGUGUCUUCAUCACCAUCUUCUUCUUCUUCUGCUGUACCGUACAUCCGCCUUGGCCGUACAGCAGGCGUUGGUGGGGCCAGGGUUAGUUAAGUUUGUUACUACUAACAGCUGGACAAAAAACAGAGCUAUAAAAGAUGGCUCAAGGCUGAUCAGCAGGGGUACUUGAUUAACGGAUUUGAGAGGCUUAGGGUGAGAGAUAGAAAAUACUCUGUGAGAGAGAUUUAAUCCUUGUCAUCAGUUGUCUCUUUGUAAUCGACUUGUUCAAUAAAAGCUUCAAGCCCAAGAGGGUUCUUCAGCCGUGGAUGUAGGUACCUUUGGUACUGAACCACGUAAUCUUUUACUGUGUUUCUUCCUCUUUCUUCCUCUUGCUUUCUCUAUUCUUAGUUCUUUAGUGUUCUUGGUUGAGUUGUUGUUUCUUUAUUGUUAGAUAAUUGUUCUUAAGGAGUUGGUUUGAUUCGUGUGGUUAAAUCUUUGAGUCGAGAUUCGACUGUUAAUCUCAACAAAUUGGUAUCAGAGCCCUCAAAGCUCUCAACUCUGGUUCUGGGAUGGCUUCUACAAGAUAUGAUCUAGAAAAGUUCAAUGGAGAAAAUGACUUCUAUCUAUGGAGUCUCAAGAUGCGUGCAAUCUUGAUACAACAAGGGCUUGAUGCUGCUCUGGAUUUUGAAGAAGAUCAUAUCAGUAAAAAGGAGAAGGCAGAGGGGUCCUCAUUUUCAGGUGGAGACAUGAGGACCAUCAACAACAAAGCUCACAGCACCAUCAUCUUGCAUCUUUUCGAUGAAGUGCUGAGAGAAGUAGCAAAAGAAAGAUCUGCAGCAAGCCUCUGGACAAAACUUGAAGAGAUGUUCUUGAAGAAAUCUCUGGCAAAGAGGCUCUACAUGAAAAGAAGAUUGUACACGUUCUCCAUGAAGGAGGGAACAACCAUGAAAGAUCAUCUUGAUGAAUUCAACAAGUUGAUUCUGGACCUGGAGAACGUGAGCAUCAAUCUUGAAGAUGAGGACAGAGCCCUUAUACUGUUAAGCUCUCUUCCAGACUCAUAUGAGCAUUUCGUUGAUACUCUAUUGUAUGGGAGACAAACCCUUACCUUAAAGGAUGUGAAAAGUGCACUGGAAUCAAAAGAUUUGAAGAAAAGAGCUGAAGGAAAAGAUCAAGGGAUGGGAGAAAUCUUGAUGGCAAAAUCAAAAGCUGACAAGAAGAAGAAACAUGAGAAGAAAGGAAGCAACCAAAAAGAAAACACUAAUAAGAAAAAGAAGAAAAGGAAAUGCUACUUCUGUCAGAAAGAAGGGCAUUAUAUCAAGGAAUGUUUUGAAAAGAAGAAACUUGAAAAGAUCCAAAAGGAGACCUCUGGUAAAGCAGCUGUAGCAUCUGAGGAUGAAGAAGACUCAGAUGGUGCUGAUGUACUUAUUGCUGCCGAGAAGCAACCUACUGAAGAAUGGAUCCUAGACUCAGGCUGCUCUUUCCACAUGACCCCAAAUAAGCAGCUCUUCAAGACUUUUGAGAAAGUUGAGACAGGUAAAGUUUUACUUGGUAAUAACUUAGCCUGUAGAGUUGCUGGAAUUGGGACAGUUGCCAUUACCAUGCAUGAUGGGGUAGAAAGAGAUUUAAGGAAUGUUAGAUACAUACCAGAGCUUAAAAGAAAUCUAAUCUCCUUAGGAGAAGUUGAUCAAUCUGGUUGUAGCAUAAAAGCUGAAAAUGGUGAGCUACAGGUCAUUAAGAAUGGCAGAGUUACAAUGAAAGGGGUGAGAACAAAUGGUCUUUAUGUUCUAAUAGGAUCCUCUUCCAUACCAGGAAUAAUGGCCUCUGUUAGUAAGGAUAAAACUAAACUAUGGCAUAUGAGAUUAGGACAUAUGAGUGAGAAAGGAUUAAGAGAGCUAAAGAAACAAGGAGUAAUUGGCUCUGAUCAAAUCACCUCACUUGAGUUCUGUGAAAAGUGUGUGUUUGGUAAGGCAACCAGACAAAAGUUCGGCACUGGCAAGAAGGAAACCAAACACUCUCUAGACUACAUCCAUUCAGACUUAUGGGGGCCUUCACAAGUUCCAUCACAUGGUGGAGCUAGAUACUUCAUGACUCUAAUUGAUGACUACACCAGAAAAGUUUGGGUUUAUGUCCUAAAACAGAAAGGGGAAGCUCUAAUGAAGUUCAAAGAAUGGAUGACAUUAAUUGAGAAUCAGACUGAGAGGAAAGUGAAAAGGCUGAGGACUGACAAUGGCCUGGAAUACUGCAGCAAGGAGUUUGAUAGCUUCUGUAAAGAGAAAGGAAUUGUAAGACACAAAACAGUAAGGCACACACCCCAGCAAAAUGGCCUUGCUGAGAGGAUGAACAGGACCUUGGUAGAAAAGGUCAGGUGUAUGUUGUUUAGUGCCAAUUUAUCAAAACACUUCUGGGCUGAUGCUGUCACUACAGCAGCAUAUCUAAUCAACAGAAGCCCCUCUACAGCAUUGAACUUCAUAACCCCACAAGAGGCUUGGUCUGGUAAAACUCCUGAUCUUAGUAACCUUACGAUAUUUGGCUCACCAGCAUAUGCUCACAUCAACCAGGGAAAACUUGAGCCUAGGGCAAUCAAAGGUAUCUUUAUUGGUUAUCCUGAGGGAGUCAAGGGAUAUAGGAUCUGGUUUUAUGAUGGGAAACCCUCAAGAGUAAUAGUGAGCAGAGAUGUCAUUUUCUAUGAAGAUACCAUGCUGCAUCAGAAGGUUGAAACUGAAAUGUUAGCUCCUGAGCAAAAUGUCAGCCAAGAACCUAGCUUGGAGGUGGAGCCUGCAAAUGACAAGAGCAAAUCUCAUGACAGCAGAACUAGCUCCUCAGAACAAGAGACUUAUCAGCUGGCAAGAGACAUAGAAAGGAGAGUUAUCAGAAUGCCUAAGAGAUUUGGCAUAGCUGAUCUAAUAUCCUAUGCACUCACAAUGGCUGAAGAUGUUAUUGGGGAAGAACCUAGUAGCUACAAACAAGCCAUGAACAGCAGAGACAAGUCAAAUUGGUUAUCAGCUAUGAAAGAAGAAAUGGCAUCACUGAAGAAAAAUGACACCUAGAUUCUGGUAGAAAAACCAAAGGAAAGGAAGCUGGUGGGCUGCAAAUGGAUCUUCAAGCUUAAGGAAGGGGUUGCUGGGGUUGAACCUCCAAGGUAUAAAGCAAGGCUGGUUGCUAAGGGUUUUACACAAAGGGAAGGGUUGGAUUACAGUGAAGUAUUUUCCCCUGUUGUAAAGUACAGCUCUAUUAGGGUGUUGCUUGCCAUCACUGCCUACUUUGAUCUGGAAUUAGAUCAGCUAGAUGUCAAAACAGCUUUCCUUCAUGGCAACCUAGAAGAAGAAAUAUACAUGGAACAACCAGAAGGUUUCAUUCAGAAGGGAUUAGAAGACAAGGUUUGCUUGCUUAAAAGGAGUCUAUAUGGCUUAAAGCAAUCCCCUCGACAGUGGUAUCUGAGGUUUGACCAGUUUAUGGUAGCUCAUGGUUAUUCAAGGAGCCAGUAUGACAAUUGUGUAUAUUGUAAGCUUCUACCUUCUGGAGAUGGGAUUUAUUUACUUCUCUAUGUUGAUGACAUGCUCAUAGCAUGCAAACACAGAGAAGAAAUAGAGAAACUUAAGUCUGAGCUGAGGUCUGAAUUUGAAAUGAAAGACUUAGGCUCUGCAAGCAAGAUCCUAGGAAUGCAGGUCAAGAGAGAUAGAGCUGCCAAAACUCUAUUCCUCACACAGGCUGGUUAUGUUAAAAAAGUAUUGAACAAGUUUGAAAUGGUGGAUGUUAAAGAAGUUUCCACUCCCUUAGCCACUCAUUUCAAAUUAUCAAAGCAGCAGGAGCCAUCUAAUGAUGCUGAUAUUGAGUAUAUGAAGAAAGUUCCUUACUCUAGUGUAGUUGGAAGCAUUAUGUAUGCUAUGGUCUGCACUAGACCUGACAUUGCUUAUAGUGUAGGCUUAGUCAGCAGAUUUAUGGGGAACCCAGGGAAGACUCACUGGAAUGCUGCAAAAUGGACUCUCAGGUAUCUGAAGAGGACAUCUGAAUCUGGUAUUUUGUUUGGAGGGAAUAAUGGUGUCACAAGUAAAAUCAUUGGUUAUGUGGACUCUGAUUUUGCUGGUGACUUGGACAAAAGAAGGUCAACUACUGGUUUUGUUUUUACAUUGUGUGGUGGAGCUGUGAGUUGGAAAGCCUCUCUGCAGCCUGUGGUUGCUUUAUCCACAACUGAGGCUGAGUACAUUGCAUUAGCUGAGGCUGUAAAAGAAGCAAAGUGGCUCAGUGGAAUAGUAUCAGAACUGGGACUGAAUCAAGAUACGAUUCCCAUAUGUUGUGACAGCUCAAGUGCAAUCCAGCUGAGUAGGAAUUCCAAAUAUCAUGAAAGAACCAAGCAUGUAGAUAUAAGGCUGCAUUUCAUAAGGGAAGAAAUUGAAAGGGGUGCUGUAGAUGUCGUUAAAAUAUCUACAGAGGACAAUCCAGCAGAUGCAUUAACUAAACCACUGCCAACCAUCAAGUUCAGGAACUCUCUGAGCUUGAUUGGAGUUAGAUGCUUGUAAGUCAAGCAUGUCAACAAGCUGAAGCAAAGUUGGGGUGAGGCUGGAACAGAAUGAACUAAGGUGGAGAUUUGUGAAGCUAGUUAGUUAAUUCAGUUAAGAGGUUAAGUGACGAGCUGAGUCAGUGUUGGUGGGGCCAGGGUUAGUUAAGUUUGUUACUACUAACAGCUGGACAAAAAACAGAGCUAUAAAAGAUGGCUCAAGGCUGAUCAGCAGGGGUACUUGAUUAACGGAUUUGAGAGGCUUAGGGUGAGAGAUAGAAAAUACUCUGUGAGAGAGAUUUAAUCCUUGUCAUCAGUUGUCUCUUUGUAAUCGACUUGUUCAAUAAAAGCUUCAAGCCCAAGAGGGUUCUUCAGCCGUGGAUGUAGGUACCUUUGGUACUGAACCACGUAAUCUUUUACUGUGUUUCUUCCUCUUUCUUCCUCUUGCUUUCUCUAUUCUUAGUUCUUUAGUGUUCUUGGUUGAGUUGUUGUUUCUUUAUUGUUAGAUAAUUGUUCUUAAGGAGUUGGUUUGAUUCGUGUGGUUAAAUCUUGGAGUCGAGAUUCGACUGUUAAUCUCAACAACUACAUUACAAAAUUAUUUUAAAUUAAUGCACUAUAGGCCAGUUCUUGAAUGAAUUGUUUCUGUCCCAUCGCUAUUAAUUUUUAUAAAUACAAUUUAUCAAUUAUUGAAUAUUCGGAUUCAUCAAAACUGUUAUAAUUUCAAUAGAUCUUCGUAUUAACACAUUAAUAUGACACGAGGAAUACCCUUAUGAACUGGCGUGUGAUGAUUUCUUUUAGUGCUGUAGGACUAGGAUUUAUAAAAAGCACUUUAUUGUUGGUAAUACAUACAAGCCAUCCUCAAAAACCCACAAUUAACAGAAAAUCCACACUCACUUUCAGUACCCUGUUCUCUUCAACUUCAAUCUUCAUAUCAUCUUUCUUCAACCCUGGAAUGUUGAGUGUGAUCAGGUUUUUGCAUCCAUUCUAGCAAAAAUACUUAAUAUCUGAUUUCAGUUUGGACUAAAAGCAAACCUGCAGCUGAAUCUGAUUGAUUAAAAAUUCAAAACUGUACCGAAAAGAAAAUAGAAGAUGACAAGCAGCUCUAACUAAUGCGGGGGAUGCAUGCAUAUUAAUAUUUCAAAACAGAACUAUCUUACAUCAUUUAGUGAUUAGUGAUGCAGAUGUUUGAUAGAAUGAAUCAGGUUUCUGCUGAAAUGUCUCAAGGAAGGACCCUCAAGUAUUCAUCAUCUCAGCAAGUGACUCAGCACAUGAGAAUGAGAUGAACUUUCAAGAAUCACCAGGAUAAAAUAAGAUCAAGGAUGCUACGAGGACAAACAAAGAUGGCGGCUGUAGCUUUUGAUGGUACGCAUGUUACAGCGCUANNNNNNNNNNNNNNNNNNNNNNNNNNNNNNNNNNNNNNNNNNNNNNNNNNNNNNNNNNNNNNNNNNNNNNNNNNNNNNNNNNNNNNNNNNNNNNNNNNNNNNNNNNNNNNNNNNNNNNNNNNNNNNNNNNNNNNNNNNNNNNNNNNNNNNNNNNNNNNNNNNNNNNNNNNNNNNNNNNNNNNNNNNNNNNNNNNNNNNNNNNNNNNNNNNNNNNNNNNNNNNNNNNNNNNNNNNNNNNNNNNNNNNNNNNNNNNNNNNNNNNNNNNNNNNNNNNNNNNNNNNNNNNNNNNNNNNNNNNNNNNNNNNNNNNNNNNNNNNNNNNNNNNNNNNNNNNNNNNNNNNNNNNNNNNNNNNNNNNNNNNNNNNNNNNNNNNNNNNNNNNNNNNNNNNNNNNNNNNNNNNNNNNNNNNNNNNNNNNNNNNNNNNNNNNNNNNNNNNNNNNNNNNNNNNACUCGUGCUUCAAUAAGUGACCAAAACAACUGCAAAUCCGUCUAAAGUAUGUCAAAUCACGUGAAGAACAUGUGAUUCACUUACUGGAAGUAAAAGACAAUACACAGAUGUCACAUUCUCCUGUUUCAUCCAGAAACUGACAGGGCAUGCACAAUUAAGGAUACAAACCGACAUGUCAGAAAAUUCUAAAACUCAUUUUUAAGCUCACAAUUCAACACAUCUCUUUUAAGAUCCUUUUGAAUAAUUUUCAGUUUUCUGACAAAUGCAACAUAAUAUGGUCAUGUCCUACUUAAUAACACAAAGCAUAAAUGCAGCUCUUAUAUUUUUGAUAAGCCAAAGUUGUUGAACAUAUAAAUACUCAUGUAUUCAGUGUUCUUUAUUAAAUUAGCAUGAUUGGACAUAAUUAAAAUGAAAAUCGGAUAAUUAUGAUGAUUGUAUUAGUUAGCUAGAUUGGUGUCAUUUUGUCUAAUUAUCAAGGAGAACAUUCAAUUAUAUAUAAUAUUUCCUUUGCAUUUUCUCUUUUAAUUAAAAUCAUAAAAAGACUUACAAUAUAGACCAUGUAUCUAUUAUGUUGUUUACCGGAGUGAAUUGUUAUUGUUUUCGUAAUUGUCAAAUAUUUUCUUUUUAGUUAAUCAUAAAGAACUAGCAAUCCUAUAAAUUAAUUAGUAUGAGCUAGCUAGCUGAAUGUUCAACAUUAAUUGCACUUUUGAGCUAAAUAUGGCAUGAUAUGCUCGGGGAACGAAAUUGAGUUUUGAGUUUCUGUCACAUGAUGUUGUUCAAUCAAGCAACUUUAUUCUUCAGUGAUAGACACAAAUGAAAGUGCACAUGCAUUAGCUAGAUGAUAAUUAAAAGACCAAGAUUAUAUUCCCAUCAUAAUUAACUAACAAUCCAACAUGAUCCAGUGUCAAUUAAUUUUCAGUUUCUUGUAUUAAUUUCUUUUUCAAUAUAUAUAAUGGCAAUCUCAUGAGAUGAAUAUGUUAAUUUCACUGCAUUGGGCACCUUUGUGAUAUUUUAUUAGGCACAUUCGUGUAUAAAUGGAUCAUAUUCUUGCACAAAUUUCAAAUAAUCACACCAAAGAGGGACAGACUGCAUCAGAAAAAAGUGUAUUCAGCUGCCUUCACUUUCAAUGAACUACUAUGAUGAAAAUCUCCAGAUAUGAAAUUAACAACUUCUUCUGUGUUUCUUAUUGUCAUCAUCAAGGACUUUAUUUACCAUGAAGGAGAUGGAAACAGAUGAUAUAAGAUGCAAUUGAACUUUGAUAUAAACAAAAAUGCUGCUCUUCAGCACAUUUCUUUGGUUGAAAAUGAUUCAAAUAUUAAAAUUUAUGUAUCUAGCAAGAAGAUUUCUUUUUUUUCCCCACCUCUUUUUGUGCACCAUGAACUGUUAGCACCUCUUGGUAGUAAAUAAAAACAAAGUGAAUCAAGCUUGUGAGUGGUACGCUUUACUAUAAUGCUUCAAUUUCAUAAAAUCUUUCUCAAAAAUUAAAAAAAAAGAAUUAUAAAUCCAUGCAUAGUAUGAAUUCAAAUUCUGUAGGCAUAAAGAGAACAAACCAGAUAAUCAGAAACUCCUCUUUCGUAAAUCCAAAAGAGCCUCAGGUCUACAAAUUAAAGCCAAGUAUCAGCAAGAAACCGAUUAUGUAAUUAUCAAAGUAGACAUUAAGCUUUAGGUCACAGUUAUGAAAAACCAGAAAAAAGUAUGAAAUCUUAACAAUUAGCUGAGGCCAACAGAAAUAACAUCAGACAUUGUGAUUAAUUAUCUUCCUUAACUAGCUCAGUGAUCAAAUGUCUAAUUCUGUAAACAUAUAAGCUAUUUCUUCUUCCCAUCAAUUAAACCCCAAAGAAUAGAACUCCCACUAUAAGUAUCUCCUUCUGCAAAUUGGUUCCUUUUUCUUUCUUUAAUACCUUUUAAGCAGGUUUUGUUCCUUUUUACAUUAGCAAAUAACGAAUAUAAACAUCUAUAUCUCUAAGCGAAAAAAUAUAUGUUCACAAAAUCGAAAACCACUGCAAAAAGGAAAUGAUAGAUACCCAGUUGAAAUAGAGGCUUCAUCUCUCGCCCAUUCUUGCCGCAUAGCAGGAGUCAAUGGAAAAAUCUCUUCAUCGCUUCCCUAGCUUGUCUCAGCUUCUCUAUCUCACCCAUUUUUCUCAAAACCUUUAUAUACUGAAAGAAAAAAAAGCCAUUUUUAUCGCAACCCAAUUAAGAAAGAAAAGCGAACGGGUAUCCACAAAAUCACCCAAUAAGUAUGCGUAUUGAGGUUACUUGAACAUGGUUGUCGUAAUUGGAAGGUUCAUUGGAUAGCUGAAACUCUAGGGUUUGAAGCUACGUGUUCUGUUUUGCUUCGUCUUCUGAGUCAGAAUCCGAGUCGGAGUCAGAGCAUUGCUCGAGUCCGAAGAGUUGUCUUUUUUUUUUUUUGCAGGGUUGUGCUUAACGUUGGGCAUGGUCAUGUCUUCAUCACCAUCUUCUUCUUCUUCUUCUGGGAUUGUUGCUAGGGUUUCUUCUACGGAUUCCAUCUUUUGAAAUUUGAACUCCCUUACUUUGUUUCUCCCGCUCAAGGACUGCUGAUUUCUUAAUUUUAUGCAAAUUUUUUUAACGAGAAAAUGAUAAAUAUCUGGAAUGGAAAAAUUUUUUUGAUGUCCCUCAAUUUUGAUUAAAAUACAAAUAAAUUCAUUUAUUUUUGGUCAAAUUAAUGAAUGCCACACAUGUAUCCGAAAUAAGCACUUGCCUAGUUCUUAUCAUUGCAACAUUACUCCCAUUGAAUAAUGGGGUAAAGAAGAAGAAAAAUUAACUAUAUGAUUUUUUUUUCUUCCUUUUUUUUGAUAAUUUAGAUGAAAUUUAAGAGUAUUUAUGUGAAAGAAGUGAUUAAGGUAAUUUGUGCAUCAUAUGAAAGAAUGCUAUUGAUAUUAUCAAUAGCAUUCCUUUUAUUAUCUUUAUUUUUCUUAUUAGACUCAUAAAAAUAUUCAUUGCACCAAUAUUAACUGCCUUUUCUCUCCCUAGUUGUUGAUAAUAUCAUUUUCCUAAUCUUAUUUUCUAUAGUUAUCCAACAUAUAAAAUUUAUAUUCGUUAAAAUUUAAAAAAAAAAGGAUAGUUGAGAUUGCUUCUACAUAUCCGUAGAACAGUUAUUUGUGUAUAUAUGCAGGUCGUGUCUGUGCAAAGAAUUAAAAUUUAAUUUUUUAUUUAAUAAAUCAUCAUGUGUACUUGUUCAUCUAUUUGACUUUUUACAUCUAUUUCUAUUCAGUCCCGUUGAUCGUUAGGUAUAUCAUGGAAUUGAAUGCUUGUGUUUAAAUAUCUUUAUUUAGUAUGUACCUAUAUAUGAAUCGUCUCUUAAUUUUUAGAUAUGAAUUAAAUUUAUCACAUCACAACGUAAUUAAGAUUUGUAUUUAAAUUUAUCACAUCACAACAUACCACGUCCAUGAUUUUAUUUACAAGUACUUCAUGAUUUCAUAGUGAGACGUACAAAACUGUAUUAAGCAAUUGGCUAGUUGUAACUGAUGAGCAUAAUUUAUAUACAUAUUUUAUCCUUUAUUAUAUAUUUACUAGUUAUUUUUAUUUCUUAUUUUUAAUUAAUUAUAUUAUUUUAUUGAAUAGAGAAUUAAUUAGAGAUUAUGGAUAAAAAGAGUAUAAAGAAGUUCAAUUUGUGAGCAUUAAAGAUUAAUUAACUUGGAAGCAAUUAUGUUUAUAUGCAUGUUAAUUCAAGCCAAGGAAACCGAAUUCAACAAAUUCAUUUACCCAUGCACAUGCGGACAAAGAAGAUAAAGGGGUGGAAAGCAAUAGAAAGGGACCCGCACUUGACUUUCAUGAGUGGAAAAGGAUUGAAAAUUCUUUUUGGAGUACACGUGAUAGAUGCCAAGACAAGUUAAAAGCUUUGCCAGCACAUGAAGGAUUAAAGGAAGUUUAAUUGGGCUUUGCAAGAGUGGGCUGAUUUUAGCUUGUGUGAGCAAUUCACUAGCUAUCAUUAUUUGACAAGGAUUCGGCUAGGGAUUAAAAAUAUAAAAGCCAAACUUUGGCUUUAGAAUAGGGAGGAGCCGCCAGAGGAGGAAAACGUCCCAUCAAUUAAACCCCAAAGAAUAGAACUCCCACUAUAAGUAUCCCCUUCUGCAAAUUGGUUCCUUUUUUCUUUCUUUAAUACCUUUUAAGCAGGUUUUGUUCCUUUUUACAUUAGCAAAUAAAAAAGCCAUUUUUAUCGCAACCCAACUAAGAAAGAAAAGCGAAUGGGUAUCCACAAAAUCACCCAAUACGUAUGUGUAUUGAGGUUACUUGAACAUGGUUGUCGUAAUUGGAAGGUUCAUUGGAUAGCUGAAACUCUAGGGUUUGAAGCUCCAUGUUCUGUUUUGCUUCGUCUUCUGAGUCAGAAUCCGAGUCGGAGUCAGAGCAUCGCUCGAGUCCGAAGAGUUGUCUUUUGUUUUUGUUUUUGUUUUUUUGUUUUUGCAGGGUUGUGCUUAACGUUGGGCAUGGCCGUGUCUUCAUCACCAUCUUCUUCUUCUUCUGGGAUUGUUGCUAGGGUUUCUUCUACGGGGUUCCAUCUUUCGAAAUUUGAACUCCCUUACUCUGUUUCUCCCGUUCAGGGACUGCUGCUUUCUUAAGUUUAUGCAAUUUUUUUUUAACGAGAAAAUGAUAAAUAUCUGGAAUGGAAAAAUUUUUUACAUUCCACUCCCAAGUCAGCUUCAGAUAUUAAUUCACUUCCAAUUUUGAUAGCACUAAACCGAUGUAUUAUUCGAGUUAGAGUGAAUAAUUACACCAAAAGUAAACACUUAAUCCCGAUCUGCUUGAUUGUCAAGAAACAGUAGGAAAAUUCAAUAGCAUUCCUUUUAUUAUCUUUAUUUUUCUUAUUAGACUCAUAAAAAUAUUCAUUGCACCAAUAUUAACUGCCUUUUCUCUCCCUAGUUGUUGAUAAUAUCAUUUUCCUAAUCUUAUUUUCUAUAGUUAUCCAACAUAUAAAAUUUAUAUUCGUUAAAAUUUCAAAAAAAAAAAUGGACAGUUGAGAUUGCUUCUACAUAUUCGUAGAACAGUUAUUUGUGUAUAUAUGCAGGUCGUGUCUGUGCAAAGAAUUAAAAUUUAAUUUUUUAUUUAAUAAAUCAUCAUGUGUACUUGUUCAUCUAUUUGACUUUUUACAUCUAUUUCUAUUCAGUCCCGUUGAUCGUUAGGUAUAUCAUGGAAUUGAAUGCUUGUGUUUAAAUAUCUUUAUUUAGUAUGUACCUAUAUAUGAAUCGUCUCUUAAUUUUUAGAUAUGAAUUAAAUUUAUCACAUCACAACGUAAUUAAGAUUUGUAUUUAAAUUUAUCACAUCACAACAUACCACGUCCGUGGUUUAGUUAGGAUUUACUUUUUGUUUCAUUGUUUUUAUUUUUUAUUUUUAGUUUUAGUUUUGCUCGAGGACUAGCAAAAUCUAAGUUUGGGGGUAUUUGAUGAGCAUAAUUUAUAUACAUAUUUUACCCUUUAUUAUAUAUUUACUAAUUAUUUUUAUUUCUUAUUUUUAAUUAAUUAUAUUAUUUUAUUGAAUAGAGAAUUAAUUAGAGAUUAUGGAUAAAAAGAGUAUAAAGAAGUUCAAUUUGUGAGCAUUAAAGAUUAAUUAACUUGGAAGCAAUUAUGCUUAUAUGCAUGUUAAUUCAAGCCAAGGAAACCGAAUUCAACAAAUUUAUUUACCCAUGCACAUGCGGACAAAGAAGAUAAAGGGGUGGAAAGCAAUAGAAAGGGACCCGCACUUGACUUUCAUGAGUGGAAAAGGAUUGAAAAUUCUUUUUGGAGUACACGUGAUAGAUGCCAAGACAAGUUAAAAGCUUUGCCAGCACAUGAAGGAUUAAAGGAAGUUUAAUUGGGCUUUGCAAGAGUGGGCUGAUUUUAGCUUGUGUGAGCUGCUAGAAAGUCAGUUUAAUCUAGGUUAAUUUGAUUCUUCCACUAGUUAUAAUUUAGGUUGUCUUUUAUUUUAUUUAUUCAAUUUUUAUUAAGAAAAAACAGGUUGUCUUUUAUUUUAUUUAUUCAAUUUUUAUUUAAAAAAACAAAAAAAAAUUAGUUUAUUUUAUUUUGAAUUUAUUGUUUAGUUGUUUGAUUUCUUUUAUUUAAUUUUGUUUAUUUUUAUUAUUGUUGUUUUAUUUUUCUUCUUUGUCUAGUUAGUUUAUGAGUGUUUGGGAAUGCGAUUCAACAAAUCGUUUGGUAAAAAAAAGAGUCGAAAAUUGAUAAUAGUCGAGAUAGUUCUUCAGAAGUGAUGGAUGACCCCAAUAGAUUAUUGCCAAUACUUCCACCAAUGCAAGCAGAGAAAACCCUUAGAAAAUAUUUUUCACCACUUGCAGCCAACCAACCAUCUUGUAUUGUGUUGCCACAAACUACAGCAACACACUUCUGCUGUACCGUACAAGUCAUUCAACUUUUACCAUCUUUCCAUGGGUUAGAGAGAGAGGACCCAUAUUUGCACAUUAAGGAAUUUCUUGACAUAUGCUUCGUAUGUUCCCUUUCUCAUUAAAAGACAAAGCAAAAGCGUGGUUGAAUUCACUUCCUGCUGGGUCUAUUACUACGUGGGAUGAAUUGAGUAAUAAGUUUCUCACCAAAUUUUUCCCUAUGUCUAAAACAAAUGCCCUUAGGAGAGAGAUAAGUGAUUUUUAUCAAAGAGAGGGUGAGCAAUUUUAUGAGUGUUGGGAAAGAUUCAAUGAUUUACUCCUCAAGUGUCCCCACCAUGGUUUUGAAAAAUGGAGACUUAUACAAUGCUUUUAUAAUGGUUUAACCAUGUCAAAUCGUCAUAUGGUAGAGUCUAUGAAUGGUGGGAGAUUUUUGAACUUACAUGAAGGGGCUGCAUGGGAUUUCUUUAAUUCACUUUCUGAAAAUUCUCAACAGUCGGAUUUUUCAAAUCAAAGGGAAAAAUUAUCUCAAGUUUCUAGAAAGGGUCUAUACGAAGUUAAGGAUGACUUUGAUGUGAAAGCCACUCUAGCUACACCUUCUAGGAAAGUAGAUGCCUUAGCUCUGAACCAAUCAAUGACAAUAGUCCAUAUUCAUCCACAUAUAAUCCUAAUUGGAGGAAUCACCCUAAUUUUUCUUGGAAACAAAAUCAACAUUUGUCAAAUCAAGGAGGGCAACAAUUUAACAUGCCUAAUCAACAAUUUGUCUCUCCUAACCAAGUAUAUCCUCCUGCCCAACAACCUAUGUCUCAAUUUGUUGCACCCCAACAAAGAAAGUCUUCUUUAGAGGAUACACUUCAAAGUUUCAUUCAGUCAACCCAACAAGCUUUUCAGUCAAACACUCAAGCUAUUCUAAAGCUUGAACAUCAAUUGGGUCAAUUAGCAACUACUGUAGCGGAGAGAGAAAAAGGAAAAUUCCCCAGUCAAUCAAUUCCCAAUCCUAAAGGAGUGCAUGAAGUUGGAUCGAGUUCAAGCCAUCAGCAUGAAGAAGCAAAAUCUGUUAUGACCUUGAGAAGAGGAAAAUUAUUUGACAACAAGGUGAAGGUUCCAACAAGGAAGACAUCUGAGCCUACUUCUUCAGAUCCAGUUCCAUCACAAGAUCCAUCAUCAAAUGAUCCAGAAGAAAGUGGCCCGCUAGCUUACAUUCCCAAGGUUCCUUUUCCUCAAAGGUUAACAAAGGUAAAGAAAGGGACUUCAACAGAUGAGAUUAUGAAAAUCUUCAAGCAGGUAAGUAUAAACAUCCCUUUACUCGAUGCUAUUAAGCAAGUUCCUUCAUAUGCCAAGUUUUUGAAAGAUUUAUGCACUAAAAAGAUAAAUUUGCAUGUCACUAAAAAGGCGUUUUUAACUUAACAAACUAGCAAUUUACUUCAAUGUAAAAUGCCACCAAAAUGUAAGGAUCCUGGUUCUCCUACUAUCUCAUGUGUUAUAGGGAACCAAUGUUUUGAUAAAGCAUUAUUGGAUUUAGGCGCUAGUGUUAAUCUCUUGCCUUAUUCUGUUUACAUGCAACUUGGACUAGGGGAAUUAAAGCCAACUUCUAUUAUUUUGCAACUUGCUGAUAGGUCAAUGAAAAUACCUCGUGGUAUUAUAGAGGAUGUGUUGAUACAAAUUGAUAAAUUUUAUUAUCCUGUUGAUUUUAUUAUUAUUGAUACUCAGCAUGUACAAGAUCCUAAGAAACACACCCCAGUUAUUCUAGGUCGUCCUUUCUUAGCUACAGCUGAUGCUCAUAUUAGUUGCAGGACUGGAAACAUGCAAUUGUCUUUUGGUAACAUGACCAUGGAAUUAAACAUUUUUAAUGUUCCCAAGCAGGCACAAGAAGAUGAUGAAGUUGUUGAAGUAGAUAUGAUAGAAACAUCAAUUGAUGACUCACUUAUUUCUAACCACUGUGACAAUCUAUUAAUACCAUGCACAACUGACUUUGAUUUCUCUGUUGAUGUUGAUAGUGGUAUUGAAGAUGUUAAUGCUUUACUUGAUUCGACUCUUAUCAUAGAUCUAAUUAAGUGGAAAGAAAAGAUUGAGCCACUUCCUCCUGAAGAGAAAAGUGAACCAUUCAAGUUGGAGCUACUUCCUAAAAAUGUGCAACAUAGGUCACAUUCUGACAUGAAAAAGGUGGUAAGAUCUAAAGUGCUUAAACUAUUAGAUUUUUAUACUACUUCAGAUAACUCUCAGGAAAGCUUGGAACAGAAGAGAUCAAAGCAGUGCGAUAUUGAAGAGUUUCAUUACCAUCAUCCUUUUAUAGAUAAAAUGCCCCAGUGCUUAGUCAAUUAUGUUUUUUGGCAUUUUCUAUAUAAUUGCUUUGGUUUUCACCAAAUUCUUAUUGAUCCUGGUUGAUUUGUUGUUUACAUUAAUUAGUUAGCAGAUUCUUAUUGAUCCUGGUUGAUUUGUUGUUUACAUUAAUUAGUUAGUUAGUAGGAUUUUUUUUUAUUUUGUUUUGUUUUUUUAUUUUAUUAUUUAUAUUUCUUCUAACGUUUUCUUUUUAGUUGUCAUUUUCUUUUAAGCUUUCCCAGCCCAUCCAGGUGUGUUCUCUCCAAUUUUAUUAUUAUUAUUAUUAUUUAUGUUUUUAUUUUAUUUUAUUUUUACUAUAUUUUUUUUUCAUUUGUUUGCAUGCUUAUCUUUUGUUUGUGAAACAUUGAGGACAAUGUUCCGAAUAAGUUUGGGGGUGAGAAUAGUGUGUGCUUUGUUUGUUAUUAAAAAAAUCAAAAAAAAUCAAAAAAAUUCAAAAAUUCAAAAAAAAAUUGUGUUUUUUUUGUUUUUACGUGAAAAGCCAAUGAUAAGAACUUGAUUGACAAUGAAUAUAGAUCUUAGAAAGGGUUGAAUAUUGUCUUAGUUUAUACUUGAUUCCUGUGUUAAUUCCUCUUGAUUGAGAUUCUUUAAACCACGAGCACUAAUAUCAAUUCUUUCAUAAUUUUGACUUGAAAUUUGAGAUUGACGCAGCCUGAGUUGAGAAUUUUAGAUAGAGUAAAUGACUGUUUGUCUUGAUUCUUAUCUCCACAAUACAAAAUAGUAUACAGGGCGCCAAAGUCAGAAAUAGCUACCUAUAACCCUUAAGAGUGAAGCUAUCCUUGAGUAAUUUGGGCCUAUGUACCACAAGUAUGUAGAGGAUAAUCUACCAUGAGAAGAAGGCUACCUUAAGGGGUAGAGUGAAAGCUUCUGACUAUGGUUAAAAAAAAAAGAAGAAAAAAAAAAGAGAAAAAGAAAAGAAAAAAAAAUCAAAUCAAGUGCAUGUACUGAAAAAAAAAAAUCAAAAGAAAGUGCACAUAAAAGCCUGUGAAAAAAAAAAUUUUUUUUGAGAUCAAGAUGAUAAGAUUAAUUUGACCUACUCUGUUCUUUGUUUGAGGCGAAAAUUGUUGAUGUUGAGGAUUUUGUGAAUGGAUUUGAUUGAAUUGAUUUCACACACACACUACAAGAAUCGAAAGAGAGAUGGGAUUGAUUAUUGAAUUAAAGUUAGAACUUUGGCAAUAUUUGAAAUUUUCUUUGAGCUAUAUAAUUUUUGCAAUCUUUGAGGCUAUUUUUCAUGUUUUAUUUAAAGUUUUUUUUUAAUUUAAUUUAAUUGUUUUUAAAUGAUGUUUGUGGGUAUCAUCACUGAAGCCCUCACGAGACUAUAACUCGUCCACUAGGGCCGCCUAGGGGUUUAAAGGCUUGUUGCAUGUGCUAAAUGCAAUCGCGAUUACCUGCGAAAGUGGUUUAGUUAGGAUUUACUUUUUGUUUCAUUGUUUUUAUUUUUUAUUUUUAGUUUUAGUUUUGCUCGAGGACUAGCAAAAUCUAAGUUUGGGGGUAUUUGAUGAGCAUAAUUUAUAUACAUAUUUUACCCUUUAUUAUAUAUUUACUAAUUAUUUUUAUUUCUUAUUUUUAAUUAAUUAUAUUAUUUUAUUGAAUAGAGAAUUAAUUAGAGAUUAUGGAUAAAAAGAGUAUAAAGAAGUUCAAUUUGUGAGCAUUAAAGAUUAAUUAACUUGGAAGCAAUUAUGUUUAUAUGCAUGUUAAUUCAAGCCAAGGAAACCGAAUUCAACAAAUUCAUUUACCCAUGCACAUGCGGACAAAGAAGAUAAAGGGGUGGAAAGCAAUAGAAAGGGACCCGCACUUGACUUUCAUGAGUGGAAAAGGAUUGAAAAUUCUUUUUGGAGUACACGUGAUAGAUGCCAAGACAAGUUAAAAGCUUUGCCAGCACAUGAAGGAUUAAAGGAAGUUUAAUUGGGCUUUGCAAGAGUGGGCUGAUUUUAGCUUGUGUGAGCAAUUCACUAGCUAUCAUUAUUUGACAAGGAUUCGGCUAGGGAUUAAAAAUAUAAAAGCCAAACUUUGGCUUUAGAAUAGGGAGGAGCCGCCAGAGGAGGAAAACGCGAGACAGAGAAGAAAAUCUGCAGUAGUUCGACUUUCAUGGCUGCAUUUAUUUCUUUUGUUGCUCACAAUUUAAGUAUGUUUAGCUAAUUUUCUUAUACUGAGGUUAAGGAUGAAACCAUAUUUAAUGAAAUAAUUAUCUCUUUUUAUUUAAUUAAUUCCCUAUAUAUGUUCUUUGAUGAUUAUGGUUUUUAUUUCACAUGAUUAAUUGGAUGUUAUUAAAAUCUUUUCAUCAAUUCUGUCAUGCAUUAUUGAUUGUUCAACUAGGUUAGAAUUAAUAUUAAUUUUAGAUUUAAAUUAGACUUUUCAAUUUAUAACAAUCCCUGUGGGAUCGACCUCGUUACCACUACUCUAUUUCUAGAUUCGUGCGCUUGCGAGUAUAUUAAAAUUUUCACAACAGUAACAAAUGAAACCAAUAUAUCUUGAUGGGUUGAUUAAUUAAUAAUAAUUUUUGCUAAUAACAAGGAAAAAUAAAUUAAAUCUUUUUACUCUAGAUACAUCGCUACCAUGACUCUUUCGUCAUAAAACCAAAAGACUCUAGUAUAGGAGAUGAAUUUACAAAAUUGUACAUAGAAAAAUGAGAUUAUUAAUGUGCACAAGGACAUUAAUUCACUUUCCCCUGUUUAUUGGCUCUGCUUAAUUUUUUCCUUCAUUGUUUGUCUAUUUUCCCAACUUUUUUCUUAUAAAACUGAAACCAAUCAAAUCAUGAUUAUUAUUGUAAUACUAAUUUAAAAAAAAAAAAAUUCAAAUUCAAAUACUAUGUUUUGAAGGAAAUAUAUUAUCAUAUAAAUUAAUAAUUACGUAGUAUAAAAACGAAAUUCAUAUGACAUGUCUAUAUAGCUUGUGUAAAAUACAUUCUUAGCAUUGUUUGCUUCUUUUCAAAAUUAAUCUAUAAAUAUGGGAAACAAUGCAAUUUAUAACAAUAUAUUGUUGCAAUAGUGGAUUAACAAAAUUUCCAGCAAUUCUCUUUUCGUAAAUAACAACCAUGUGAUCUCGAUGACAUUAACCAUGUAAAUGUUUACGUCACAUAAUUGCAGCUUUUGCUAUCCCGCCACGGCGCCACAAUUUGCAAAACGUAAAUCCAUAUACCGGUGCAUUUAAUAUUAUUCAUUACAAAUCCGGACCGUUAGAGCUGGAUCCUAGAGAAGAAGAAAACUUAACUUUGUAUAUGAUUUUUUAAAAAAAAAAAAAUUGUGACAAUUUGAAUAUUAUUUUUGUUAAGUUAGAUUGUGCAUCAAUAUAAAAUAAGGUUGAAAUUUUUGGGUAUCAAUACGAAAGAAGUGAUAAAACUAGUUUGUGCAUAUACAAUUAAAUAAUUCAAAUUAGACUAAAAUUCAGAAAUAUUUAUAACAACCCAAUUGCGCACUAAUGAUUUUGAGUUGGAACUGUUUUAACUUGUUCUAAAAAAUUUUAACUUCGACGACUAGCAAAGGUUAAUACAAGAGAAAGUGUUUUAUUUUAGCUGAUCCCUAUUCCUGCAUUUGUUAAAAAAUAAAAUAUAAAAUAUACAAAAUGUCCAGCAUCAGAGCAAGGGAAGAUGAGCGUGCCGGCGCAGAGAUUGUGUAUGGCGCUGAAGAGUGCUAUCGCCAUUCUAUUGAGCUUCUUGAAGAGCUAGGGUUUCCAAAAGGGGUGCUUCCUUUGCAAGAUCUUGAAGAGUGUGGAAGAGUCAGAGAAACUGGGUUUGUUUGGAUGAAGCAAAGAGCCCCAUAUGAGCAUUUCUUUGAGGGGACUAAUACUCGAGUGAGUUAUGCAGCGGAAGUGACUGCUUAUGUAGAGAAGUUCAAGAUGAAGAAAAUGACUGGCGUUAAAAGCAAACAAAUGUUUCUGUGGGUGCCAAUUCCUGAGAUGAGCAUUGAAGAUGCGUCGAGUAAUAAGAUCCAUUUCAAGACUCCGAUGGGAAUUGGCAAGUCUUUUCCGAUCACGGCUUUUCAUGACCGAUGAAGAGAAACACAAGUACUUGGACAUGAAAGCCAACGAAUGAAUCAUUUGAAAACUUGCUGCAUCUCUAAUUGGCUCGGUGGGCGGGCAUAUAUAUACAUGCACUCUUUUAAUUGAUUAUCCACUUUAAUUAUCUAAUAAGGUUACAGCAUAGAGUUUCUCGUUCAUAUAUAUAGCAUGCUUAAUUUGAUUUCGUCAUAUUCAGAAAAGAGUUAACUAAUAUUUGAUAUAAUCAAUAUCGUCCUCGUAAUCAUCAUUCUUCCCAUAUGUUCCUGUUAAUCGAAAUUUGAUGUAGGAUUAAUUAAUUUUUAUAAAAUUUCAUCUUCAAUCAGUUUUAUCAGGCUAAUUUAAUCCAAUCCUUGAACACAAACAUACUAGUAUUACUAGUUAAUUUAUUUGGUAAUAAAAUUCUCUAAUUAUGAUGUUACAACAGUCGUGUUGGCUUCAAUCGGGGGGAAAAAAAAAGAGAAAAAAGGAAGCUAGCAAUCUAAAUGACAUGGUAAUUAACAAAAAAUAAUAAUAAUAAGUAUAACCAUCAUUACUUGACAUAUUUUAAGUGGAGUUCAAAUCCUCUCGUGAUUUGAAUAUUAUCUGAGUUUUGUGAGACCUAUUGGCAUGUGGCAUUUAUUAAACUUUGUGGCCAUGGUCUCUUUUCUUGUCUUUUAAUUGUUUUGUGAGCGGUCAGCCUCUAAAGGAUGCAUUUUGUUCACUUGUUUCCCUUUUCUCUUCGCUAAUAACCAACCACUAAAAACGUCCAAACAGCAGCCAAAUGUCUAAUUCACUUUUUUUAAAGCAAAGCUUUGUGCCUACUGUCACGGCCCGCUUGUUCCCUCGCUGUGCCGCGCGGCUUUAGGCGCCAAAUUUUAUUCUUUUGGCCUUAAGUUAGCCUUGCACACUCAAAUUCAUUGCUGGAUUCGAAAGUCGGAAAGUGUAUUUAUUCAAACCCGCUCAAAAUGGGAGGAAAAAACUCGUAUUACUCAAAAAAAAACUUACAAUGCCUAUGUGCUGGAUUUUAUAUGUUGCUUGUUAUGCCUUGACCAAAUGAAACUCCUAUAUAUAGAGUAUAAUAGAGUAUAAGGGAGUGGUCUCAAUGCUCAAGGACCACAAUAAAUGUAAGAAAAAUUUAUAUAAUCAUAUGGCUGGUGUUAGUGGGCGCUACGUUGGAGCUGAUCCAACGUAGCCGAACCUUUAUUUGAAUUAACAGAUAUGCAACGUAAUUCAGGAGUGGCAAAUGUGGUACACGACACAAAAUUAAAAAAAUGGAAGUAGUGGAAUUAAUUAAUUAAUUAAUUUUUUCAGCAACAAAAAAUUGAGAUUAACAUAUGAUAUACUUGCAUGCAAAUUUAUAUAAUUUAACUUUCUCUCUUUUGGGACAUGAUCGAUUCUUGUUCUCUCUUAUUAAAUUAACCAUACUCACAUUUUAAACUAGUACCGGAUUUAUGUAUAUCUCUAGUCUAAUUUGGUUAAUUUUUCUUUUCAAAGAUUUCAAGUAAAAGAGAUUCUUAAAAUUAAUUUUCGAUAGUGGGUGUCCCUUGAUGAAAAUUUAGGUGUCUUUGUGAGCAUUUUCCUAAACCUUAAAAGUGUCGGUAUCCUUUUUCCCAAAAAAAUAAAAAAAAUAUGUAUAAUGGUAAAUAUUUGCUCUGUUUUCCUCUGUUUAUUUGCUUUGCCAACUUGUAGGGUCUUCAUUAUUUGUCUAUUUUCCCAGCUUUUUUAACAUCUCAAACUUGUCAAAUAUUUUAGCGAUUACUUUGUAAAAAUUAAAAGUUUAUGUUUCCCUCACUUGUAUUGCUUUCAAUUACUUGAGCCUUCACAAACUAAACCAAACUAAACCAAACUAAACUUUUUCCUUAGCAAAUCUCUUUUAAAAAAAUUCAUACUUUCCUAUAAGACUCUCUUAUUAUAUAAAUUAAUAAUUACUAAUUCAAAACUAAAUUUAUAUUAGAUGUAUUUGUGGCUUUUAUAAAAUAUAUCCUUAUUGUUGUUCUUCUAAUUGAUUUUAACUUAUCUUAUCUCUAAUUUUUUUGGUAUACAAAAAUCAAAUCUCUUUUAGAGUCCUUUGUCAGAAUUAAUUGAACUUCUAUUUAACAUGUGGUUACAAAAUGGUCAGUGAAGUGAUAAAAUAAACUCGAAGCAUUGCAAAUAUAUCUUUUACUUUUAAUUGUCAAAUUAUUUCUAGCAAAUAAUAUUAAAUUUUUAAAGCAUCAUUUUGUUGCCAAUAUUUUUUUUCAGUAAAUACUUAUUUCAUUAUUACAUGAUCCAUAUUUGUUGUCUAUCAUUACUCAUCAAACGCCACAGUGAUAUCAUUCCCCAUUACUCUUUCAUUAUAUGUUAAACUAACUAAAAUCAAUUAUAUAUUUUCUAUGAAAUUACACAAGAUUAUGAAAUCGACGUUUUCAAUAUCAGACCAUCAAAAUUGAUUGAUGAGGAAAUGUUAAUGUAAUGUUGCAUACUGAUAGUACCACGCCUGCAGGAUUAAUGAAGUCAUGCAGGCAUAUUUUCUCAGCAUCUGAGUUCCCAUUUCAGUUAGAAAGAAACGAUACACUACCCUUGCACUGCGUGAGCCUUAAGAAACUGACGGUCUGGCAGUUACAAACAAAGAUUGAUGGGUUGAAUUCAAAAAAAAAGAAAAAAAGAAAAAAAAAUCUUGAUGGGUUGAUGAAUUAAUAGUUUUACUAGUAGAAAUAAUAAAUUAAAUCUUUUUUUCAUGAAGUAUCAUAUCGCAGUUCAUUUCUCCAAAUUGUAGGUAACAUAUUAAUCGUUUUAUUAUUUUAUUAAAUAUCUAUAAUAACUAAGUCGAAUUUAUAUUCAGCUAAAACUUUGUUAUAUUUAUUUUGACACGACACUAAACAAGCUCUUGCCCCAUAUUCUGCACAAACAGUUAAUAUAUUCUCUAUCUCUUUCCUGCUGUAAAAGCAAGCCAGUUGGAUUGAUUGUUGGACCAGAAAUGUACACCCACGGCUUCUUUACAGUCUCGAUCGAGUAUUGUCACAAGUAUCAAAGCCCACUUCAGACUGGGGAGGGAUAUUCACAAUGAUAGCUUUCAAAAAUUUGGCAGCAGAAACAUACUUCCCAUUGGAGUCUGCUGGGAAGCAUAAUGUAUUGUUCCACUUUGUAGGAUACAGCAGAGGACUAGCUUAUUAAACAGAGAUUGAAAGCAAUCUGCAUAUAUGAAUUCUGCAUUUGUAUCGACUGGGAAACCAACAUUGCUCUUGAUAUACUGUUUGAUGCUUGGGGGGACGUCAAUGUCUGACUCAGACAUGUUUUCUCUUGCAAAACUUUCAAGGAUAGCAGCUUUGACUGGGGAUGGUAUCGGCAAGAAGGUUAAGUCUACAUCCAUAUGAAUCAGGUUAGAGUUUGGUGUCUCAGUAAUUGACAGUUGUUGAGGACAGAGAUGGCUGAUCUAGAAAACCCGGUCAUCCCAGUUGAUUUGGCCUUUCACAACCCCCCUGAAGAAGAUUUACCAAAAAGCAAUCCCAUAAGCUAACUUGCUUCAGUGAAAAAUAACAAAUAGCAGAAAAUGCCAAUGUAGCGGCUAAAGUGCUGUGAAGUGAACUACAGAGAAAUAUUAAGAAAAAUCAGAGGUCGGAUAAGCAUACAGCCAGUGAAUUAAGAAAAAAGUCCAAGAAGCAAAGGAAUCGCUUUGGGUCAAUCGCUCCAUCUUAAGUCCAGAAAAAUGGACAUAAUUAUUAAAGUCCUCGCAUGAUACUGAAUUGCUUAAGUUGCUUCCAACUUUUGUAACAUAAAUAUCAACUAUCUGAUUACUCUCAUGUUCAAAUGGAAGAGAAGCUCAUGAAAAAGACAAUCAGCGCAGUAGUCCCUUCUAGUACUUCCACAGUCUUAUAUUACACUAUGCUAUAUUAAUUUUUUAAUGAGUAAUUUAAAUUAUAUAUUUAUAAAAUAACAUUUAUUAGUAGUUAGAAAAAUACUAAAUAUAGAAUUCUUAAAUUUUAGAAAUUUAAUAUUAUCUUUUUGGUAUAAACAUUGAAAAAAAAUCAUAAUUCUUCGUAAAGAUUGAAAUAAAUAAUUCAAUCAAAUAACCUUCAAAUAAUAUUAUAACAUAAAUAAAUAAUUAAAAUGUACAAGAUUAAGUUAAAAAUCAUUUUAAGAUAAAAAAAUAAAAAAAUUACACAUACUAUAAAAUAAUAUAGUAGCUGUAGUACGAUAACCAACAAAAUAGAUUGUUAAAAAUAAUUCAAGUAAUACAACAAUAUUUACAAGUACCGUUUUUGCUAUCUUUCUCUUUUAAAGACUCCUUUUUUUUGUUUUAUUCUCAUAACUUCAUAGUUCUUUGUUUUCUUUUUCUUUUUCUUUGCCUCUAUUUUCUUUUUCUUUCUUUUCCUUUUCCUUUUUUUUCUUCUGUUUCCUUUUUCAUUCUUUUCCUUUUCCUCUGUUUUUUAUCUUUCUUUUUCUUAUAAGUUUCCUUUGGGUGAUUUGUCGGAGAGUUGUGUGGCUUUGAUUGCUGGGUCUUUGAGAUCGCCUUCGAUGGUUUUGGUGCAUGGGUUCUUUUGCAUGCCUUCGUAGCCGACGCCGUAGUAUGCGAAAGAAUAUGGCAAUUUUCCGGAGCUUGAAUAGCUAUUUUUCCGGUGGAAUCGGCACCUGCGGCGUCGAGGACGAGGUCAUGUUCGUCGGAGAUGGUGGUUGUGGACAUCUGGUUCUUGUUGCGGACAUUUCUCCUUUCUUCGUCUCCUUCAUUUUUCUUUUUUUUUCCUCUUUUUCUCCUUCUAACGCAAUGAGGCGUAAUUCCGACUCCCCCACGGGUUUAUUUUAUGCGGUAUUUGGUGUAUUACAACAGUAAUUUUAUGUGGUCUAAUACCGUGUUAAUUUUCGCCAAACGUAGUAUUGUAUUAAUUUAAUACAAUAUAAGAUUAUAAUGAGGUGUAAUGCUGGGUGCCAAACACGCCCUUUGUAUACUAUGAAUUGCUUAAGCUUGUAAACAAAGACAUCAAAACAUAGAUUCUGUUCUAGACACAAUUUUUCACUUUAGAUUUGGGAUUGAUUUUUAGCUUUAUCUUUUUAGGCUUAUAACUAAAAGCGCGAAAAAAAAAAGGAUAAUAAAAAAUAAUAAUAAAUAAAUAAAAUUUGCUAACAAUGAUAUUAGCUUUUUUUUUCCUUUUUAAAGUGGAAAUUAUUUGGUAACUGGACACGUGCUUAUAUAUAGUAGCUAUAUAGUAGCUAACAUUCUAUAGUAGUAAUAGCAGACUGUGCAUUUAUUAUUUUUGGAAGAAAGUAAAUAUUUGCCCUGUUUUCCUCCGUUUAUUUGCAUUGCCAACUUGUACGGUCUUCACUAUUCGUCAAAUAUUUUAACGAUUACGUUAAAAAAAUUAGAAUCUUAUAUUUCCUUCAAUUGCAUUGCUUUCAAUUACUUGAGCCUUCACAAACUAAACCAAACUAAACUUUUUCCAUAAGCGAAUCUCUUUUCAAAAAUUCCUGCUUUCCUAUAAGACUCUGUUACUAUAUAAAUUCGUAAUCACUUAAUUCGAAAUUAAAUUUAUAUUAUAUAUUUGUGGGUUUUACAAAAUAUAUUCUUAUUGUUGUCCUUGUAAUUGAUUUUAACUUAUCUCAUCUCUAAUUUUUUGGAAUGCAAAAAUCAAAUCUCUUCUCGACAUUCUCUAGAGUCUUUGGUCAGAAUUAAUUGAACUUCUAUUAAAGUUGUCGUUACAAAAUGGCUAAUGAAGUGAUAAAAUAAGCUCGAAGUGACAAAAUGGCUAAUUGAACUUCUAUUAAAGUUGUCGCAUAUACAUCUUUUACUUUUAAUUUUCGAAUUACUUUCUUGCAAAUAAUAUUAAAUUUUUAAAGCAUUAUUUUAUUGCCAAAUAUUUUUCAGCAAAUAUAUAUUUCACUAUUACAUGACUAAUAUUUGGUGUCUAUUAUUACGCAUCACAUGCCAAAUCGACAUCAUUCCCCGUCUCUCUUUCUUUAUACGUUAAACUAACUCAAAUCAAUUAUAUCUUUUCUAUGAAAUUACAUAAAAUUAUGAAAUCGAUGUUUUUAAUAUCAUACCAUUAAAACUGAUUCGAUAUUAGAAGCUCAUGAAAAAGACAGCCAUAGUAGUUUUGACCAAUCAGAGCAGUAGUCCCUUCUAGUAAAUUCAACAAUCUUAGACAAGGCCUUAAAGAUGGCCUCUUCGUCUGGUAUGAAAAAAGCAACUUCUAAAUCUAGAUCGUCCUAGAAAGGAGAAUUUUGCUUCCGUAAAUAAGUUCUUAAAAUAAAAAAGCUAACAGAUAACCAAUCAGAAUGAAUCUUGAAACCCGUCUUAUGGCUUAAAUCAGACAAAAUAGAAAUCUCCUCUUGCAAUAGCAUAUUUGAGUCAAGUAGCGGCAAUAAUGAAAAACAAUCACCGAAUGUCAAGGAAGAACAUUUCCGGCUGGGAGGCUGGAGAGCUCAAAGUCAUCGGAUAUAUCCAAGAGAAGACGAGAUCCAACUUCUCUUGUUAGUAAGCAUAAAUUAGCUGAAUGUUCAAUGCUCAUGCACUUUUGGGUGAGUUUCUGUGAUUGCUGUAACGUAAUAUGACACUAUUCAAUCAAGCCACUCUGCUUUUCAGUGAUAGACACAAAUGAGAUUAGUGCAAAUGAUAUAAUUGAAAUACCACGAUUAUAUUCCCAUCAUAAUUAACAACUAAUUUUCAGUUUCUUGUGUCAAUUUCUUUUUCAAUAUAUCUAAUGGCAAUCUCAUGAGCUCAAUGUUAAUUUUACUGUAUUUUGCACCUUUGUGAUACUUUAUUAAACCAACAACACAAGAAAAUUUGACAAAAGUGCUGCCAAGAUUAUCAUCAUCUGAAUUUUAGAUACCAAACAUCAUAUAUAAAUUAGCAAUCCCAAACUAACUAAAAGGAUACCCAUUAGAUAGAAAUUCACAUUACAGUUUGUCCGACAACUACCAAAAGAAACACCAUAAAAGCAUAGUACAUAGCUUCUCACACAAAAACAGAUUAUAUCUUCUCCUCAGCAGCUGAAUCCUUCUAAGAGCUCAUCGAUGACACAAUACACAAUUCGAUGGGUGGUUGCAUGAUGGGGAAGUCUAACUUUGUACUUUUUUCAUCAGACUUUGUCAAAGAUCGUUUUGUAAUUAAUUUCAUAAGCUGAGUGUAUAUAAAUGCUAGAGUGUUCUUCAUUUAAAUAGCAUGAUUGAAUACAAUUAAUAUAAUGGAAAUCAAAUUAUAAUCAUCGAAUUUUUUAGAUUAGCAUUAUUUCAUCUUUGUAUAAUCUAACUUGAGACAAUCAAUAUUUAUACUGAUUUCGUCCCUUUGAUCGUGACUUUGAUGGUUACUUUUAAAAAUUCUCUUCACCUACCGAUUUCAUUUAACAAAAAUUUUACAUACAAUACAACUUUACAAAGAAUUAAAUAAAACCAAACGAAAUAUCAAGGCUGUUCACGAAUUGCCUUCCUAUGGUUCCACAGCCAAGCAAGUCCUUAUAUACAACUAAAAGUCAAUUUGAUUCUUUGACUUAGAUUUGGGAUUGAUGUUCAGCUUUAUCUUUUAGGGCCUGUGACAUCCCAGUACACACAUACACACACGCACACACAUAUUGUAUAUGAUCAAGCUACUUAGUGGGGAUGGCCAUAAAAUAGACGUAAAAAUGGAUGGCCAUCUGAUUCCCCAUGAGUACAGAAAAAUUAAAUAUGAAACUCCAAUACCGUCAAUUCUGCGUUUUAAUUUUAAGUUGACGUAUAAUGAAACGAGAGGCUCAUGUGAUUUAAUUUUGUAUAUUUAAUUAAGUAAAAGUGAAACUUAUUGCAUUGUAGCUGGACAUGGUUUAACCGGCUAUGAAUGCACUUUGUUCCUGCAGUACUUUCUAAGUUUGAAUAUUAAUAAAAUUCAAAGUUGAUUUUGAAUGGAUAAGAUUUCCCAUCCCUGAAAUUUUAUUUAAAUAAGAAAACCAAUCUGACCGAAAGGAAUACAAAUUGCAGGACCAUUGCAAAGAUCCCAGUGUCAGAGUAAAUUAUGUAUUUAGCUUGGAGCAGUUUGCAAAGUAACCUCAAUAACUAAAAGGAAAAAAAUAAAAUAAAAUAAAAUAAAGCACAACAUAUGCCAUCAAUGAAAUUAGCUUUUAUUCUUUGUUAAAGUGAAAUUCUUUUGCUAAUUAGACACAUGCUUUUAUUUCCUUCAAUUGCAUUGCUUUCAAUUACUUGAGCCUUCACAAACUAAACCAAACUAAAGUUGUUCCUUAAGCAAAUCUCUUUUAAAAAAAUUCCUAUUUUUCUAUAAGACUCUCUUACUAUACAAAUUAAUAAUUACCUAAUUCGAAACUAAAUUUAUAUUAUGUAUUUGUGGUUUUUAUAAAAUAUGCUCUUAUUGUUGUUCUUGUGAUUGAUUUUGACUUGUUUCAUUCCUAAUUUUUUUUUAAUACAAAAAUCAAAUCUCUUUUCGACAUUAUAAUUAAAAUGUAGUUACAAAAUUGUUAGCGAAGUGAUAAAAUAAACUUCGAAGCAUUGGAUAUUUAUCUAUUAAUUUUAAUUGCCAAUUUAUUUUCUUGCAACUAAUAUUAAAUUUUUAAAGCAUCAUUUUAUUGCCAAAUAUUUUUCAGUAAAUACAGACUUCAUUCUUACAUGAUCAGUAUUUGUUGUCUAUCAUUACUCAUCAGAUGCCACAUCGACAUCAUUCCCCAUUUCUCUUUCUUUAGAUGUUAAACUAACUCAAAUCAAUUAUAUAUAUCUAGUACAUGAAAUUACACGAAAUUAUGAACUCAAUGUUUCUAAUCUCAUAUCAUGAAAAUUGAUAGAUGAUCAAAUGUUGAUGUAAUGCUGCAUGGUGAUAGUAGGAUUAAUUAAUGUAGUCAUGCAGACAUAUUUUCGCUGUUGCUGUGGCCACUGCACAAAGAAUUGAUCGGUUAUUUCCUCUGUUUAUUUGAUCUGCUUAACUUGGAGUGGCUUUAUUAUUUGUCUGUUUGCCCAAUAUUUCAUAAACCUCAAACUUUUCCAUUGAUCCUUGCUCCAAGCCAUGUCCUGUUAGUCAGACGCAUGCAUGCAUGUGCGAAUCUUGCUCAUUUCUUCCAUCGACUGAAAUUACUUGUUUUUUCUUUUUGAUCUUUGUUCUAUAUCUUCUUUGAAAACGUUAUCAAAAUCACCCUCAGCCAAUUAUCAAAUCAAAUGAAUAGGCUCACUUUACUUGUAUUAAUUUCUUUAUAAUUUCUCCAAAUUGCAACUCAUGUCAUCUACUGAAGUGUGAAUCCUGCUAAUUCAUGAUAUGAAGAUUUGGAAGUCAUUGAAAAUUGCAACGUAUGCAAGUGCUGACAGAAAAUAUAUAAAUUUCCCGCAGGUGUUGACGUUGUAAUUAACUUGCAACAUAUGCAAGUGCUAACAAAAAAUUGAAUUGUUUUAUUCAUGAAAAAACAUAUCGCAUUUCAUUUCUCCCAAAUUUUAAGAUUGGGAUUUCACUCUUAUUCCUGAUUUAUCUCCACCGAAAAUCUUGCACUAUAAAAACGAAAAAAAAAAAAAAACAAGAUAAACUCCAAAAAAUUGAUACAACAAAGCCCAAAUUAAAGACUACAGUAUAUGACAUGAGUUUAACCCCCAAAAAAAAAUUACAUUUAAAAAAUUGAGUUUAUUAAAGAAUUGAGUUCUCAAGGAUAGUAUUUAAUUCAUUCUCCUCUGUUUAUUUGCUCUGCUUAACUUGUGUCUUCAUUAUUUGUCUAUUUUCAUAAUCUUUUUUUCUUUGAAAAAAAAAAUACCUCAAACGUGUCUAUUAUCCUUUAUGCGUGCUUUGUAAAAUCCGGAGUUUGGUGAUGCAGGACAAAUUAUUUAGGGUUAAUUAUUUUAGGAAGUAUUCUGAAUAGAGAGUAUUUCUAUUCCUAUUCAAGAAGGUUUCUAAUUCUGUUUUUCAAAUUUUAGAUAGACGCGCUGCAUGUGCAUGUGGAUAUCUUAUAUCUAUAUGUGCAUGUACUAAAUAGGAAGCAACACAUAACGAAAAGUUGGAUUCUUUUUGCUGGGCACUGAUUUUGUCUUUAUAGAAUCCGGUAACACUUGGUGGUGGUGGCCUCUGUUUCUCGUUUCACUUCUAUUAUUUGAAGAAAGUCAAUAAAAGCAAGUUGAUAAAAGGGAUCACUAAAUAUUUUUCUUUUGGUAAAGAUUGAAAAUCAUAAAAUUGUAAGUAGACCUUAAUCUUGAUUGACAUUUUAUCUGCAAUUAAAUUAAACUUCAGCCAUUGAUCAUUAUCUUCCGUGCAUUAUUUGUUUUGCUACUUGUCGUGCGAUUACUUCAAUUUAUAUAUCUGAUAUCUAUAACCAGAAGAGAGAGCACGUUCAACUGCUUACUUUUGAAUUGAAAAUUAUGGAAACUACGAGUGCAGGUAAAUUAUAGUUUUAGUACAGGAUCAUUGAGUAUCAUUUUUAUAUAUAUUAUGUUAUUUAUUAAUAAGUUUUUAUAUAUGAGAUUUUCAAGUCAAAAAGAAUGAUCAGAUACAUUUUCUCAUAAAGGAGACCUUAUGCAUUUCUUCUUUUAAUAAAUUUGGGUGUUCUCUUAUCGAUGAAAUAGCUAACGACAAUCUUAAUCCUAUAGCCUCUCAGUAUGAGAGAACAAUUGAUUCUCAAUCUAAAAUACUAACCUAAUUAAUAAAAAAACAAGAUAAUCUUUCUCACUUACAAUAUUCUGACGACCAAAUAUAUAAACCGUUAUUUAUUAAUUUUCUUUCUAGACACUCUAAUUCAAUCAUGGGUCAUGGCGAGUUGACGACCCAAAUAAAAAACGAUCAUGAGCGUCUGUAAUAAAAUUGCCUGCCACCUUUUUUUAGCUUCAUCUUGAUGCACCCAUGUCCAGUUCGUCAAGCAGACAACAACAAGCGUGUGAAGCUUGCAAAACUAUUAAUGGCGGUGAGGCCUGGUUUUAUUUACACUUUGGUGGAAUAAAGUGAAGCUUGCUAAAUAACUGGUGAUUGGAUUUUUUUAUUUUUUUAUUUGCACUUUAGAGUGAUUUCAAUUGUGUCUAUUUGUUAGACAACAUAUUACAUGAAUAAAGUAAAAUAUUUCUAAAAAGAAACGUUUUUGGAGUUUAGAAAGAAAGAGUGAGAGAGAAACGUUUUGAUUUAACUUGGUAUUUGAGAUGAAGAUUUGUAAAGUGAAGGUUCUAGGUAAUAGACACUGGAUUAACUGCUUGACAUACGAAUACCUAAUGGAAUUUCGUAACAAGUGGUGGUGAUUGGUGAAUUGCUAAAUUAUUAAUGGGUGGUGGGCUCUGUUUUUCUUUUCUUAGCUGCAAGGAACCACAAGUGGGGAGACUUGCCUCAUUUUACGUCGUUUGCUUACCAAGUGCUGGUGAUGGGUGAAUUGCCAAAUUAUUAGUCAUUGGUCAAUGAAGUAUCAGCGCGUGAUUUCUACUAAGCUUGCUGGACCAGACCCGUCACAGUCGCAAAUUCAUUCUGCUUAAUUAUCCAUUUCUCAUUUGUUCAAUUUUCUCAUUCUGCUUUCCAAAACUCAUAAUUCUGUUCCUUUCUUUCUUUGCCCCCAAAAAAAAAAAAUAAAUAAAUGUCAGGUUAAUUCUUCUUUUCAAAGAUUUCAGGUAAAAAAGAUUCAAUUUUGUGAUGAAUGCGCCUAUAAAGAAGCCAACCGAUAUUGCCAAUUUGUGCAUUUGAUGACAUUCAACAAGUUUUUACUGCCUCUUCAGCAAUGUCAACAACCGAAACAAAGUUAAAUCAAACUAGGAAUUAAAAUCUUAAAUAAAUAUAUAUAUAUAUAUAUAUAAAAUCUUUAAUAUAUAUAUAUAUAUAUAUUUAUAUAUCUUUUUUUUGUACAUUGAUUGAACUUCAUUCUUCAUUGAAAAUUAUGACAUGUUAAUUUAAUGAAUUAAUCACCACAAUUAGUAAAUAUUAAUACUUCAAGUUAACUUAAUGAAUUAAUAACUUAAUAAAUGUUUAAUAGAAAUUAAUAAGUCUUACAAAUUCAUCUUACAUAAAUUAUAAAUACUAAGCGUAACUUCUUCUUAAUACCACCCAAUAAUCUGAUGCUAGUGAUCUUUUUAUAAAUCAUUACUGAUAUAUUUAAUUAUUUACAAUUCAACUAUUAUUGGGACCAAUUUACCAAAAAAAAAAAACAAUCAAAGAAUUACACUCAAUUUUCAACAGAAACGACUGCUGUACGGCCAAGGCGGAUGUACGGUACAGCAGAGCUUCAGAGCUGAUUCGGUGGUUUGCACGCCAAGAGAAGAUCGAAGACGAUCUGAUGAAGUGGAAGAGCACGCUGUUGAUGAUUCAGGCGGUGCUCGAUGACGCUGAGGAGAAGCAGAGGACUAAUCGAUCUUUAACAUGGAAAAACAAAACCAUACAAUAAUUUUAUUACUGUUAAUAUAAAGCAGCUAACUCUUAAAAAAUCUUUGCAAGAGAAAACCAAUAGACAAAUAAAACAUAAUCGAUACUAACUCAAGGUAAAUCAAUACUAAAAACGCGAUCAUGUUUUUCUAAAAUAAUGAAUAUUUUCAUAAAUUAAUAAUUUAUUAAUUUGCCAAUUAAUUGAUGUUUGUUAAAUUUUAAUACAUUUUUUUAUGAUCCCCAAAACUAUUAAUUUAUUGAGAUUUUAUUAUAUUUGUUAUGUGGGAAACAAUGCAAUUUAUAACAAUAUAUUGUUGCAAUGGGACUAACAAAAUUUCUAGCAAUUCUCUUUUCGUAGAUAACAACCAUUUGAUUUGGAUGACAUUAACCAUGUAAAUGUUAAUAACACAUGAUUUUUUUUUUUAAAAAGGAGUUUUUCUAAUGAUUAAUAAAAGGAGAAUUCAAAGAAGAAAAUUAAAAGGAAAACAGCCAUAGGGGUUUGUGUUGGGAAUGACCAUUCGCAGUUUUUGCUAUCCUGCCACAGUUUGCUCUCUUCUCUGUACGUUUAAUAUUUGAAUGAAUGUAUUCGUUAAUUGUAACAACUCAAUGUAAUGACAUCGUGUCGUUAAUGUUCAUAUUGAGAGUUUGUUAAUUGAGUUAUUUAUUACGUAAAUUGAAAUUAAUUACACUUGUCGUCCAUUAUAUUACGUCUCUUUUAUUUAUUAGUAGUGGGCAAAUACAUGGUCCAGAUUUGCCAUCGAUGACGGUCGAUAUUUCCAGAACUAGUCAAGCGUUACAGAGAAGAAAGCAAAAAAUCACAAAACCAAUCAGAUGCAAUGGCUUCAGAUCAACCUCUUCCCACGAUGUUCGGGACUCAACACGAGAGAAUGAGAAGAGCUCUCAAGAAUCACCAGGAUGAUAUUAGAUCAAGGAUGCUAUGAGGACAAACAAAGUUGGCCGCUGUAGCUUUUGACAAUAUACAUGCUAUAGCUGUUAGAUUAAACAAACACAAACCACCAGAUAUAAGUUUUGUAUAUAUAGAUUCAAAAUGAAUGAAACAUUGCUAUGAUGUGCGUGCAUUAGUCUCUUAUUUUGUUUUCAUUGAAUCUUGUUGAUUCUUGAUCGAUUAAACUCAUUCUAAAACCACCAAGAUCUCACUAAACUCUCUAAUUGAUGAUUUAGAAAUGACAAGCAAAUCACACACCUCGAAACAAGCAAAACAGAGGCACAAUUUAAGUGGUUCCGCUUGGAGAUAGCCUAUAUCAAGUGAAGAACAGGGCAGCAAUCUUAUCUCCAUCACCGACAUCAAACUACAAGCAUUAAGAAGAAGUUACAAGCUUUUCAUGUCUCAACUGUAGCCUCUAAGACUAUAUAUACAGAUCAUGAAGAAUCUAGAUAUUUCCCCCCACUCACAAGCUGCAUUCUGGGUUUGUUAAAACAAACCCAGAAUUUUCCCGCCUUGUAAAGGUCAAUUAACAACCUUGAAUGACGUUCUUAAUUCGUGCUUCAAUGAGUGACCAAAACGACUGCCAAAUGUGCGGUAUAGGGUAAAUGAAAUCACGUGAAGAACAUGUGAUCCAGACGACAACACACAGCUGUCAUAUUCUUGUGUUCCGUCCAACAACCGACAGCGCAUGCACAAUCAGGGCUAUCAACCGACACGUCAGCAAUGUCUAAAACUCAGUUUAAGCUCGCGAUUCAACACCUCUUUUCAGAUUUUUUUUCAAUAAUUUUCAGUUUUCUGACAAAUGCAACGUAAUAUGUGUUGAAAAUUGAUUAAAAAAAAAAGUAUCAAAAUGGUGGGUGGUUGAGCAACCAUCUUUGAAUUCAAAGAUGGUGGGUGGUUGAGCAACCAUCUUUGAAUUCAAAGAUGGUGGGUGGCUAGCCAUUGAACAAGGAAAAUGGGUAGGUGCCGCCCAUGGAAAGAAGAAAAAAAAGGAAGAAAAGGAAGCCAUAAUUUGACUAUAAAUAGAGGAGUGCUCCUCCUUAUUUUUGCAUCCUAAAUCCCAGAGAAGGAAUCCAAGUUUUAGUGAGAAAUUGAGAGAGAGAAAUGUUCUUAAGCAUGUAAUUAUAUUGAAGGAGCAUUUGGCUCCUCAAUAUGGGUAUUACGGAUUUGCCAAUGACUAUUAGGUUUAUCAUAAACUUGAAUGCUUAUGUUUAAAUAUCUUUAUUCUAUACGUACCUGUAUAUGAAUCAUCUCUUAGUUUAGAUUGGAAUUAGAUUUAUCACAUCACAAUGUACCACAUCUAUGAUUUUAUUUGCAGGUUCUUUGUGACUUCAUGACGAGAAUUACAAAAAUGUAUUAAGCAAUUAGCAAGUUGUUACAAAUGAAACCAAUAUCUCGAUGGGUUCAUUAAUUAAUAAUGAUUUUUGCUAAUAAAAAUGCCAAAAAAACAAAAAUAGUUUUAUUCGAGGUGUAUCGCUACCAGGAAUCUUGCAUCAUAAGGUAAUAAAACAAGAUAAACACCAAAGAACUGAUGCAACAAAACCCAAAAUACUCUAUCUGGUAUAUGACAUGAAUUUACGAAAAUGUACAUAGAAAUUUGAGAAUGUUGGAGAAUUGAGAGCUCGAGGACAGUACGCAAUUCACUUUCCCCUGUUUAUUGGCUCUCCUUAAGUUGUGUCUUCAUUAUUUGUCUAUUUUUCCAAAAAAAAAAAUUUUAAAUCAAACCAAUUGAAUCGUGACUAUUAUUGUGAUAUUAAAAUUUUUAAAAAAGUUAUUUCAAAUUCAAAUAUUAUACUUUGAAGGAAACAUAUUAUUAUAUAAAUUAAUAAUUAAUAUGUUCUCAAUAUUGUUUGCUUCUUUUAAUAAUUAAUUCGGAAAUCCAUAUACUGUUAUGGUGGUGGAAACUUAUUUUAAUGAAAAAUAAUACAUGCUCCAGAUUUGCUGUCAAUGGUCGAUAUUUCCAGAACUAGUCAAGCGUUACAGAGAAGAAAGCAAUAUUUCCAGAACUAGUUCCUUCAGUUGCCAAUGGAAUUUUAAUUUUAUGCAAUUUUUUUUUAACGAGAACUGCUGUACGGCCAAGGCGGAUGUACGGUACUACAAAUCCCAACCGUUAGAUCAACGUAAUUAAAAUCUAACAGCUGAGCAGAAUAACGAUAAAAAAGAGGGGUAUGGAGCUGGAUCCUGGAGUAAAGAAGAAGAAAAAUUAACUACUGUAUAUGAUUUUCUUUUAAAGAAUAAUACAUUUUGUGACAAUUUAAAUAUUAUUUUGUUAAAAAGUUAGAUUGUGCAUCAACAUAAAAUAAGGUUGAAAUUUAUGAGUAUUAAUAUGAAAGAAGUGAUAAAGUUAGUUUGUACAUACACAAUUAAAAUUUCGUAUGCGUUAUUUCGAGAGCGUCAGUGUAAUUCUUGACGUUAUUAUUAUCGAUCUUGUAUCUUGGUAGUAUUGUGUUGAUGGCCUGGCAGUAUUUGGAUGCUGAGUUGCUUACUUCGAAUGCCAGAGCUAAGUUAUAGUUCACGAAUUGCCAUCGAAUGGUUCAAUAGUCAAGCAAGUCUUCAAUUAUUAGUUGAUUUGGAGCGCUACUUAUAUACAACUAAAGGUCAAUUUGAUUCUUUGACUAAUAGGAACUGCCAUUGCGAACUAAGGGCCGGUGAGCUGAGGAUUAUUGCUAAAAUAUGAGUUCUGUGUUCUAUCAUGCAUUUUCUAUACUAUGAAUUGUUUGAGCUUAUAAACAAAGACAUCAAAACAUAGAUUCUUUUUUUCACUUUAGAUUUGGAAUUGAUGUUCAGCUUUAUCUUUUAGGGCCUGUGCCAUCCCAAUACCCAAACACAAUAUAUAUAUGUAUGUAUGUGCAUGUUGUUGAAGAAACGUGUUUUCAUUUCUUAAAUAAAGCAUUAUACAUUGAGAGUUAUUUAUAGAUGCAGAGGCUACAUUUUUUCAAAGAUUACAUAUGUGAAUACGGAAGGAAAUGUGUCAAUCCGUUCGGCGCGGAUCUUGUCUUUGACAAGUGCAGAUUACCCCUUUGACAAGUGCAGAUUCUGUCUUUGAAAGCUUCAUUCAAUGCCGUUUUAUUUGAUUCUCAACAGUUGUGUGUGACCGAGCUACUUAGUGGGGAUGGCCAUAAAAUAGACGUAAAAGUGGAAGGCCAUGAUUCCCCAUGAGUACAGCAAAAUUAAAUAAGGAACUCCAUUGCCAUCAAUUCUACGUUUUAAUUUCAAGUUGGAAACUAGAGAAACUGGAGGCUCAGGUGAUUUAAUGCUGUAUAUAUUUAAUAAAGUAAAAAUGGAAUUAGCAUGGUAGCUAGACACAGUUUAACUGGUGCUAUGAAGGCACUUUGUUUCUGCAGUCUUCUAAGUUUGAAUAAUUUUGUUUUUCAUCGCUGAAAUUUUGUUUAAAGAAAAAACCAAUCCCACAGAAAGGAAUACAAAUUGCAGGACCAUUCAAAAUAUCCUAGAGCAAGAGGAAAUUUUGUAAUCGGCUUGGAACAGUUUGCAAGGCAACUUCAAUAACAAAAAGAAAAUAAAAUAAAAGAAAGCACAACAGGCAGUAACAAUGAAAUUAGCUUUUGUUCUUUGUUAAAGUGGAAUUUAUUUGAUAAUUAGACUCGAGCUUAUAUAAUAGCUAACAUGCUAUAGUAGUAAUAGGAGACUGUGCUUCAUUUUUGUCUUAAAAAAAUCGCAACAUUCGUUUUUGAAAUUAAAAAAUAUAUAUAUGUAUAAUGGUAAAUAUUUGCUCUAUUUUACUCUAUUUAUUGCUCCACAAACCUGUAGGGUCUCCAUUAUUUGUCUAUUGUCCCAACAUUUUUAGCAUUUUUGCGAUUACUUUGUCAAAAGCGGAAGUUUGUAUUUCCUUCAAUUGCGUUGCUUUCAAUUACUUGAGCCUUCACAAACCUGAAACUUGUCGAAUAUUUUGAUGCUUAUUUUAUAAAAUUAUAAGCAGAUAUUUCCUCCAUUGAUAUUUGCUCCAAGCCAUGUCCUGUUAGUCAGACACAUGCCCCUUUUUUGCAUCGACUGAAAUUACUUAUUUAUUUAUUUUAUCUUCUUUCUAUAUCUUCUCUGAAAACCUUAUCGAAAUCACUCUUAGCUUAUUUCACUUAUAUUAAUUUCUUGAUAAUAUCUGAAAAAUUAAUAUUUUGCUUUAGCCGUGCAUGUGGAGUUGGUCGGACUUGAAUCCUGCUAAUUCAUGAUAUGAAGAUUUGGAAGUUACUUGAUAUUCAUGGUAUGAAGAUUUGGCAGUCAUUGAGAAAUUGUAACAUGCAGGUGUUGAUAGAAUGUAUAUAAUUUUCCUGCUGCUGUUGACGGUAUAAUUAAAAUUUUCAGUGAUACUUGAAUGCAACAUACGCAAGAAAACAGAGGAAAGAAGCUGGCUCUUACUAAUUGGCAUAUUUUACUUAAUGAUCUGUGAUAAAUUUGGGACUCUAAUAAAUGUUUUGGACAUAAAAAAAAAUGAAGUGAUAAAAUACACUUAAAGCAUUGCAGUAUAUUUUAAAAGAUAACAAUAGAACGUAGGAAUUAACUGACUGACCGGCACUUACAAAUCUACAUCCGCCUUGGCCGUACAGCAGCAUUUUAUUCAUGAAAAAUCAUAUUGCAUUUCAUUUCCUUAUAUUUUAAGAUUGGGAUUUCACUCCGUUUCCAAACAUAUACAAGGAAUCUUAGAUCAUAAAAGAACAAAAGCAAGAUAAACACGUACCAAAAAAUUGAUACAACAAAACCCAAAAGACUAGUAAACGACAUGAAUUUACAAAAAAAAAACACAAAAAUCCUUUUUUUUUAAGGAAAAUUCUGCGAUCAUCAAAGACAGUAUGCAAGUCAUUUUCCUAACUUCAUUUUUUUUUUAACUCAAAUUUGCCUUUUAUAUUUUAUGCUUUACAAAGUUUUGUGAUGCCUUAAUUAAAAAAAAAAAAGAGUUUGGUGAUGUAAGACAAUUAUUUAAUUAGGGUUAAUUAUUCCAUUUUAAAAAUUUUUGUCUACUAAAUUUUGAUUAAGGUAGUAUUUGGUAUGUUAUAGAGCAUUUCUAUUCCUUUUAGGAAGGUUUCUACUUAAAGAUAAUUAACAUACCUUCAUUCAUUAUCACUCAAGUACAAAAAACACUCCAAUAUACUAUGAAUCUUCUGACAUAUGUAUUUCUUUUUGAUAACAUUAUUCAAUGAGCAAACACAAGUAAAGUUGUUCAAGUUAUGCUGGGGACCCUUUUCGGUAUUUAUGAUAGACUAUUAGUUAUUUAUCCUUAUAAAUUUUUAAAUAACAAUAAUAUUAUUAUUCAGUCAUUUAGAAGCACCUGAGUAUUUAUGAUUAGUUUAUCUCUCAGUAAAAACUGGACGCAUGUGCAUAUGUGAACUCUAAUUAAAUCUUGAUACUUGCAUUUUAUAAGAGCCAUAUCUGAAAAACUGAGUUUUAAUUUCUACUUCCGUCUUUUAAAUGUUAGAUAAAUGUAAUUAAAUAGGAAGCGGCACAUAACGAUGGAUUCUUUUUGCUGGACACUAUUUUUCCCCCAAGUUAUCCAAUGAUGCUUAGUCCAUCUCUGUCCUGUUUGUCAAGCAGACAAGCACAAGCAUAAACUCAAAACGGGGGACUUCCUUGCGUCUGUAUCAGUACUAUUAAUAUUUCUAUUUCUUAACACAAUUAAUCAGUUAUUGGAUAUUUGGGCUCAUCAACCUUUAGAAACAGUUACAAUGAGGUAUGAAGCUCUUUAGGCACAAUAUCACGAAAUUUUGAUAUUGGCCCUUAAAAGAGUUCGGGCACAGUCAAAGAAGUAACUGAAGGGCUUCCUACUUGAUAUAAAUUACACCAGUUCUUCAUAAUUAUUAACGCCUGUCUUCUUCAAUUGCUGAUCAUCAAAACCUCAGCAAAUUGAAACUCUGUAAUUGUCUGAAGCUCAAGUACUUUCCAGAAAAGGCCCUGCCUCCUUCUCUUUUGCGAUUAGAGAUCUCGGGUUGUCCCUUACUAGAAGAAAGGUACACAAAAGGAUGGAGGACAAUAUCGGCACUUGCUAAUUAAUCCAUAUACCUUAAGUCAUACUAAAUGGUCGAGCAGUGGAUUUCGAUUUGAAACAGAGGACGAAUGAGUACUGAACUGUAUAAAUAAAUUAAUUAUUCCUACUGCAUGGGUGUGUAAAUUUCUUUUAAAACAGAGGAGCCAGGACUGUAUUAAUUAGUUUCUUACUGGGGUGGGUGUAAUGCGUGACGGCCUCUAUGUAAUCCUUGAUGUUAUUAUUAUUGAUGUUGUAUCUUGGUAUUGUCUUGAUGGCAUGGCGGUCUUUGGGCAGCUGAGUUGCGUACUUCCAAUGGCAGAGCUAAGAUGUAAUCUUCAAAUUGCCAAGCAAGUCUUCAAUUAUCUUCCGAAAGAUGUGCUCCUUUGUUGACACAGUGCUCUAAUUGUAUGCAAGUAUGUGGGCAGAGUUUAGUUGAUAAUCUACUUUAACCUGUUGAACAGAACAGAUUUUCUGAAAUGAAUUUCUAAACUAAAAAUCUAUAUGAGUUUUGUGUUCUAUCAUGCGUUGUAUAUAUACUAUUCCUUGUUUGAGCUUAUAAUCUAAGACAUCAAAACAUAGAUUUUUUUCUAGCUAGUGUUGUUUUCUUUAGAUUUGGGAAUUGGGAUUGAUUUUUUGUUUGAUCUUUUAAGGCCUACGUCAUCCCAAUACGUCUGUAUAUGACCAAGCUACUAAUUGGAUGGCCAUUAAAAAGACAUAAAAUUGGAUGGCCAUCUAAUUAAUUUCCCAUGACCUAGAGCAAAAAAUUAAAUAAGGAACUCCGAUACCAUCAAUUCUGCAUUUUAAUUUCAAGUUGGAAAAUAGUGAAAACAGAAGGUUCGGGUGAUUUAAUUUUGUAUAUAUUUAAUCAAGUACAAAUGGCACCUGCGUUGUAGCUAGACACAGUUUCACUGAUAUGAAUACAUUUUGUUUGCACAGUUAUCUUACUUUGAAUAAUAACAAAGUUCAAAAUUUGUAUUCAGUGGAUGAGUUUUCCCAUCUCCCAAAUUUUUGUCUAAAGAAAAAAACCAAUCUCACAUAAAAGAAUAGAAUCGCAUAUUACAAUGACUCUAUGACAUGUUUACUAAUCAAUAAUCGGAAUAUACUGGAAUUGAAAUGUGGAAUGAGAAUUAAAAUAAAUUAUUUACUUCAACUAUAACAAUUCGGAAUAAACUAUAUUACUAUUAAUAUAUUUACUUUAUCUUAAAAUCACAAUGAAUGAUUUAAAUUAUUAAAAUACCCAUAAUUCAUUAUUACCAUUAUUUUUAUUAUCUAUUAUAUGAUUAUUGUUAUUAAGAAAAUUAUUGUUAAUAAUAAUAAUAAUAAUAAUAUUUAACUUAUUUUAUAAUAAUAAUAACAAUAAUUAUUAUUUUCCUCUUUUGUUUUUAUUAUUAUUUUCUCUCCUGUUUUUUCCUUUUUUCCUUUUUUAUUUUUUAUUUGUUCUUUUUAUCCUCUUCUUCUCUUUUUUUUCUUUUCUCUCUCUGUUUUAUAAACUCCUCGUUACUUCUUCGUCAUCAAUCAUGUCAAUUUCAUCUUCUCCAUCAACAUCAUCACCAUCACCACAAUUAUCUUCUUCCUAUAGCCGAUUUCAUUAUCAACAUCACAAUUGAGUUUCAUCUUCAUUAUCUCAUCGCAAUUACAUCAUCUUCAUCAUCAUCAUCAAAAUUAUUGUCAUAAAAAAUCAUCAUCAAUAAUAUUAAUCAUCAACAAUGGCAAUCCUUCUUAAAAAAAAAACAAUGGUAAUCAUCAUCAUCAAUCAUCCUAAUUAUUGUCAUAAAAAAUUAUCAUCAUAUUUAUCGAUCGGUUCUUCAACGACAACAAAGAGGCCGACCAUGACAGCAGCGAUGAGCUACUGAACCAACAUGAUAGAACCAACGAAUCCGAACAGUGAUGAGCAAUGGAUACGGGCUGCAAUCGGCAAUGAAUUCGGCUAGUGACGAGCUGCUCAACUGGCUAGUGAGUGAGAUGUAUCUUUAUUUUGAUAACAGUAAUUCCUUCCUCAACUGCUCCAGCAAUUAGACCUGAGCCAAACUGAUCCUCCAUGAAACCCUCCAUACAGGGAAAUGUGGAGGGCAAAAAAAAAAAAGUUACAAGAAGUAUGCUUCAUAUGACCUUAACAUGUUCAAAUGUAACAACUUGAUACAGUAUGUUCAUUAUUAGUCAAUCUACUUGCACUCUAUUUCAAAAAGCAAUCUGUCAAAAUCAAUAAACUUUCUCAGUUAUCCACAAGGCAUAACAGAUAGUUGUUGUUAAGUUCACCUAGCAACAUGAACUAUGGGAAUCAAUGGCAUUGUGAAGAGGUUACACGUUAAGAAAAAAAAAAUCUAAUGCAUUUAAGUACAAUUGUAUCCAAGAGAUCUUUAUUGCUCUGGGAUUAAUAUCAAGGCCAUAGACUGCAAAACGAUAUUCAGACAGCAUAAAAGAACUGCUACAAGGUUAUAUUUUCAACAUACUCCAACAAAGACUUUUGGACAAGGACAGAGUUGAUAAUUAUGUAAUUUUUCCUAAUAGGAGUGCAUUAAAUCACCAUAACCUGGUGCCAAUGCUGUUAUAAAUAUCAAAUGGCCUUGCAAAACACAGAGAUAGAAAAUGAUGAGAGAAAUCAUGAUGGAGCCCCUGAAGGCACUGGUAAGGAAGGAAACAAAAGCUCUCACAUGGCAUAAGGACGACAAACCAACAAAACUUCAAAGGCAACACUUCUCGGCUACGGCAAUGGUUAUCCAUCCAUUUCCACAACCAAGCUCAGCCACAGCUUUGUCCUUCAAAAUAGAGUCUGGAAUUCUAUUUAGUCCUUCAUAGAAAGUGAAUUGACCAGUCUCCUGGGAUAAAAAUGCUGGGGAUGACCAUCAAUGUCAAUUUUUUUCCUCCCUUGGUAGCCUAUACUUAGAAACAAUAAAGUGUCAAAGCAGAAAAUCCAGCAACCAUAAUCUGGCAUGAAUCUAAAGGAAAAAAAAAAAAGUCAACAAUAACCUAUCGAUGUUUUUGUUGGGAAGAUGAUAAAUGAAACUUUCGUAUGACAGGAAAGAUAAUAAUGCAGAUGCGGACGGGUUAAUAAGCUAGAAAGGAUAAAACUAAAAUUUGGUGCUUUUAAAGCCCCAGAAACAGCUUCAUCAGUGGUAUAUGAGGGAUCAUGAAUUUCAGUAGGGAAAAUUUACAUAGUGAAACCAUGGCGACCAUGUUAGCAUGAGACAUACAAAAACCUCCUAGUGGCCUUGCAAAAUUUUCACUAAAUAAAGAUGAAAGUUGAGUUGGCUUAUUGAUUGCAUAAUUUAUGCACAAGAUGAAUAAAAUGGCUAAGGAAUUAGCAUCAAUGAUUAAAAUGCUCCAAAGUAAAGAACAAGAUUAGUGUUUUAUAUAGUUAAUAUGAGGAACUGCAACAUUGAACUCAAAUUAACUAAGAGAAGUUCAUCCAUAGAACUUUGUUCAUGCACUCGUGACAAAUUUUCAGGAAACAAAACCAUUAAAAUCUUGGACUUAUUAUUGAAUGAUGUAUGAACUUAUUGAAAUAAAUUAACAGCUGUAAUUAUUUUAGUCUUACCUAAAACGCAAAUUCUAUCUACCAUUUAGUAUAUUUUUGGUAACAUUCAUUCCACUCCUAAGUCAGCUUCAGAUAUUAAUUCACUUCCUAUUUUGUUAGCACAAUAGCACUAAACCUAAGUAUUAUUCGAGUUAGAGUGAAUAAUUACACCAAAAGUAAACACUUAAUCCUGAUCUGUUUGAUUGUCAAGAAACAGUAGGAAAAGAAGGGAAAGAAACAAAAGCGAACAAAGUAAAAAUAAAAGCUCACUGGGCUCAAUGAAAAAGAUAAAAACAUAAAUUAAUUUAAACUACAACUAUUGACUUCGUUUUUGUUUUCUUGGAAACUGAAUCCUAAAAAUGACCAGCACUCCGCCCAAGUUUUCUCAAGACACUCAUUGAUUCCUCAGAACACCCAACUACGGUGGACCCAACCAAAGUCUAUUGCAUUGUUGAAUGAAAGUAUGAAAUCUUAACAACUAGCUCAGGCCAACAGAAACAACAUCAGACAUUGUGAUUAAACAUCUUCCUCAACUAACUCAGCGAUCAAAUGUCUAAUUCUGUAAACAUAUAAGCUAUUUCUUCUUUCCAUCAAUUAAACCCCAAAGUAGAACUCCCACUAUAAGUAUCCCCUUCAAAUUGGUUCCUUUUUUCUUUCUUUAAUACCUUUUAAGCAGGUUUUGUUCCUUCUUACAUUAGCAAAUAACUAACAUAAACAUCUACAUCUCUAAGCGAAAAAAACAUUUGCUCACAAAAUCAAAAACCAUUGCAAUAGGAAAUGACAGAUACCCAGUUGAAAUAGAGGCUUCAUCUCUCGCUCAUUCUUGUCACAUAGCAGGAGUCAAUGGAAAAAUCUCAUUCAUGGCUUCCCUAGCUUGUCUCAAUUUCUCUAUCUCACCCAUUUUUCUCAAAACCUUUAUUUACUGAAAAAUAAAAAUAAGAUAAAAACCAUUUUUAUCGCAACCCAAAGAACAAGCAAACGGUUAUCCACAAAAUCACUCAAUAAAUAUGUGUAUUGAAGUUACUUGAACAUUGGUGUCGUAAUUGGAGGGUUCAUUGGAUAGCUGAUACUCUAGAAACUCCUCUUUCGUAAAUCUUCUCAACUCCCAAAAGAGCCUCAGGUCUACAAAUUAAAGCCAAGUAUCAGCAAGAAACAGAUUGUGUAAUUAUCAAUAUAUACAUUAAGCUUUAGGUCACAGCUAUGUAAAACCAGAAAAAAGUAUGAAAUCUUAACAAUUAGCUGAGGCCAGCAGAAACAACAUCAGACAUUGUGAUUAAUUAUCUUCCUCGACUAACUCCGCGAUCAAAUGUCUAAUUCUGUAAACAUAUAAGCUAUUUCUUCUUCCCAUCAAUUAAACCCCAAAGAAUAGAACUCCCACCAUAAGUAUCCCCUUCUUCAAAUUGGUUCUUUUUUUUUUCUUUCUUUAAUACCUUUUAAGCAGGUUUUGUUCCUUUUUACAUUAGCAAAUAACUAACAUAAACAUCCAUAUCUCUACGCGAAAAAACAUUUGUUCACGAAAUCAAAAACCACUGCAAAAAGGAAAUGACAGAUACCCAGCUGAAAUAGAGGCUUCAUCUCUCGCCCAUUCUUGCCACAUAGCAGGAGUCAAUGGAAAAAUCUCAUUCAUGGCUUCCCUAGCUUGUCUCAACUUCUCUAUCUCACCCAUUUUUCUCAAAACCUUUAUAUACUUAAAAAAUAAAAAUAAAAACCAUUUUUAUCGCAACCCAAGAAGAACAAGCAAACGGGUAUCCGCAAAAUCACUCAAUAAAUAUGUGUAUUGAAGUUACUUGAACAUGGGUGUCGUAAUUGGAGGGUUCAUUGGAUAGUUGAUACUGUAGGGUUUGAAGCUCCAUGCUCUGUUUUGCUGCGUCUUCUGAGUCAGAGUCAGAGUCCGAGUCCGAGUCCGAGUCCGAGUCUGAGCCAUCGCUCGAGUCCGAAGAGUUGUCUUUUGUUGUUGGUUUAGGGUUGUUCUCAACGCCGAGAAUGACCGUGUCUCCAUCUUCUUCUUCUUCUGGGAUUGUUGCUAGGGUUUCUUCUUUAGGUUCCAUCUUCUUUGUUUCUCUCUUUCAGUGCCUGAUGGUUUUUUUAAUUUUAUGCAAUUUUUUUUUAACGAGAAAAUAAUAAAUGUCUAGACUCUGGAGUGGAAAAUUUUUGUUUGGACACUUGAAUUUGAUUAAAAAUACAAAUAAAUUCAUUUAUUUUUUGUCAAAUUAAAGAACGGCACACACGCGCGUACACAAGCAUUUGUAUCGGUGCAUCUAGGGGUAGGCACGGUUCAGUCCGAUUCGGUUCAAAUUGAAAUUAAGCAGAAUCGAUUUAAAUCGGUUAUUUUAUAAAAAGAAUUAAAUAAGAACCAAACUCAAUAAAAACCGAAUAUAAAUGGAUCUUUUCAAAUCGAUUCGGUUCGGUUUUUUCAGUUUCGGGCCUAUUGGACCUAUUUUGAAUUUCUAAAUUUUUAUCCCAUUAGACCUUACGAAUGUAAUAAUUUUUUUCAACAAUUAAUUUAUCCUAAUUUCAUUACAAAUAUUAACAAUAAAUACAAAGUAUUCAAAACACAUUUUAUCACUAAUAUCUUAUUAACUACUAAUAAGGUACUUACAAAAUAUGAAAUAUUAAGAUUUCAAAAUACAUAAUCAAAUUUCAAUACUCCAUCUACAUAAACAUAAUGUUGUAAAGAUAAAUAAAAAUAACAACAAUUAAAACUUACAACGCAAAAUAAAAAGAAAAUUUGGAAACAAACACCAACAAUAAUUUUUUUUUUUUUUAAAUAUAUAUAUAUACCCAUAAUCGUGUGUGUGUAUGCAUAUUUUAGUUAUCUUAAGCAACUAAUUAAAAUUUAACGCAUGUCUAUUUAAAUAAAAUUCCAAGAAUAACUCGGUUUUUCGGUUCAGCUAAGUGAACCAAAUACCGAACCUGCAUUUCGGUUUUUUUUACAAACCAUAUAUUUUGAUUUUUUUAAAUAUUAAAACCGAUCCAAACAGAAUGGUAAGAUCGGUUCGGUACGAUUUUCUCUAGUGCACGGUUUUUUUGCCCACCCCUAAGUACAUUACAGCGACAAUCACUUUAAUUUUCCCCUUAAUUCUCUCCCCUCCUAAUUUAUUAUAUUCCCAUUGAAUAAUGGAGUGAAGUAGAAGAAAAAUUAGCUAAAUGAUUUUUUUUUAAUUUUGUGACAAUUUGAACAUUAUUUUUGUUAAGUUAGAUUGUGCAUCAACAUAAAAAAAGGGUUCAAUUUAUGAAUAAUUAUUUAUGAGUGAGUCUAUAUGAACCCAUAAUUUUACUCACCAAAAAUAUCAAAUUCAUCAAAAAUUUUAUUGCAAAAUUCUCCCAAACCAAAAUUACACCUAAGGACAAUAGCUAACUUUUUUUUAACAGCAAAACAACUUCAAGAACAAAUGUCAAGAACAUCGAAUUCUCUGCAUACUGGUCUAUAGUCUAAAUCCAUUAUCAUGAAAUUCAUUAUUUGAUUUAGGUGAAAUUGCAAUUAUGUAUUCUUUAUGAUCUAAAACUCACCAUGUCAAACCUAGUUUGGUUUCUAGUUGUCUUAGAAGUUUUUUCUUUUAAAACACAAGAAUUUCUUUUGUUUUAUUUUGGGAAAUUAUCAAUCAUAUACCCUUAUUUUACUCCGUUAUCAAAUUUACUACAACACUUUCAGGGUCUAUCAAUCGUCCACUCUAAGUUGACAAAAUGUAUCUGUUGUUGUUUAAAAAUGAUAACGUCAGAGGGGUAAUCUGGUCUGUCAUAUGAUACAUAUGAUAAUUUAUGGGCAUAUAAAUGAUAAUAAGAGAUUUUAAGGAUAUACAAGUGAUGAUUUUUAAAGGUAAAAUCGUCAAUUCGCUAUAGUUCCGAUAAUUUUCAAACGGUAGUUAACGGUUUAGUGGUUGAUAGAUAAUUUUUGUCAAUUUAGGGUGGACGAUUGAUAUACGCUUAAAGUGUUAUAGUAUUUUUUAUAAAAGUGAAAAUUUAGGACAUACGAAUAAUAAUUUUCCUUUUUUUUUUUUAAAUGAAAACAAGUAUAACAAGUUUCCAUCAAAUCUGAAUUAUUGGAAGUUCUUAGUCUUUUAUUUUCAUACAUUGCCAAUGAAGCUUUUUCCAAACCAAGAAUAUCAUAUAGAAAACAAACAAAUAAUUCAUUAAUGAUAUUUCUAAUCUCUGUGUUAUGAUAUUGAAACUCUAAUGAAUGAAUGAACAGUGGCAAAAAUAUUACAGAUUCAAAUAAAAUUUGUGAAUGUUGAAGACAAACAGAAGUGAAGACAAAUGUGUCAUAUUUGUGAUAUUAAGAGGUGCUUAUAACAAGGAUUUUUGAAUUUUCAUGAUGGGUUUAAUGAGUAAAGGAAUUUAAAGAGUAGUUUAAUGAAUUCAAAUAGUUCUACCCUCUAUUUAUAUGAAAGAAGUGAAAAAGUCAGGUUUGUGCAUCCACAAUUAAAUUUGAAUGAAAUUUAGAAAUAUUUAUAAUAAUCUACUUACAGCCUACUGAUUUUGAGUUGGAACUAUUUUAAAUUUUUUUUAACUUCAAUAAUUAACAAAGGUUAGUACAAGAGAAAGUAGUUCAUUUUGGUUGACUCCUUGUUCUACAUUUGCUAAGCCAUUAACCAUAAUGAUGAAGAAUAUUAAUAAAGUAAGUUAGAUUGAUAGAAAAGCGUACUAUUUCUUUGAGUUAACAAAUAUGCAACAUAAUUCAGAAGUGGCCAAUGUGUUACACACCAUAUAAUUAGAAAAAAGAUUAGUGGACUUAAUUUAUUAUUUGAACAACAAAAAAUUAGAUUAACAUAUGAUAUGCCUGCAUGCAAAUUUGUAUAAUCUUUUAUUUUCAAUCUCUUGGGACAUGAUCAAUUCUCGUUCUCUCUUAUUAAAUCAUACUCAUAGUUUAAAAUCGUAACUGUUUGGUGAGAAAAAAAAAUGGAGAGCGAAGGGAUUACUUUUAUCUUAUCCUUAACUUUCGAGAGUGGAGGAGAACAAAUAGAAAAAUAGGGCAACAAACCAGGGAGGACUCCUCCAUGAUUGAGAUCAUUUUGGGGGCGGGGGGGGGGGGGAACUUAAACCUUUAUAAAAAAUUCCUAGGGGAAUGAAUAAAGAGGGAGGUUCAACUUUCUUUCUCAAUUUUAAUUUUUCUAUUACAUUUACUUAAGAUUAUUUAUUCAAAAAAACUAGAAAUUGCAUAUUUUGUUUUUCUUGUAAACCCGAUAACUGACUUGAGCGUUGGAGGGUUCACGCCGGAAAAACUUAUGGCGCCUCUUACCAUUCUUUAUGAUUUCAGGUGUUUGCGAGUUAUCUGCUAGUGAUCGUAGGACAUCCUUAGUGAUUGGUAAGCCGCUUCCCCAACAAAUAAAUUUAAUAGUGACGCAAAAUUUGGUAUCCAGUCUGUAACUAACUAGUCCAAAUUUUGGCGUCGUCAGUGGGGAACCAUACAAAAAGCCAACUUUGGUCUCUAUCAUAGCGAACGCAAAAUAUUAUCAUGAAUGAAUCAGCCCAAGCUCUCUUUUAGUUCCAAAUCCAUCUUUUGAUCUCUUCUCAAUCUGUUUCUCUCUUUCAGUGCCUACUGGUUUCUUAAUUUUAUGCAAUUUUUUUUCUAACGAGUAAAUGAUAAAUAUUUGGAAUGGGAAAUUUUGUUUAUAUCCCUCGAUUUUGAUUAAAACACAAAUAAAUUCACUUGUUUUUUUGUCAAAUUAAUGAAUGCCACGCUUACAUCUGAAAUAAGCAUUUGCAUGAGUUUUUAUCAUUGCAACAAGCACUCUAAUUUUCUCCUUAAUUUAAUUUCUCCUUUCUCCUAAUUUAUUAUAUUCCCAUUGAAUAAUGGAGUAACAAAGUAGAAAAAUUAACUAUAUAAUUUUUCUCUUUUUUUGGGUGACAAUUUAGGUGAAAUUUAUGAGUAUUUAUUUGAAAGAAGUGAUAAAGGUAAUUUUUGCAUCACACAAGUAAAUUAGACUGAAAUUUGGAAAUAUUUAUAACAAUCUAGAGUAAUGGCAAAACUCGGGGUCAAGUUCGGGUAUGGCAAUGCCUAGAUCCAACCCAAACAUAUUUUUUGGACACAUUGGGCUAGGCUUUUUAUUUCACCCGAGAAAGAUUGGAUUUUAUAUUUUAUAACAUUAUAUGUAUGUAUAUAUAUUUUUAAUUUAUUUCAUAAUUUUAUAAUUUUUAAAUCUUAUUUUAAUCAAACUGUGCACAAAAUACAAAAGUUCAAAUUUUUAAAUAUAUGUAAUAGACGAACCAUAUAAAUAUAAUUACUUACAAUAAUAUAUAUUUAUUUUUUUCUAUAAAAAAUAAUUUCUUGGCUGGACCUUGGACUUCUCUAAUGAUGCCUGAGACUAGACCUGCACAUCCCUAAACUAGCUCGGAUCCGGUUUGAAUUCAGUCCAGACGAAUAUUUUUGACAUCCCUAAGUUAUAAACUACUAUUUUGUUGGAAUUGUUUUAACUUGUUUUAAUUUUUUUUAACUUCAGCAAUUAAUAAAGGUUAACACAAUAGAAAAUACUUUAUUUUGGCUGACUCCUCCUCCUAAUUUCCUAAGCCAUUAACCAUAAUGAUGAAGAAUAUUAAUAAAGUUUGAUGGAUACAAAAGUAUUAUUUGGAAAUAUUUAUAACAAUCUAGAGUAAUGGCAAAACUCGGGGUCAAGUUCAGGUAUGGCAAUGCCUGGAUCCAACCCAGACAUAUUUUUUGGACACAUUGGGCUAGGCUUUUUAUUUCACCUUAGAAAGGUUGAAUUUUAUAUUUUAUAACAUUAUAUGCAUGUAUAUAUAUUUUUUAAUUUAUUUCAUAAUUUUAUAAUUUUUAAAUCUUAUUUUAAUAAAACUGUGCACAAAAUAUAAAUGUUUAAAAUUUUAAAUAUAUGUAAUAGACGAGCCAAAUAAAUAUAAUUACUUACAAUAAUAUAUAUUUAUUAUUUUUUCUAUAAAAUUUAAGUUCUUGGUCGGACCUUGGACUUGGAAGACCUUGGACUUGGAAGACCUUGGACUUCUCCAAUGAUGCCCGAGACUAGACCAGCACAUCCCUAAACUAGCUUGGAUCCGGUUCGAAUUCAGUUCGGACGGAUAUUUUUGACAUCCCAAAGUUAUAAACUACUGAUUUUGAGUUGGAACUGUUUUAACUUGUUUUAAUUUUUUUUAACUUCAGCAAUUAAUAAAGGUUAAUACAAUAGAAAAUACUUUAUUUUGGCUGACUCCUCCUCCUAAUUUGCUAAGCCAUUAACCAUAAUGAUGAAGAAUAUUAAUAAAGUUUGAUGGAUACAAAAGUAUUAUUUCUUUGAAUUAACAAAUAUGCAACAUAAUUCACUAUGUGUUACACACCAUACAAUUACAAAAAGGAAGCAGUGGAAUUAAUUAAUUAAUUUUCAGUCUCAAAAAAAAUUUAAGAUUAACAUAUGAUAUACCUGCAUGUAAUUUUGUAUAAUUUUAUUUUGAGUCUUUUGGGACAUGAUCAAUUCUCAUUCUUUCUUAUUAAAUCAUACUCACAUUUUUAAAUUGGUACCGAAUUUAUGUAUAUCUCUAAUCUAAUCUGGUUAAUUUUUCUUUUCAAAGACUUCAAGUAAAACAAGAUUCUUAAAAUUAAUUUUCAAUAUAUGGUGGGGUUGUUACUUUCAUUCGUGAUGGCCGACUAUAAAGAAACCAAACGAUAUCUGCUGAUUUGGAUAUGAGAUACAAUGACAUUCAACAAGCUCUUACAAGUCAAUAAUCGAAAAAGAGUGAAAUCAAAUCAUAGGAAUUAAUACAUUGAUUGUAAAGCAUGUUAAGCAAAGGCAAGAUUCUUGGUUCGGCUUUUAUUUAAUUUAGUAUGUAAAGCAAAGGCAUGAUCAUGAGCUCCUCUGAUUUUAUAUUUGUAGUGGGCUCUAUUUUUUCUUUUCAAUUUUGCGGUGGGUUCUGCUUAAUGGGAAAUGGAAAUUCACUCCUAAAAAAAGAAAUAAAAUUUCUUAACAUUUUAAAAAAGAUAUAUAACCCUUAUUUUUAUUAAUAAAUUUAAUUUAUUUUAAUAAUAAAUUUAUUUUUAAUUUACAAUUACUAUUACGUCAUCAUAAUAAAUAAAUCAAUAUAUUUAAAAUUUUAGAUAUGAAUAAGAUAAUCUUACACCACUCUUUUAUUAGUCCUAUUUCCUAAAAUUAAUUUCAUCAAAUAACAUCUAUUUUUUAUACAUCAAAUAUCCAAUACAUUGUUUUCCAACAGAAUCAAUAUAUUGAUUCCUGGCAAGCUUACAACAUUCAUGAAUAUUCAAGUUUACUUUAUUCGAUGUACAACGUAAGCAAAUAACGAAGCGUUUCAUUAUAUCCUAGAAGUAUAUUUGCUUAACUCAUGUGCAUCACUUAAUUGGUGAGAAUAAAUAAUGUCUUAAGGAAAGUAAUAUUUAUAAUGUGUCUUAAAUAUCAUAUUAAUUUUCUAUAAUUUACUUUUUUCAUCAUAUUAAAGUUCCACCAUUUUAUUAUUAUUCUCUAUAUUUGCCAUUCCGGACAAAUACAUAUCCCCAACCUAUUAGUUGUCACUUCUUAGAAAUUUUGUAAAUAUCAACAAUUAAGCACAAGGCACUAUUUUUAUGUUUGCUAUUCUCUAUCCACUGAAUAGGAAGCAACAAAUGAAGAUGGGUUGUUUUUGUUGGACACUGAUUUUUAUUUUUUUAUUUUUUUCAAUUAUUUAAUGGUGCCUAGUCAGCCACCCGGCCUUUGGCCGAGUGGUGAGAGCUGCUGCUCUCCAAGUUGGAGAGUACCAGUUCGAACCCCACAAUGUAUUGUGGGGGUGUUUCCUUCCUAAGUCAAUUUAAGUCAAGUCAGUCUGCUUCCUUACCCCAAUGCAAGGAGUAGACAUCCCUCGAAUAUUUGAGAGGGUUAAAAAAUUUGGGCAGCGCUCCAUUAGGAUUGAUGUAUGUUGGUCCCAGUUAUAAUUUGAUUUGUAAAUAUCAGUUAUAUUCUCAUGUAAUAUAAGUUGUACUCUGAGUAAUAAUUUCAUGUAAUAAAAAACAAACAAUGGUGCCUGGUCCAGUUGUACUCUGAGUAAUAAUUUCAUGUAAUAAAAAACAAACAAUGGUGCCUGGUCCAGUUGUACUCUGAGUAAUAAUUUCAUGUAAUAAAAAACAAACAAUGGUGCCUGGUCCACCCAUGUCCGGUUCGUCAAGCAGACAGGCACAAGGGCGUGAAGCUUGCUAAAUUAUUGAUGGUGGUGGGGGCUGCCUCUGGCUUUUGUUUCCACUUUCGUGUAAUAAAGUGCAGUUUGCUAAAUUAUCGGUGGCGCCGUGGCGGGACUUUUUUUGUUUUCACAUUAGAGUAAUUUCAGUUGGGUCUAUAUCAUUGAUAACAUAUUAAUCGAUUUGGUAUUUUAUUAAGAAAAAUUAUUACCGUACCACUUCUAUUUUAUAUUAUAUUUAUUUAACCACUACGACAUUCUAAUAUGUUCUAUGUACUUUUUUUUAAAUUUAUAUUAAUUAGUCACUUUUAUAUUUAUACUAUUAAAUAAUUAUUUUGUAAUUAUUUUUAUAAUUAUAAUUUUUAUUAAAAAUAAAAAUUCUAAUUUUGAGAUUUAUUUUUAUUAAAUUUAGGGAUAUUUUUACAAUUAUAAUUUUUUAUUUUUUAAAGUUUUUAUAAAAUAAAGUAAUCUAUUAAUUUAUUUAGGGGUAAAAUUAUCAUUUUGUUUAAAUUAUUUAAUAAUGUUAGUGCAAAAAUGGUUAAUUGAUAUAAAUUUAAAAAGAAAUAUAGUGCAAAGAAUAUAUUAAAGUUUUAUGAUGGUUAAAUAAAUAUAAGAUAAAACAAAAAUGGUGUAAUAAUAAUAAAUGAGUCGAAUUUAUGUUCAUCUAAAAUUUUGUUAUAAUUUAUUUUGACACGACAAUAAUAUAACAUGACGGUAAAAAUUAUUAUUGUGAUUAUAAAAAAUUAUAGUGUACUUUUAAGUCUUCGUUUUAGCAUGGAAAUUAAUUCAAUAAAUAAAGUAAUCAUGUGGCAAAAGGGUAGAGAGAGAGAGAAACGUUUUUUUAUUUUUUAUUUUAACUUGGUUUAUGAGUUUGAAGACUUGUAAAGGAGAGGUUCGUAGUAAGAUAGAUUCCAUUUUCCACUUUAUUCAGCAUUUACCCGGACACUGGAUUAAUGUUGCAUGGCCCUACAAAUGUCGAGGUGUGAUUUUAUAUUCAUUGAAUCGGGUAACAAGUGGUGGUGACCGGUGAUUGGUGAAUUGCUAAAAUAUUAAUGGGUGGUGGGCUCUGUUUUUAUUUUCACUUUCCUGGAAUAAACAACAAGUGGAAGACUUGUUACGCGCAUUUUGCUUGACCCUUCACACUUAAUGUUACAAUUUUCUCAUUUUGCUUUUCAAAACUCAAAAUUCUGUUUCUUUCUUUGAAAAAAAGAAAAAAAAAGGAAAAAAAGAAAAAAAAAUGUCAAUCAGCGGAGAGUAGCGUAAUUAUUGGUGGUAGUUCUGUCUUUUACUUCAUUUAGUGUAAUAAUCACGUUUUGUUAGUUAUGUUAUUAACCUACUAAAUAUAUACCUUUGAGUCGAAUUUAUUUUAUCUAAAAUUUUAUUUUACAACAGAAAUAUAACAUUAUGAUUCAACUUCGCAUUGAGAUUAAAAAAAAAAAAACAAUGUAGUGCACUUAUAUGAAUAAAAAGAGAGAUUAAAAUGAUUUAUUCUAACUUACUUUUAUAAGUUGAAGACUUCCACAGUAAAGAUGGAUGCAUUCUACUUUUCUCUAUAUUCAAUAUUUUUUUCAUUAUUUAACAUUUAAAAAAAAAUAAGAAUUUUAAUAUUCUUAAUAUAGAAGAAUUGAUAGACUCUCUUCAAACAUUUGAGAUGAACCUUAAUUACUGUUUUGAAAAUUAUAAAGAACAUUAUUUUGAAAAUGUUAGCCGAGUAAAUUUUAGCAUUAAUUACGGUUCGACUAAGUCGAAAAAGUGUAAGUUUUUCUCUUAUUAUUAUUUUUAAAAUUCUGUCAUUAAUUACGGCUCUGUUUUUUCUUUUCUUAGCUGCAAGGAACAGCAAGUGGGGAGACUUGCCACGUUUUACGUUGUAUUUUGCGUGACCCUUGACACUUAAUUAUUAAUUACUAAGCAUUUUCAUUUGCAUACUUUUUCUCCAUGUACAGGACAAGUGUGGUGCAUGCAUUGGGUGCGUAUGUUACAGAAUCUGCAACAUAGACUUCUCCAUUUCAGUUGGGUCUAUAUCGUUGUUAAUUUUAUUAAGUAUAUAUAUUUAAUAAAUGGGCAGCGCUUAACUUAUAUUUAUUAUAAGUAACAUUAUGAAAAAAUGAAUCGUUAGAUUUCUUAAUUUGCAGAUACAACAACUGUGAUGAAAGUUAACGUACAAUUAGAUUCUGGCUGAAAAUUUAUUUUUAAAAACAAAAGAAUGGCAACUUGCUAUAACGGUUGUCGAAACAACCAAGUUAAGGAGUUAGUUGGUAAUAAUAAUUUUAAAGAAAAAUAAUGAGUGACGAACGAUCGUCUGAAUAUUCUGAAAAAUUUAAAAUAAAAAAUACAAUAAUUAAAUUUUAAAAGAGAGAAAACAAUAAAAGCAGGAAACGAAAUAAUUAAAUUCCUAUUUCAUUUUUUCAGAUCACAAAUUAGGAAAACUAAAAAAAUUACAGCACCACUUGUCAAAAAAAAAAAUAUUGCAGCACCAUAAAAUCGAUGGUAGGUUGAUUGGUGAAUUGCCAAAUUAUUAAAAGAAAAAUUGCACACUAUCCUUUUUUUUCAUUUUUAUUCUUUAUUUUAAUAUUUUUAGUCGGUCUCACAAAAAAUAUUUUAUUAUUUGUUAUGGGUCCCACAAAAGAGAAAUUAGAUGAGGGAACGCGUUUUCUGGGACCUGUCUAUGUUACAGAUUCUGUAACAAACAUCUCCCGUCAUCCCACCAUCCGAUUUUCUUUUGUUUAGUUUCUCACUCCACAUCCAACCACAUCCAACGGCUGAUGCUGCAGUCUGUACCUUACAGAAUCUGUAACGUAGUUUUGUCCCGUUUUCUGUCGUCCCUUCGUCGGCUUUCGUUCCUUUUCACUAUCCAUUUUUUAAUUCUUUAUAGUCGGUCCCACAAAAGAAUAUGUUAUUAUUUAUUAUCGGUCCCACUAAAGAAAAUUUUGAUGAGGGAACGCAUUUUCUGUCGUUCCUUCGUCGCGCUUUCGUUCGUUUACACAAUCUUUUUUUUAUUCUUUAUUUUACUAUUUGUUGUCGGUCCCAUAAAAAAAUAUUUUAUUAUUUAUUAUUGUUCCACAAAAACAAAAUUGGAUGAGGAAACGCGUUUUCUGUCGUCCCUUCGUCGCACUUUCGUUCUUUUAUCAUUUUCCAAUUAUCAAUGGGUGGUGGGCUCUGUUUUUAUUUUUCACUUUACUGGAAUAAACAACAAGUGGAAGACUUGCUACAUGCAUUUUGCUCAAUUUUCUCAUUUUGCUUUAAAACUCAAAAUUCUGUUUCUUUCUGUGCGGGAAAAAAAGAAAAAAAAAAUGUCAAUCAACGGAGAGGCAAUCCUUACGGCGUCCCGUUGAGAUGAAAUACCAAACAAAUAUUGCCAAUUUGUGAGAUGAGAUACAAGCAAUUGAUGACAUUCAGCAAGUUUUUUACUGCCUCUUUAGCAAUGUUAAAAAGUAAAAGAGAGUGAAAUCAAAUCCUAAGAAUUAAAAUUAAUUUUUCUCCAAUAAAUUAAUUGAACCUCAUUCUUUAAUUACAAAUAAUGACAAGUUAAGUAAAUUCACCAGCACCACAAUUAGUGAAUAUUAAUACCUCAAGUUAAUGAAUUAAAUAAUAACAUGAUACAUUUUUAUCGAAAUUAAUAAGUCUUAUAAAUUCUUCAUUGUGAAUAGUAAGUGCAAUACCUCUCAAUAAUCUGAUGCCUGUGAUCUUUACAAAUCAUUACAUGUAUGCUUCACUAAUUAAUUAAUAAAGUUAAAACAAAAACAAAAUAGACCACGCUAUUAACUUUGCAAACAUCCCAACCCCACCAUCUCUUUUGAAAAAGAAAAAACAAAAAAAAAAAAAGGAAGAAGAGGCAUGUUUGAUUUUUACAAAUCGCUAAUAACUUUACAAAUCAUUACAUGUUUGAUUUUUUUUUUAAUUUCUGUGCUCCUCUGAUUUUAUAUUUGUGGUGGCUUCGUUUUUCUUUUCACUUUUACGGUGGGUUUUUCUUGAUUUCUAGGCUUGCUAGACACAAUCACAAACUCAUUCCGCUUGUUCACUUUUCGCAUUUUGCUUUCCACAAACUCUUAGGUAGUGUUUACUUUCAGGAGUGAGAGUGUGGAUUUCUCCCACUCCAGUGUUUACUUACCUAGGGGGAGUGGGAGUGGGAAUCCGUGGAUCCCACUCAAUUUUAGAGGGGUAGUGAGAUUCCCACUCCCUCUUUCCAUUUUAUCCCUAUAAUUAAAUAAAUAAAUAAAUAAUAUUUAAUAAAAUAAAUAAAUAUUAUAUUUAAAUUAAUAAUAUUAAACAUUAAUUUUAAUAAAUAUUAAUUAAUUAUUUAAUUAAUAAUAAAUAUUUUGUUUUAAAAAAANNNNNNNNNNNNNNNNNNNNNNNNNNNNNNNNNNNNNNNNNNNNNNNNNNNNNNNNNNNNNNNNNNNNNNNNNNNNNNNNNNNNNNNNNAAAUAAAUAAAUAUUAUAUUUAAAUUAAUAAUAUUAAACAUUAAUUUUAAUAAAUAUUAAUUAAUUAUUUAAUUAAUAAUAAUAAAUAUUUUAUUCUAAAAAAUAUUAAUUUUGCUAUAUUAUCAAUAAUAAUAUUUCAUUUGUGUUGCUAUUAUUAAUAAUUUUUAUUCACAUUAUUUAAAUUAAAAUUAAUAAAAAAUUAUGAUUUACAUAAUUAAGAAUAUUAGUAAUUAUUAUUAAUUUAGAAAUAUAAUAAAAUAUUUAUUUUAUUUUCCAAAUAUUUUUUAUUAAUUUUUUAAUUACAAAUUAUAAUUCUGUAUAUAAGGAUAAAAUUGUAAUUUAAAACAAUUUACUCUCAAUCCAAGACAAAGUAAACAAAUAAUUAAGAUUCUGAUUGACAAUCCAUACUUUCAUUUAGUCUAAGUAAACACCCUACUUCCACUCCCACUCCACACUCCUAAUUCAAGAAUUCUCAAUUCCCACUUCAAUCCAAAAAAUAAACGCAGCAUUAAUUCAGUUUCUUUCUCUGUCCAAACAAACCCAAAAAAAAAAAAAAAUGACUCAUAAUUCAGUUUCUUUCUCUGUCCAAAAAAACCCAAAAAAAAAAAAAAAAAAAAAUGUCCAUCAUCGGAGAGGCAAUCCUGAUGGCGUCCGUUGAGAUGCUGAUCAAUAAGUUAGCUUCAGAGGGGCUUCGUUUAUUUGCACGCCAAGGUCGAAUCCAAGCAAAUCUAGUGAAGUGGAAGAAGAUGUUGGAGAUGAUCAAGGCGGUGCUUGAUGAUGCUGAGGAGAAGAAGACGACUAAUCGGUCUGUGAAGAAGUGGCUUGGCGAGCUUCAGAACUUGGCUUAUGAUGUUGAAGACUUGUUGGAUGAGUUCGAAACUGAGGCUUUCCGGAGGAAGUUGCUGCUUGGAAAUGGAGAACCAGCUGCUGCUCAUGAUCAACCCAGCAGCAGUCGUACAAGAUCAAGUAAGUUUCGGAAGCUCAUUCCUACUUGCUGCACCACUUUUACUCCACAAUCGAUCCAGUUCGAUUACGCCAUGAUGUCCAAAAUCAAAGGGAUCAACGACAGAUUUCAAGAUAUUGAAGAAGGAAUACGCUCGCUGAAUUUGAUAAAAAGUUCAGCUGGGGGGUCCAAAAAAGCCAGGCAAAGGCAAGAGACAACCUCUUUGGUGGAGGAAGCCAAAGUAUAUGGCAGGAAAACAGAAAAGAAGGAAAUUGUUGAAUUGUUGUUGAAGGAUGAUUCAAGAAAUGAUGGUGGAUUCUCUGUUAUUCCUAUUAUAGGUAUGGGCGGGCUGGGUAAAACCACUCUUGCUCAGCUUGUCUACAAUGAUAAGCAGGUGGAGGAUCAUUUUAAUCUCAAGGCGUGGACUUGCGUCUCCGAUGAUUUUGAUGUUAGCAGGCUUACAAAAUCAAUCCUACUUUCAAUUGCUCCUGGCCAGAAUGUGGAUAAUCACGACUUAAAUAAGCUUCAAGUGGACCUAAAGAAACAACUAUUUGGAAAGAAAUUUUUGCUUGUUUUAGAUGACGUUUGGAAUGAGAAUUACACUGAUUGGGUUCACCUCAGCCUUCCAUUUCAAGCUGGCGCACAGGGAAGUAAGAUUGUUGUCACCACUCGCAAUGAAGAGGUUGCCAAAAUCAUGAGCCUGGAUCAAGCUUAUGAACUCAAAAGCUUGUCAACUGAGGACUGUCUGUCUGUGUUCGCUCAGCACUCUUUGGGGACAACAGAUUUCAGUUCACAUAAGUCAUUGGAGGACAUUGGCAAGAAUAUAGUGAUCAAAUGCAACGGCUUGCCCUUAGCUGCGAAAACUCUUGGUGGACUCUUACGUGGUAAACGUGACCGAAGUGAUUGGGAAGAUGUGCUCAGUUGCAAGAUAUGGGAUUUACCAGAAGAGAGAUGUGACAUUAUACCUGCGCUUAGAGUGAGCUACUAUUAUCUUUCGGCACCUUUGAAACAGUGCUUUGCAUACUGCUCAUUGUUUCCAAAGGAUUAUGAAUUUGAAGAGGAGGAGAUAAUUUUAUUAUGGUGUGCUNNNNNNNNNNNNNNNNNNNNNNNNNNNNNNNNNNNNNNNNNNNNNNNNNNNNNNNNNNNNNNNNNNNNNNNNNNNNNNNNNNNNNNNNNNNNNNNNNNNNNNNNNNNNNNNNNNNNNNNNNNNNNNNNNNNNNNNNNNNNNNNNNNNNNNNNNNNNNNNNNNNNNNNNNNNNNNNNNNNNNNNNNNNNNNNNNNNNNNNNNNNNNNNNNNNNNNNNNNNNNNNNNNNNNNNNNNNNNNNNNNNCUGUUAUUCCUAUUAUAGGUAUGGGCGGGCUGGGUAAAACCACUCUUGCUCAGCUUGUCUACAAUGAUAAGCAGGUGGAGGAUCAUUUUAAUCUCAAGGCGUGGACUUGCGUCUCCGAUGAUUUUGAUGUUAGCAGGCUUACAAAAUCAAUCCUACUUUCAAUUGCUAGUGACCAGAAUGUGGAUAAUCACGACUUGAAUAAGCUUCAAGAGGAGCUAAAGAAACAACUAUUUGGAAAGAAAUUUUUGCUUGUUUUAGAUGACGUUUGGAAUGAGAAUUACACUGAUUGGGUUCACCUCAGCCUUCCAUUUCAAGCUGGCGCACAGGGAAGUAAGAUUGUUGUCACCACUCGCAAUGAAGAGGUUGCCAAAAUCAUGAGCCUGGAUCAAGCUUAUGAACUCAAAAGCUUGUCAACUGAGGACUGUCUGUCUGUGUUCGCUCAGCACUCUUUGGGGACAACAGAUUUCAGUUCACAUAAGUCAUUGGAGGACAUUGGCAAGAAUAUAGUGAUCAAAUGCAACGGCUUGCCCUUAGCUGCGAAAACUCUUGGUGGACUCUUACGUGGUAAACGUGACCGAAGUGAUUGGGAAGAUGUGCUCAGUUGCAAGAUAUGGGAUUUACCAGAAGAGAGAUGUGACAUUAUACCUGCGCUUAGAGUGAGCUACUAUUAUCUCUCAGCACCUUUGAAACAGUGCUUUGCAUACUGCUCAUUGUUUCCAAAGGAUUAUGAAUUUGAAGAGGAGGAGAUAAUUUUAUUAUGGUGUGCUGUGGGUCUCUUGGAUCACGGAGAGGGGGGGCAUCCUAGUGAAGAUCUAGGUUGAAAGUUCUUUCGAGAGCUAUGUUCAAGAUCUUUCUUCCAGCAAUCAAGCAACAGUAUAUCACGAUUUGUGAUGCACGACCUUAUCAGCGACCUUGCUCAAUGGGCUGCGGGGGAGAUAUACUUCACAAUGGAGUAUACCUUGGAGGUUAACAAGCAACAAGGCUUUUCCAAAAAUCUUCGUCACCUGUCAUACAUUCCUGGAUAUGGUGAUGGUGUUAAAAGGUUUGAGGACUUGUACGAUAUCCAACAUUUGCGAACAUUUUUACCAGUAAAGCUGUCAAAUCGUUCGCGUGGAUACUUGGCUCAUAGCAUUCUUCCCAAGUUGUUCAAACUCCAACGCUUGAGGGUCUUCUCCUUGUUUGGAUACCGCAUCUAUGAGCUACCAAAUUCAGUAGGUGAUUUACAAUUUGCACAGUCUUAACCUAUCUGGAACUGAAAUUAGAACUCUGCCUGAAUCAGUCAACAAGCUUUACAAUUUGCACAGUCUUUCGUUGGAGGACUGUCGGAAACUGAAGAAGUUGUGUGCAGAAAUGGGAAACCUCAUCAAAUUGCAUCAUCUUAAAAAUUCAAAUACAGAUUCCUUGGAGGAAAUGCCACUAGGAAUUGGUAAUUUGACUUGUCUUCAAACGUUGUGUAAUUUUGUUGUGGCAAAAGACAGUGGUUCCGGGUUAAGAGAGCUGAAGUCGUUGACGCAUCUUAAGAGGACACUUAAAAUUUCAAAAUUGGAGAAUGUAAAAUGCGUUGGUGAUGCCAUGGAGGCUCAAAUGGAUGGNNNNNNNNNNNNNNNNNNNNNNNNNNNNNNNNNNNNNNNNNNNNNNNNNNNNNNNNNNNNNNNNNNNNNNNNNNNNNNNNNNNNNNNNNNNNNNNNNNNNNNNNNNNNNNNNNNNNNNNNNNNNNNNNNNNNNNNNNNNNNNNNNNNNNNNNNNNNNNNNNNNNNNNNNNNNNNNNNNNNNNNNNNNNNNNNNNNNNNNNNNNNNNNNNNNNNNNNNNNNNNNNNNNNNNNNNNNNNNNNNNNNNNNNNNNNNNNNNNNNNNNNNNNNNNNNNNNNNNNNNNNNNNNNNNNNNNNNNNNNNNNNNNNNNNNNNNNNNNNNNNNNNNNNNNNNNNNNNNNNNNNNNNNNNNNNNNNNNNNNNNNNNNNNNNNNNNNNNNNNNNNNNNNNNNNNNNNNNNNNNNNNNNNNNNNNNNNNNNNNNNNNNNNNNNNNNNNNNNNNNNNNNNNNNNNNNNNNNNNNNNNNNNNNNNNNCGAAUCCGGCUUACCGGAUUCCAAAUCCGGCAGACCGGAUAGGCAAAAUUUUGAAUUUUGCCUUAACGGUCACAAAAAUCCGGCUUACCGGAUUCCAUAAACGGCAGACCGGAUUCCCCAGAAAUGUGAGUAACGGCUAGUUUUCGAGCUCAAACUAUAAGAACUCCAAUCCAACUCAUUUUGAAGCUCUCCAACAAGCAAGAACAAAAAGCACACGUGAUAUCUUGAGCCUUCAACUUGUAAAACACAAUUCAUUGAAUCAUUCAUUGUUCUUCAUCUUUGAAUAUCUACUCAUUGAGUGAGUUUUAUUGUAAUCUUCAUUUCUUCAUUUCAUUUGUAAGAACUUGAGUGUGUGAGACACUUGAGUGAAGAGAUUGGGAGAUAAUCUCUUCGUUGUAAAGGUUUAUUGACACCUCGAAGUCAAUUGUAUUUGUUGAAGCCUUGGAAAGGCUUGGAUAGUGAAAUCCUCAAGCGGGUGAGCUUGGAGGCGUGGACGUAGGCGGGGAUAGCCGAACCACGUAAAAAUCCUUGUGUUCGUUUUCUCUUCCCUUACUCUUUUAAUAUUGUGUUUCAUUGAAUUUAUUGUUUUCGAAUUGAUUAAGGCGAUAGAUUAAAUUGUUGUGCGAAUUAUAUUGCAUAAUUUUUAAAUUUCCAAUUCACCCCCCCUCUUGGGUUGCACACUUAUAUUUCAAUUGGUAUCAGAGCGAGGUGCUCUUGUGUAGACUUAAUCGUCUAGAGUUAAAGAUCAAUAGCAACCCAAAUUAGUUCAACUUUCAUGGAAGGACAAUCUAUCACUAGACCUCCAUUUUUCGAUGGAAAUGAUUAUCCUUAUUGGAAAACUAGGAUGAGAAUUUAUUUACAAGCUUUAGAUUAUGAAAUUUGGGAAGUUGUUUGUGAUGAUUUACUCAUUCCUAGGAAGAAUGCUUUAAGUGAAUUGGAUAAGAAAACUAUGUCUUUAAAUUCCAAGGCUAUGAACGCUUUAUUUUGUGCCUUAGAUAAAAAGGAAUUUCAUAGAGUUUCAAAUUGUUCUAAUGCUUAUGAAAUUUGGAGAAAACUUGAAAUUGUGUAUGAGGAGACUACGAGCGAGGAGGAAUUUCACGAAGUGUCGAAUUUGGCACUUAUGGCAAUUGGAGAUGAAUCGGAUGAUGAACUUGACGAGGUAAAUGAUCUUCCUACUUAUAAUGAAUUACAUGAUGCGUUUAAAGAAUUGUAUGAUGAGUGGAUGAAAAUUGGUAAAAAGAAUGCAUGUUUUAAGAAGAAAAUGCUAGAACUUACAAAUGAAAAGGAUACCAUGCAAAAAUGCAUUGAUUCAUUUAAUGAGAAGAUAAAGGAGUUAGAAUUAGAAAAUAAAACAUUGCAUGAUGAAGUUGCAUUAUCAAAUGAGAAAUUUAGCACUUCACAUGAGCAUCUAGAAUCAUAUGUAGAUGACUUGAAAAAUGAAAAUGAUGCUUUACAAAAAUGCAAUGAUUCAUUAAAUGAAAAGCUUAAAGGACUAGAGAUAGAUAAUAAAAUGUUGCAUGAUAGAAUUGCAUCAUUUAAAUAUCAACAAAGUAUUUCGUAUGAGCAUGAAAAAUCACAUGUUGAUAAAUUGAUGAAAGAAAAUGACGUGCUUAAGAAAAAGAGUAAUGAGCUCAAUGAAAUUGUUUUGAAAUUCACAAAUGGGCAAAAGAUGUUGGAUAACAUGCUUAAUUCACAAAAAUGUGUGUUUGAUAAAGGAGGACUUGGGUAUAAACCUUACUUGAAACAAAAAUAUUAUAAGAAUUAUUUUGUUAAGGCUACCUCCACAAAUGAUCAAAUUGUAUGUCAUUAUUGCAAUCAAAAUGGUCAUAUGAAGAAUAGAUGUCCAAUUAAAAGAAAUGUAUAUUAUGGAGUAAAAUGUAUUUGGGUUCCAAAAGGAACCAUUGCUAACACUCAAGGACCCAAGAGCAUUUGGGUACCAAAGGGCACAACGUGAGUAUUUUCUUUGUAGGUACCACAAUCAAGGAAUGGUGGAGAAGUUUCUUGAUGAAAGCUUGUGAGGAUAAUCACUUGAGCAUGAUCUAGGAGAAAAAGAUGAGGCAAGAUAAUUCAAUUAUUUUGGUAACAAUUAUUGCCAUAUUAAUUUUGUUGAAUGAAUCAUGAUAAAUGAAAUUGCGGAAGUAUGCUUGUAUGUUUACAUGAUGGAAUUAUCAUUGUGUGUAAUAUUGAGUGAUUUAUCAUGAUAGUUUUGCUUGAUGUUAAUGUUUAUGAAGUGUUUAAGCAUGAUAGUUAAGUGGUGUGUUUGAUUUAUUCACUUUUGAAUGCUUAUAUAUUUAAUCGUCGUUGAAAAUCCUGAGUCUGCACAUGCUGUAAUGAAUUGGUCAUAACUUCUUCUAGAGAACUCUAAAUCAAGCUCUGUAAAAUUUAUUGGAAAGUUAACUUAAUUAUCUUUCCAACGGUAUAUAGCUUGCACAUUACUUCUGGUUCAAUCAAUACAGUUUUUAUUUUGAAAUUGACCUUUCUGCAUGUUCUUAAGUUUUGAAUGCUUAUAUGCUUCAUGAUUGUAUGCUUGUUGGAUGCUUAUUGUUUCAUGACUGUGAUGAAUGAAUUAUAUGCAUGAAUUCUUGUGUUGUUAAUUGUGUUAUAUCAUCAUCCACUUAUAAAAUUAACAUCAUUCUUUGAUACGAUUUCAUAUGUUUAGUCUUGUAUGUAUAUAUGUUUCAUACACUAAUUGGCUUAUUGAAAAGUUAAAUGAUUUUUAGCAUUGAUCAAUUUCUAAGCCAAAAAUAAAUUUGUGUUUAUAAUACAAGUCUAAGAGCUUACAAAAUUUCAAAAAUAUUUUCCAAAGCUUAACCGGUUUAUCACUUCUAAUCAACCGGAAAGCUGUUUUUCAUUUUGGAGCUCUCGGGUUGAAAUUCGGAUAACCGGAUUUUCAAUCCGGAAAACCGGAUUUGCUAAGCUUCUUCUCUGCUUCAUAACCGGUCUACCGGUUCUUCAAUCCGGCAACCCGAAUUUGGAAGGCAACUCACUGCCUCACAACCGGUCUACCGGUUAGCAAAACCGGAAAGCCGAAUUUGUAGUGUUUCUUAAAACCGGCCAGCCGUUUAAGCAAACCGGCAAGCCGAAUUCAUGCUUCUCACUCUCGGGCCAAUAUCCGGCCAACCGGAUCACAAAUCCGGCAAGCCGUUUUCGGCUUUUAUGAUUCCAGUCACUAACCGGCUAACCGGUUAGGAAAUCCGGCAAGCCGGAUUCGUGAGCUUUUGUUUUGCUUCUUCUUCCUCUCUCGUGAGUUUUCUGCACUUGUUCUCUCCUUCACUCAAAACCGUGAGCUACCCAUCCAUUUUCACCUCCAUUUUCUUCACUUUUCAUCCAUUUUCAUGCCCAAAUCAAUCAUUCAAACUAAUACCCAUGCAUUUCAUCUUCAUUAAACACUUCUCCAUCAUGAUUUCUUCACUUGUUCUUCAUCAUUUCAUCAUCAUCUUCUCACGCGUGAAUAGUGCUUUAUCAUGAUACAUGGUUUUAUAUCUAAGAUGAUAACUUGUCAACUCAUCAUGAUAAAUUUGUUUUGAUUAUGUAAUGCAUAAGUAUGAUAAAUAAGUGAUAUGCUUUAAUUAUCAAUCUUUGAAUACUUACAUAUUUCAUGAUUGUGUGAUGUAUAUGCAUGAUAGAUAAGUUAUAUGUUAUUUCUUGCAUUAGAAGCGAUCAUGGUGGAUAAUUCGAAAAUCAUGCAUUUGAGAUUUUUUUUGUGAUGAUUUUGCCAUUGAGUAUAAAUUUUCAUCACCUAGAACUCCACAACAAAAUGGAGUUGUAGAGAGAAAUGAUAUGUUUAUUGAGUGUAUAACAAAAGAACUUUGAUUGUGAAAAAUUUAUACUUGUUAUAUUUGAUUAGUCUAAUUCUUCCUCUACGGAGAAAGUUGUUUUUGAUGAUAAUGUAGACGAAGAGCUACAAGAAGAUUAUCAAAUGAUAGCUAAAAGAAGGCACCACUUGAAAAUCAAGAGGAGCAGUAUAAAGAAACAAAUGCGAAGUAAAAUGAAGGUACUUCUCAAAUACUCCCCAAGGAGUGGAGGUAUGUUUCUUCUCACCUUAAGAACUUAAUUUUGGAAGAUCCAUCACAAGGUGUAACUACUAUAUCAUCACUUAAAAAUAUAUGUGAGCAUUUGUAAUAAUGGAUUUGAUCACUUGUUUUUUAGCUCAUAAUGAUGGCUUUUUAGUUGUGUUGAUUUUGAUGAUCUAUAAUGGCAUAUGUUGAUUUUGAUUAUCUAUAUGUUGCCAUUAUGUGCUUAUGUUUUUACUUAAGUUUUGAUGAUAAAGAAUGUGAUUGAUAAUUAUGGAGCUUGAAUAUUUGAUAAUAUGCAUGCCAAUUUGGUAAAGAAAUCAAAACCUUUUUGUGAAGAAGAAUUUUCAAAAAAAUUCGGCAUAAACUUGGAAUGAUUUGAUUUCUUGAUGAUUUUGGUAAUUGAUGAUUAUAUGUGCUUGAUUUGAAGUCUUGAUGAUUGAUAGGGGGAGACAAAUAUGAUAUGUUUUUGGAUAAAAUCAUUUUGGUUAAAAUUUUAAAUUGGCCAUAUAUUUAGGGGGAGCAUAUAAUAUGUUUUUGAAUAAUAUGCAUUUUGAACUUUUUUGUUGUCCAAAGGGGGAGAUAAAGUAAUAUCUCAUUUCGAUGUAGUCAAAAGGAGAAUAACAUGCAUUUUGAGUAAUUGUUUUGAUAAUUGAUAUUUGAUUAUGAUGAUGAUUUUGAGAUAUGAUGAUUUGAUUACAUGAGUGUUUUAUAUGAUGAUGAUAAUUUGGAUGUGAUAUUACUAAUCUUAUAUUUGAGGUGAUGCUUGUUGUUAGGGGGAGAUUUUGUCGAAAUUUCUAUUCGAACAACAUGGGUAACAAAUUUCCUACUCUUAUUCUUUUCCUUUACGUUUUCUUUUUUAUGAUGAAGGGAGAGAAGAAUACAUGUUUUCAAAUUUAUAAAAAAAAAAUUUGCUAUUUUUUUGCCAAUUGAGUUUUUUCUUUUUGAUGAUGAGGGGGAGAAAAAUCUAUGUAUUUAAAUCAUUAAUUUAGCUAAUUGGCAAAUUGUAAAAGAAGAUUUGGACUUGCAGUACCGAUGGUUCAUCUUCAAGGGAGGCAGAAACUGAAAUGGGCGUGCUUGACAUGCUAAAACCUCAUACAAAUCUGGAGCAAUUUUGUAUCAAAGGCUAUGGAGGUAUGAAAUUUCUGUUAACAUAUAUGUUUCCAUAAUAUUGAUUUUGAUGAUAACAAACAAGAUUAAGAAUGAUUAAUUUUUAAGUUUAAAUUAUUAAAUAUUCUUUUUAAAUAAAUCAUUAUUUUCACAUUAUAAAUGUUUCAUAUUUAAUGGAAAAAUGAUUUUAUGAAAUUGGUUGUUUUUCAAAGUUUAUGGUUUAAUUGAAAGUAUUUUGAAAACUUUGAAAUAAAUAAGUAUUGCUUGAAAUUUUGGUGAAUGACUUAUUUGAAAAGUGUCAUAGCAUUUUGGGCUAUAACAUAAUUUCAGAAAGUUUUGGGAUUAACAAAGCAUUACUUAGAAAUUCUAAAAUUGGACAUAUUUGUAAAGUUUCAUAACAUUUUGGGCCGUAGUACAGUUUGAUAAAGUUUUAGGGUCAAACUAUAAUUUUGGAAAAUAGUNNNNNNNNNNNNNNNNNNNNNNNNNNNNNNNNNNNNNNNNNNNNNNNNNNNNNNNNNNNNNNNNNNNNNNNNNNNNNNNNNNNNNNNNNNNNNNNNNNNNNNNNNNNNNNNNNNNNNNNNNNNNNNNNNNNNNNNNNNNNNNNNNNNNNNNNNNNNNNNNNNNNNNNNNNNNNNNNNNNNNNNNNNNNNNNNNNNNNNNNNNNNNNNNNNNNNNNNNNNNNNNNNNNNNNNNNNNNNNNNNNNNNNNNNNNNNNNNNNNNNNNNNNNNNNNNNNNNNNNNNNNNNNNNNNNNNNNNNNNNNNNNNNNNNNNNNNNNNNNNNNNNNNNNNNNNNNNNNNNNNNNNNNNNNNNNNNNNNNNNNNNNNNNNNNNNNNNNNNNNNNNNNNNNNNNNNNNNNNNNNNNNNNNNNNNNNNNNNNNNNNNNNNNNNNNNNNNNNNNNNNNNNNNNNNNNNNNNNNNNNNNNNNNNNNNNNNNNNNNNNNNNNNNNNNNNNNNNNNNNNNNNNNNNNNNNNNNNNNNNNNNNNNNNNNNNNNNNNNNNNNNNNNNNNNNNNNNNNNNNNNNNNNNNNNNNNNNNNNNNNNNNNNNNNNNNNNNNNNNNNNNNNNNNNNNNNNNNNNNNNNNNNNNNNNNNNNNNNNNNNNNNNNNNNNNNNNNNNNNNNNNNNNNNNNNNNNNNNNNNNNNNNNNNNNNNNNNNNNNNNNNNGUUGAAGCCUUGGAAAGGCUUGGAUAGUGAAAUCCUCAAGCGGGUGAGCUUGGAGGCGUGGACGUAGGCGGGGAUAGCCGAACCACGUAAAAAUCCUUGUGUUCGUUUUCUCUUCCCUUACUCUUUUAAUAUUGUGUUUCAUUGAAUUUAUUGUUUUCGAAUUGAUUAAGGCGAUAGAUUAAAUUGUUGUGCGAAUUAUAUUGCAUAAUUUUUAAAUUUCCAAUUCACCCCCCUCUUGGGUUGCACACUUAUAUUUCAAUUUCCAACUUGGUUGGGAGAUUCCUUGUUCUCAAAUUUAGUGACCUUAAAUUUUGAAAAUUGUGGCACGUGUACGACCCUUCCGUCAGUCGGGCAACUACCCUCUUUAAAGCAUCUUGCAGUAAGUGGAAUGACUAGUGUAAAGAGGUUGGGUUCAGAGUUCUAUGGGAAUGAUUCUCCAAUUCCUUUUCCAUGCUUGGAGACUCUUCUUUUUGAAAACAUGCGAGAAUGGGAAGACUGGAUUUCCCAUGGAUCCAGUCAAGGAGUUGUUGAAGGGUUUCCUAAAUUGAGAGAGCUUCACAUUUUAAGAUGUUCUAAAUUGAAAGGAACAUUUCCAGAGCACCUUCCUGCAUUGGAGAUUUAUGUUAUUAAAGGAUGUGAAGAAUUGUCAGUUUUAGUUUCGAGUCUUCCAGCUCUUUGCAAAUUACAGAUUGGUGGAUGUAAAAAGGUUGUGUGGAGAAGUGCAACUGAUCAUCUCGGCUCACAGAAUUCAGUGGUUUGUAGAGAUACAUCAAAUCAAGUGUUUCUCGCAGGGCCAUUAAAGCCGCGACUGCCAAAAUUGGAAGAAUUGAAGAUAAAUGAUAUGAAAGAGCAGACAUAUAUAUGGAAGAGUCAUAACGAAUUGCUGCAAGACAUUUGCUCUCUCAGAAGACUGACGAUUACAAGCUGUCCCAAACUUCAAUCCUUGGUGGCGGAGGAAGAGAAAGACCAACAACAGCAGCUCUGCGAGUUGUCGUGCAGACUCGAAUAUAUAGAAUUGAGCGAAUGCGAAGGCCUUGUGAAGCUGCCACAAUCAUCUCUCAGCCUCAGCUCCUUGAGAUAUAUAGAAAUCUACAAGUGCAGUUCCCUUGUUUCCUUUCCUGAGGUUGCUCUGCCUUCCAAGUUGAGGGAAAUUAAUAUUUGGCAUUGUGAUGCACUGAAAUCGUUACCGGAGGCAUGGAUGUGCGACACCAAUUCCUCUCUCGAGAUCUUGGAGAUUUGGAGUUGCCGUUCGUUGACAUAUCUUGCUGCAGUCCAGCUACCACGGAGCCUUAAGAGGUUGGACAUCCAGUGUUGCAGUAACAUAAGGACUUUGACAAUGGAAGAGGGCAUCCAGAGUAGCAGCAGCAGCAGCAGCAGAAGGUACACUUCAUAUCUUCUUGAGGAAUUGUGUAUUAGCAGUUGUCGAUCACUGACAAGUAUAUUUUCAAAAAACGAGUUAUCUGCCACGCUUGAGUCCCUUGAAGUUGGCAAUCUACCUCCGUCUCUUAAGUCCCUUCGUGUUCAGGGUUGUUCAAAGCUGGAGUCAAUAGCAGAAACGUUGGACAACAGCACAUCUCUUGAAACAAUCCACAUUUUUUAUUGUGAAAAUAUGAAAAUUUUACCGAGUGGUUUACAUAAUCUCCGCCAGCUUCAAGAGAUUAGCAUAGAGGGAUGUGGAAAUCUGGAGUCUUUUCCCGAAGGGGGAUUGCCUUGUGCGAAACUAAAGGAGGUCGUUAUCCGUUGGUGUGGGAGACUAGAGGCCUUACCCAAGGGAUUGCACAAUCUGAAGUCUCUUCAAAAAUUAACAAUAGGAAAAGGAGGCCUUGAAGAAGAUGGCCUUCCCACUAACCUUCAUUCACUUGAUAUUCGGGGUAAUAUGGAGAUUUGGAAGUCAAUGAUUGAGUGGGGCCAGGGAUUCCACAGAUUCUCCUCUCUGCGAGAACUUAGAAUCGAAGGAUGUGAUGACGACAUGGUGUCGUUCCCACCGGAGGACAUAAGAAUGGGGACCACGCUUCCUCUUCCUACCUCUCUAACAUCUCUGGCGAUUUUCAGUUUUCCAAAUCUGGAACGCCUAUCUUCUUCAAUUGUUGAUCUUCAAAACCUCACUUCAUUGUAUCUCGUGGGUUGUCCCAAGCUCAAAUACUUUCCGGAGAAGGGCCUGCCUUCCUCACUUUUGGAAUUAUGGAUCGGGGGAUGUCCGUUGAUAGAAGAGAAGUGCAGAAAGGAUGGAGGACAAUAUUUUUAUUCUUUAUUUUACUAUUUAUAAUUGGUCCCACAAAAGAAUAUUUUAUUAUUUGUUAUCGGUCCCACCAAAGAAAAAUUUGAUAAGUGAACGCGUUUUCUGUCGUCCCUUCGUCGGCUUUCGUUCGUUCUCAGUUUCCACUAUCAUUUUUUUCGUUUUUUAUUCUUUUUUUUACUAUUUAUAGUCGGUCCCACAAAAGAAUUUUUCAUUUUUUCCAAUUGUUCAAUGGUGCUUGGUCCACCCAUGUCCAGUUCGUCAAGCAGACAAGCACAAACGCGUGAAGCUUGCUAAAUUAUUUUCUUUUCACUUUUGUGGUGGGUUUUGUUUAAUGGGAAAU